rnacentral:lncRNA from 1 species
UUUUUUUCUUUGUUAAACAUCAUGUCAAGUUAAAUGGUGUCAUAUAAAAUAAGAUUGAGGGAAUAAUAUUUAAUUUUCAAGAAGAUUUAUUUAAUAGAGGUGAUUUAGUAAAUUAUAUAUUAUGAUUAUUAUUACUCUAUUAGUUCUAAUUUAUGUGACGCCUUUCAGAUUUCAAGAUUCAAAUAAAACUUUCGUAAUUUUUUCGUAUAUUUUAUAAAUAUAUGUUGAUUAUUGUGACUUAUACUACUUUUUACAUAGUGUUGAAAUAUGUAAAUUUUAUUUCAAAAAAAUUAGAUUUCAUACCCGAAUUCACGAUCCAAAUUAAAUUAUUGGACUCUUAAAAUCCAAACCGUGACACAUAAAUUGAGUAAAGAGAUUAAUUAUUUUAACGAGUGUAUCAAAUCAUUUUUUAUUGAAAGAAGUAUCGUGUAGGGUAAAUAGACAUUACCAAAAAUACUCUAUUAUACAUCUUUGGCCAAACACAUAUACAACACCUCUAACUUGUUCACAUUUUUCAUUUUGGCACUUUAUCUUUGUCUUGUUCCAUUUUAACCCUUAAACUCCAUUUUUUAUGUUCCAUUUUAACACGAAAUACUAUUUUUAUGAUUUAUUUAUUUUUAUAUAUAUUCUUCAAUUGCAACUUCUUAUUUUAAAUCGACAUGUGUCAUUUUAUUUAGUUAAAAAAUUAAAAAUUAACAAAAAAUAAAUCUUUUUAAAAAAUAAUAAUUUCUUUUUAAGAGUGUUAUGUAUUUUUGUGUGAAAAAUAUCCGACGAAAUUAUGUUGGUUUUCUUUCUUUAAAAUCAUCGACAACCUAACAAAGUCAGUCAAGUUUUAACAUUAUUUAGUAGUGUUAUUAGCAAUGAAACCCUGAAGUUGAUCGAAAAGAUCAUCAAUUAUCAGAAGAGGAUACUUAUUCUUGAUGGUAACCUCGUUCAACUGGCGGUAAUCUAUACACAUCCUAAGGGAGACAUCUUUCUUUCUCACAAAUAAGACUAGAGCGCCCCAAGGUGAGAUACUUGGUCGAAUAAAACCCUUAUCUAGGUUUUUUGCUAGUAAUGUUUUUUUUUGGUAAUUAAAAUUUUAUUUACCAAAGUGAUCAUUACAAACUGGAAAAAAAACAGCAGACUUGGACAUACAUGCUCCAAGACUUGCUGAAACAUCACACUCUAUCCAUCAGCCUUCUCUCACAGCUUCUCUCCUAAGGGUAUACAUUGAGUUCUUGAAGUCUGUUGCCUAUCUUCCCAUAAUGGGUUCCUCUUCCAUGUACAUCUCUAAUGAUGUGUCUAAUCAUGAACUCCUCAUUUCUCUGUUUGAACUGAAAGAUUCUGUUGUUGCGCUCUAUCCACACAUGAUAGAUGGUUCCUGCCAUAACCAUCCUAUACACAUUGGCUUUGCUAGUGUUGCUCUUCAUAUGUGUUGUUACCCAUUGUACUUCUUCAUGCCACUUCCCUCCUGUACGUUGUAUUCCUUGCCAAGCUAGCAGCUUCUUCCAUAUUCCAGCAGUGAACAUGCAUGCAAAAAAAAGGUGAUCGAUAUCCUCAUCCUCCACUUGACAUAAGGGACAUGUCAAAUUAGAUGUUACUCCCCAUUUUGCCAUUCUAUCUUUCGUUGACAACCUCCUAUUUAGAGCUAAAUACAGUAUGAACAACCACUUUGGUGCACCAUAGUUGGACCAUAUCAACUUUCUCCACUCCACUUUCUCCCUAUCUCCUCUCAUCUUUUCAUAAACCUCAUUCAAAAAUACAGAGAAAUAUCAAAAAAUAAUAUUAUUGUUUGAACAAUUUUAUGUUCGUUCGCGAAUGUUUAAUUUUUUUAAUUAACAGGCACACGUCUAUUUUUUUAAAAUAAGAAAUUGCAAUUGAAGAACAUAAAUAAAAACAAAUCAUAAAAAUUAGUAUAAGUGUUUAAAUGGUACAGAAAAAAUGGAGUUUAAGGGUUAAAAUAGAACAAGGCUAAGUUGGAGUGCCAAAAUGAAAAAUGAGAGCAAGUUUGAAGGGCGGUAUAUGUGUUUGGCCUACAUCUUUUCUAAAAUUGUCUACAGUGGGAUUUUUGGAAUGCAUAUUAAAUGUACGAUCGUGAAUACCGUUGUGAAACAUAAUUUCUUAGAUUGAAUAUCUGAACUAGACAUGUAUUGAGCAUUUCGUACCUUAUUUUUUGAUUAAAAGUGAGCUUGGUGCCCAGUUAUUAUAAAACAAUAAUUUGUACAAAUAAUAAAAAGUGCCCAUAUGGCUCAUUUCCUAAAAGAAGAUGAGCCAUCAAAAAAGAAAUAAAAGACAAAAUCAGAAUGAAAAGCAAAUGAAAAAGAGCAUUCUCAUUGCAUCUGGAAAGGAAUUGGCUCGACUCUGCUCCGGCAAAGCUCCAUGUCGUCUUUUCCGGUGAACUCCGAGGUAAGUUUUCAUUAGCUCCAUCUUUGGGUGUUGUAUCUCUAGACCUGCAACUUUUUAUCAUAUGCAACUGAGCUAUUGGAACUUCAUUCUCUUCAUCUUUCCAUUUCCUUUCGCCAUUGAUGAUUUGUGCCUCUUUGCUCUCUAAAUCACCAAAGUAGUACUUAGUAGAUAGUAGACUUUAAAUUCCGAUAGGCUGAGUCUCGAAGCGGCUAAUACCACUUAUCGGAAAGGAAACUCAAAAGACAACUUAAAACAAACCGACUAGUUUACCAAGAAAUUAAUCGACAUCCAGUCCCUAAAUAAUCCACUUAACAUUCACCUUCUUUUUCUCAUGAUAGACUGAAUCUCAUAGAGAUCAAUACCACACAUCAAUGGGAGAAAUCUGGCUCUAUGUUUAGUAAAAUAUCAAAGACGAGAUGUCAAUACUGACUGUUGAAUAAGCGAUCAGCCGAUCAGAAACUUCCGCUUUUAAAACAUUAAAGAAUAACUUCACCUAAAUGCUUAUGUCGUAGUCUCUUCCCGUUGUACACCUUAAAAUAUCACCAGGUGGCAUAGUAAAGAGACUGUUUGAAAUCAUUUCAGGCAAUAGAUUAAGUAAGAUACCUUCUCAUGCUUUAACCCAGAGCCAAGAAAGAGAUUCAUUACUCCAAAUUAGAAGCUAUUUGUUAUUAAGUUGAGUAAGCCUCAAAUGAGGCAUACUUAACUUAUCCAAAUUUAAGAUUUUUUUUUGCUGCAACAGGCAUAUCUUGAAAAUUAUGCACCGUAAAAGUCCCUGCAAAAUUAACAGUUAGGUUAGCAAAAAAGUCAGCCAAGAAAUUGUCUUCCCUUAGAGUGUGUUUUAUUUGAGUAGGGACUUCUUCUCUCAUUCUCUUUAUUACCUCCACCUCCAUAACAACACUUCAAGGUACCUCCCAAUUUUUCUCCAGGAUAUUUUGCAUAGUGAGCGAAUCAGUUUCUACUAUUAGAGGGAUCAGAUUUCUCUCAAUACAAUAUUGAAUACCAUCUUUGAUUGCAACAGCUUCUGCAACUAAAUUAGUAGACUGGCAGUCCCUUUCCCUUUACCCCUAUAAUAUUUCCUUCACUAUUUCUCACACAAAAAGCAGCAGAACUAGUGCCAGGGUUACCUUUUGAUGAACCAUCAGUGUUGCAUAUAUACCAACCAGAAGGAGGGGGACUCCAUUUCACGAUUCUAUGACUUUAGCUUGACCUCCAAUUUUACGGUACUUCUACAAUUUGAGGCCACCGGUAGUUUGUUCCCCCAAAUUCUCCAAGUUAAAAAAUUCAUUUUAAAUGGCAAACCUUUCACCCAAAUAAGUUUAAACUAAAGAUCUUCUUUCUUUUUUUGUCUCUCAGCAGAUCCCAAGCAGUGCUUACUUUGAACUUACCUGUGCUAUUAAGUAACCACCAUGUUCUGUCACAUAGGUUACUGGAAUCAAAAUUUCCCAAUUGUUCCUGAAUGUGAUUAACAAUUCUCCCAGGCAAUAAUUGUUGUAGAUUUUUAAAGUCCCAACCUUCUUCAUUCAUCACCUCUGAUAGGUCCUUCAUUUCAUGUCUAAUCUAGCAUUCAGGGUCUUGAUGUAAAGGACCAAGUUUGGUCCAAUUUUCAUACCAAAUGUUAGUGGAGCCUCCUCUUGGUUCCCACCAUAGGUUAUUCUCUAAGAUAUCUCGAUUUUUCAACAUCAUCUUCCACACCUGUGAACCCCCUUUCCAAUUUACCAGAGUGGGAAUUUCUUUCUUACAGUAUUUAUUCCACAUAAAACUUGCACAAAUAGAAUUACUAGUUCUGAAUUUCCACCAUAAUUUUGCAAACAUUGCCGUGGAGGCAUCAAACAACAAUUUGAAUCCUUUUCUUCUUUAGGCAAACAAACACUUAGCCAAGUAGACCGGUGUUUACUUCUUCCCGUUUCUUUGCUGUUCUAGAAGAAGUUAGAAAAAUCUUGUGUAACUCAUUUAUCACACACAUAGGGGGAACAAUUGCCGAUAAGAUGUGGAUAGGAAUGCUUUGUAGAACACUACUAAUCAAAGUUGCUUUGCCACCAAAAGCAAGCAUUUUUCCUUUCCAUGUUUGCAAUCUAUCUUUGACCUUCUUGAUGAGUUCUGCAUAAUCCCUCUUUCUCUUUUUGCCAUGAGUGAUAGGACACCCUAAGUAGGUAAAAGGAAAUUGGCCUUUUGAAAUACUUGUACAAUUAUCAACUAAAACACCUAGUUGGGCACUAGUGUUUUGAUGCAUAUACGAGGAACUUUUUCCUUUAUUAAUCAACCGACCAGAUUGCGUUUCAUACCUACUCAACACCUUCAUUAUCUUUUUGAGAGACCUUUCGUGAGCUGCAGCAAAAAUAAUAGUAUCAUCUGCAUAAGCCAGAUGAUUCAAAUUUGUACUCCAUUUAGGCAUGUUGUAACCCAGAUACUGUACAUCAUCAAACAAGGAUUCAAAGCUCUAGUGAGAACCUCAGCACUAAGAAUAAACAAAGCAGGAGAUAAAGGGUCUCCUUGUUUCACUCCCCUCAUGGAAUGAAAGAAUCCAUGAGCAUGUCCAUUUAUUAUGAUUGAAUACCAAUUAUUAGCUAUAAACUUCCAGAUGAUAUCCACAAAUUCUUCAGAGAAUCCCAACUUCCUAAUUACUUUCAUCAAGUAAAACCAAGAGACUCUAUCAUAAGCCUUCAUCAUAUCAAGCUUAAUAAUUGUAUUAGUUGGUUUUCCCCUCUUAGUAAUAUCUGUAACAAUAUCUUGAGUGAGUAAUACAUUCUCAAUGAUGUUCCUCCCCUUCACAAACCCUGAUUGAUUAGAAGAGAUUAGCCUUGGCAACACCAUCUUUAAUCUAUCAUGCACAACUCUAGAAAUCACCUUGUUGACAAAAUUACUCAGGCUGAUAGGUCUUAGAUCAGAAAAGGAUUGAAUAUCAUUCUUCUUAGGUAAUAACACAAGCUUAGUAUGAGUAAUGGAUUUCGGUAAUGAAUUUCCUCAAAAGAAAGCCACUACUAACUUCCAUAAAUCCUCUCCUAGAAUAUCCCAACAACUCUAAGUGAUUGGAGAAAAUUCGAGCUCAAGAGUUGUGAUUUCCAUUUUGCAUAUGUGUGCAAGUGGAUUGAGCUCUUGAAGGACUAUGACCUCUAUAUUCUAUACCAUCCGGGCAAGGAGAACGUAGUAGAGGAUGCCUUGAGUAGAAAGGCGGUGAGUAUGAGUAGUCUAGCCAUUCUUUUAGCUUCGAAGCAACCUUUGGCUUUAGACAUUUAGUCUUUAGCCAAUAGGAUGAUUCAACUCGAUGUUUCACAUUCUAGGUGGGUGUUAUCAUAUGUGGGAGUUUAGUCGUCUUUAUUGGAGUGGAUCUGUCACGCCCCGAGCCUACACCCUGGGCGGGACCGACACUCGGAGACCAUUGCUGGCCCCAAGCGAACCCUUGGCUUGGCCAUUUAUGUAUAAGCCACUUGAAUUAUACGAAUGUAUAUGAUACAUCAUGUAAAUCAACAAACAUAACACAACAAACUUUUAAAUUGAACUGCAACACUGCUAAGGUAAAAUAUAUCAAAAUUAUAACUGUAUCAAAUACAGUUUUAAGAGUUUUAAUGUGUGCUUCAUUAAUAGUCUUCAGUGUAUAUGAUACAACAUAAUGUGGUGUAUAUGAUACAUAUACUACACGUUUGCAAAAGUAAAUUUUGGGACACUUAAUUUGGUUUAAAUAAUAAUCAUGGUAUUGAAUCAAUAUUGUCACGCCCCGAGACUACACCCUGGGCGGGACCGGCAAUCGGAGACCAUUACUGGCCCCAAGCGAAUCCUUGGCCUAGCUUUCUUAACUCAGCGGAAACUUAACUCAAUAGUACAACUCAAUGCAAUGAAAGGUUAUAAAACAACCAAUUGAUGCAUAACAUGCCAAAAGGCAGCUCGAGUCUCAAAAUAGAAUAUUUACAUAAAUACAUAGAUGAGAGACUCAAUACUAACUGACUGACUGACUGUCUAUGAAACCUCUAAAAAAUACUGGGAUGGAUGUUGGGACAGACCCCGCAACAUCCUAAUAACACAAAACUAAAGAAACAAAUUAUUUGAGUCCUCCGGAAAGCAAGGAGGCUCACCACUGACUCUGGAGUGCUCAGCUGGAUCAACGACGUACAGGAUGCUGAUCUGGGGUACCUGUGUCUGCAUCGUCAUAAGAUGCAGGCCAACUGGCAUCAGUACAUUGAAUGUACGAGUAUGCGAGCUGGACAGCUAAACCACAACUUAAGCUUGAAAAGAGUACAAGAGAACACUUACCUUGGUUCUGUUCAACUCAUGUAUAACCGAACUCUAUAUAUAAAGCAAUAAGACACAUGCAAUAUAUAAAACCUGUAAAACUCUUAAAACAUGACGUAAAAAUCAUAUUUAUAAUAUCAUGAAAAUACCAUACUUCCUCUCAAGGUCUACUUGUGCAAUGUAUGAAUGAAGUCCCAUACCCCCAUCCAUACUAAGCAGAACCCUCGAGGAACCAAGCUCUUUUUACUGUGGGAACUUCUCUAACCGACAAACCACCACUACGAGUAUGAGUGGUGAUACAACGUUUUACCUCACGUUGCCCGAGGACCAUCCUAUACCUUGCCGUGAUAUAGGAAGCUAACUUUACUAAGUGGAUCCACUAGCUUAACUUUACGGGUUCAUCUAAAAAGUAUGACCAGUUAACUCCCAUGUUGGCUACAUGGUUCUUAUGGAGAGUUGAGUUUAAUAUGAACUCGCGUCCCCAAAUCGCUGCUCGAUACUACUCCCAAAAUACUUUAGCUCAUAAGUGUUUUAAACACAACUUUCUUUAGUUUGAGAUAAUUACUCAAAAUCUAGCCCAAAGGCUCACUUGGAAACGAUGUUCCUUUUUCUUGAAAACUAGCACAAAGGCUCUUUUNNNNNNNNNNNNNNNNNNNNNNNNNNNNNNNNNNNNNNNNNNNNNNNNNNNNNNNNNNNNNNNNNNNNNNNNNNNNNNNNNNNNNNNNNNNNNNNNNNNNNNNNNNNNNNNNNNNNNNNNNNNNNNNNNNNNNNNNNNNNNNNNNNNNNNNNNNNNNNNNNNNNNNNNNNNNNNNNNNNNNNNNNNNNNNNNNNNNNNNNNNNNNNNNNNNNNNNNNNNNNNNNNNNNNNNNNNNNNNNNNNNNNNNNNNNNNNNNNNNNNNNNNNNNNNNNNNNNNNNNNNNNNNNNNNNNNNNNNNNNNNNNNNNNNNNNNNNNNNNNNNNNNNNNNNNNNNNNNNNNNNNNNNNNNNNNNNNNNNNNNNNNNNNNNNNNNNNNNNNNNNNNNNNNNNNNNNNNNNNNNNNNNNNNNNNNNNNNNNNNNNNNNNNNNNNNNNNNNUUGGGGCGCGCUGGCAGGCGCGACGCGCCAACCCCCUCGCCCAGAUACUCGACUUUUCUCCCUUAUUUUGCCAACUCUAAAACACCCUUACUUCAAGGGCUUCAACCCCAAACACUAAGGAUCAUCAUAUCCCUCAACAUACCAUGGAUUACAACUCAAAACACAACCGGAAACAAGUCCCAAAUCAACAAGAAUCUCAACAACGACAACUAACAACUUCAACAACUUCAACAACAAAUCCAAUCUCUUUUCAAAUAAAAAAAAAUGAGCUUGGUGUGUGGGGGAAAGUAUCAACCCACACAAAGAACUCACAUACCUUGAUAGGGAUCACCCCCGACGAUUUCCACAACGAUCUUCGACGGAAACUCCUUGAUCUCCUCUUCUUCUUCUCUUCUUUCUCUCUUCUUCUCCUCUUCUUCACUCCAGAACCCUAACUCUUUACUCUUUUAAAAUGGAACAAAAAUUAUCCACAAUAAGUCUAACACAACAUUAUAACCUCAAAAGAAAUGAUUUGUGAAAAGACCAAAAUGCCCUUAAAUUUCCGGACGGAUUCCCUGCCAAUUGCCCAAUUUUCAAAGGGCAUAACUCACUCAUACGAGCUCGGAAUCGAGAAAAUUCGGUGGCGUUGGAAAGACCAUUCCAUGAGCUAUGCAACCAUAACUGGAACUACACCUAACUCAUCCUGAGCCAGGAGUUAUGUCUGUUCAAAUUUGGCCAAAAACUCACCUUUUCCAUACUUGGAGCCAAAUUUCCAGAUUUUUAAAUCUUUCCAAAAUAUAACCUCAAAAGAAAUGAUUUGUGAAAAGACCAAAAUGCCCUUAAAUUUCCGGACGGAUUCCCUGCCAAUUGCCCAAUUUUCAAAGGGCAUAACUCACUCAUACGAGCUCGGAAUCGAGAAAAUUCGGUGGCGUUGGAAAGACCAUUCCAUGAGCUAUGCAACCAUAACUGGAACUACACCUAACUCAUCCUGAGCCAGGAGUUAUGUCUGUUCAAAUUUGGCCAAAAACUCACCUUUUCCAUACUUGGCCAAAAUUUUCCAAAAUUUUCAAAUUCUAAGCCUCUUCUUAGUUAUCUCAUUUUGCCGGAUGUUACAGGAUCAAUGGUCGUCAGUUUGAGGGUGAGGCCUUGAUUUUUUUCUGAGAUCGGGUUUUGCAAGGUGAUGUUGGGAAGGCUACCUUGGAUUCUGACAGGGUUUUGAGGUUUGAAGACCGUAUUUGUGUUAUGAGAGUUGGUGAUAUAUAUUCUUCAACUGAUCCUUCGUGAGGCCCAUGAUUCCAAAUAUUCUAUCCAUUCAAGCACCGUGAAGGUGUAUUGCGAUUUGAGGCAGCAUUACUAGUAGGUUAUAGUAUGUGCAAUCACGACUCGAGUUUUCGGGUCGUGACACAAUAUAAUCAAAUUUACAUUUGAAAAACAUAAUAACAUGAUUAUAUGUACUUAUUACUAUAAAUAUAACCAAUAAUGUAGAUUUCUAAAAUCUUUUCCUCUUUGAUUAUUUAAUCAUAUUUAAAGUUUUGAACAAAAGUAAUAGUUAUAUAAUUUUUGUAUGAAUUAUGAUAUGAAUUCUUCCAUAUUCAUUGCUCUAAUGAAUUAUUUUGAAAGGUUUUCAGAAGGUUGCAAAUUUGAAAUAAUUUCAAAAACAACUCUAGCAAAUGUAAUAAGAUAAACAAUUUCAUCAUGUGCCCACCUAAGGCUCCUUACUUGGUUUAUAACAUUGUGGAUGCUGUGAAGACUAAGGCUUAGGAUAUGUCCCAUGGGUCCGUGUUGUCGUCUACUGAUCAUCAAGCAUGUGAUCAUAGCUGAAUAGGGAGGAUGUUUGGGAUGGUUGAGGUUCAAUUGUGCAUUGGUGGUCUCACAGCUACCGGUGGGAGGUGAAUUCUUUGGCAGAGAACUACCCAUUGACGGAAAGUGCAUUGAACAUGUGUAGGAUAGGCCCGCAUUUCAAAAGCUUGUGGAUAAUGAUGAGGCUACUAUUAAUGAUGAUAGUGAUGAAGAUGAUGAUGAGGAGGUUGAUGAUGCUGAUACAAUGCUCACGUUGGUAGAUAGUCCAACUGAUGCGACGAAUGAGAAUGCUGCUGAUGAUGGUGAGGGAGCCUAGAUGCCUGAGGGAGUUCUUUCUUUUACUCGAUACUUAUGUUCUGAUUUUGUUGCACUAGGGACAAUGAUUUGUCUAAGUUUGAUGGAUUUCCCUAGUAGUUGUUUAUUAAUUUGUGGAAUCUUUUUCUAUUUUUAGGUUGGGCUCCUCAUUUUUUGUUUUCGAUUUCUUUUCUUGAGGACCUCGAAUAGACUAGGUUUAUGUUUUGUGUUGUGUUUUGAUUAGUCAAAGUUUGCAUAGAACUAACUAUUCCAGAUGAUGAAUGGAUGACGACCAUUUUAAGAGAAAAUUAGUCAUUAAGUGUUAGGUCCAGAAACUUGACCUUUGGUGCUUUGAAACCUUGCUUAGAAGUCAACCAGACGGCAUGGGUAGGUCAUUCUUGAGCAUGCUAAUUAAUGAAGUUACUCCAUGAGAAACACAUAGGCUCUUUGAUUGGACUCUGAAAAGAUAAAAACAAAUUAAGAUUAAUUUUGUCGAAAUGCACUCAAUGUGUCAUGUGUGAGCAUGCUAUUUGUGUAAUCUUGCAUGUAUGUCAUGGUUCCAUGUUUGGUGAGGAUUGCUUUGUUCGUGUAUAAAACUUCAUCUAGAACUUGCAUGAUGUGUGUGUGUGACAUAUAGACUUGCAUGAAUUUUGGAAUAUUAUCUAGGCAUUUCUUUGCAUAGCUCAUUUGAUUCUAGUGUGUGCCUCCAUGAUAUUGUCCCUAGUGAAGCUCCUUUGAGCCUUUUAGCCAAUAAUUCUUUGAUAAGCCGCAUGAUGAUCCAAAUACAUUUUGUUGGUACCCUUUCUUAGUUAAUGCACUAUGUAGUGAAGGAUGGGUUCACCAAAAGAUAGAGUGAUGCAAAAGAGAAAGUGUGAGUGUGGUAAAAGAAAACUGGGGUGAAAAGAACCCAGAAUUAAAGUACAUAAGUGCUUGUUGCAUAGAAAAAAAGAAGCUAAAGAAAUAAAAGGAUAUGCUAGCAAGUGGUUGAUUGUCUAAAGGGCGGAAACCAAAAGAUAAUCAAGGAUGGUCAAGAGGUGUGAGCAUAAGAAGUGAAGUAAGGUUAAAAAAGGAAAUAUGGUGAAGUGUCGAGUGGUAAAACAACUGCAUUAAGGAGGAAAGUCACCAAUUAUAUCCACAACGUAUCCUCCCCAUCACGAAACCGAUAUUACAAUUGAAUAAAGCUUUUUUUUAUUCCAUGAAUGAAUGCAUAAUCAAGGUCAUCACACACAAAGGGAAAGCCUAUGACAUGUUGUGAUAUGUGAAAACAUCUUUUGUGAUAGUGAGAGCUUGAAUUGUGAAAAUUGGCCCUUUGAAAAUUGAAAGCAUGUGAAUAUAAGCUAUGUUGAGAGAAGGGUUGUACAAAAAUAGUGAGGGCACUCAUGACAUGCUAGAGAAUAUUGUUGGUUGCUUGUUCAUACCUGAUUGCAUUGACUGGUAGAAUUGUAAGGAGUCUACCGAGGAGGUUACGUUGUGUCUUGUGGAGUAUUGUGGUGCUAAAAAAAUGUGUAUUUUAUUGCAUGAGGUGUGAACUACAAAAACAUGAUUAAAAAUUAUCUGGUUGGUUCAAAUGCAUGUGGAUGAGUCCGUAGGUGUGAAUGGUGAAUCGAUAACGGAUGGUAUAGAGAGUUGUUCGAGGAUGAACAAAGGUUUAAGUGUGGGGUGGUGAUCUUGGUCGUAUUUAUAUGCUUAUUUACUAUGAUUUUCCCACAUGUGCCUUAUGUUUUAAGAGUAUUCUUUAUGCUAUUUUCUAUGUUCUGAUUGAUAUUGCAAUGAUUGCACACUAAGACAUGUGAUUAGCUAAUGCAGGAGUUUUUGAAGGGACAUUGAGCAGAUGAGAGAUUGAACAAAGGAAGAACCCUUUAUGCUUUUUUACAUGAAAACAAUUAUAUUUAUGCUUUUUUAUUAGCAUGAGUAGCUAAGAACCCUUAUUUUGUGGCAGCGACUACGAAUGACUGUUGAAAAUUGAUUUUGUUUGGAUCAAGUUAGUUAUCGUAUAAAUUAUGCUUGGCCUCCAAUAAAAUAAAUACAUUGUUUACUUUUAAACUUGAGAGAGGAAUAGAGAGAUAGAAUGUGGAAUACAAGGAACAUGUUAUUUUCUUGCAUAUCAUUUGAAUUGAUUUGUGUUUAGGAUAGAGAUAUACAUAAGCAUUGUGUUUGGUUAUGAAACAAGAAGAUAAAUUCAAUUCUCACUAGUUGAUUCAAUCUAUCCCUACUCAACAAUAUAGUUAGAUUGUCAACUAGGGUAGAUGAUUAGAGGUCGAGAGAUCAUGAUCAUAAUAUUAACCUUGUAAUAAGUAAUUUGAUAACCAUAUGAAAUCUGCGAAAGAUAGGUGAAUCAUGAAUUCUUAGUUAAGUUGCAGCCCUGGAAUGGUCUCAAUUAUUGUUUACACACCGAAAUUGAAGUUGAGCAUGUUUGUUACUUUUGAUUCUUAAAUACUUGCAAUCGUAGUUAUAAAUACCAAAGUCAAAUACUUGAGAUACACUUGCUUUACUUUGUGCGGUUUAGUUGAAUUAUAUAUAAAUUAAUCAUAAUUCAUUUGGGUUCGACAAUCUGGCUCUUGUAGAGCCACCAUAUUAUUUGUGCGACCACGUACAUUUGUAUGUGCAUUUGGGAGCAACAACUACCCCUUUGAUCAGUUUAAAGUCUUGACCGGGAGGUUCUAUUUUUAGUCCGAACACACCUUUCCCUUUGAUCAAUUUAAAGUCUUUACUAGGUGAUUAUGUUGGGUCCUUGGGUGCCUUUACCGCAGUUAAAGUCCGUGGAAGGCUGUGAUAGUCCUGGAAACAUCCUCAAGUUUUCUUACUAGUUCUUAAAUCUUCUGUGUGCAUGCCGGGCAUGUGGGUGUCCAUUCUUACCUCAAUCAUAUCGUUCCAGUCUACAACCAAGUGCAACUAAUUCCAACCUACAGCUACGACUAGACACUAAAGUCUCAAACAUUAACACAGUACGAAACAAGCCCUACAGGGAGAAAAACACAACUACAAGGGUAAUAUAGCACAUUCUAAGGCAUCUAAGGCUCAAUCCUAGACUAAGUCCUCAAGUAUUAAUCCUAACAAGGAUAAUCAUGCUAAAUUAUACUAUAAGAAAGUUUACUAGCCUAAACUAAGGGUUCUGUCACCCACAUUAAGCACAACACUUCUACGCAAAUCAAGAAAGAUAAAUAAAUGGAAGGGUUUAUAAUACUCGACAAAUACAAUCCAUUCAUACUAAACAUUAUCUACUAAAGCCCAAUCAAGAAAGUAGACAUUAGCCUACCUCGAAUCAAAACUACAAUCUUGAACCAUCCAUGAGCCACCCGUCUCUUCACCACGUUCUCCAUAUUCCUCAAAACUAUUGAUAACAUCAACUACACAUUGCAUCGAGAAGAACGAUACCCAAUCACUAUAAUAUAAGCCGACCCCAAAAUUAGGUCAAAAUAGUCUCAUGGGACCUAUUAAUAAAAUUCUAAAAUUGAACCUGUCACUAGGCCCAUACAAGCACAAGGAACUUGUGAUCUAAAUUUGAGCACCAUUGGAUCUCGAGAACCCAUCCAAAUUAACCAACAAAAAUUAGAAUUCAAGAACCACAAUUAAAAGAGAGAAAAGAGGUUUCAAGGUGAUAAAUCACCAUAAAAUGAGUCCACAACUCUCCCCCAAUGACCCUACUCGAAGCCCCAUCAAAAACCAACAAAUAGCAACUAAAAUCGGCUCAAACAGAGCUUUAUAACUCAAGUUAUCGCGUUUUAAAUGUUGAACAAACGAACUGAAAAGUUGGGCUUUAAACAGCCCCUAGGUGCCGCUAAAAUGGUCAUUUGGCUACUUAAGCGGCUGGUCAAAGUUGGUCAAAUAUCGCUAAAGUGGUCUGAAGGCUGCUUUAAGCGGAUGCACCAACACCAUCAUAGGCUAAAAUUUGGUUUUCAUGCUCCAGACUCAUCCGGAGUCCCGUGAACACAAACGAUAUAUGAAAUCUGAUUGUAAACAUUAUUUUAGACUCCAUGGAAUCAAAAAAACAUCAUUUAGAGGUCAUCUACAAAAAAUGUUGACUGAAGUCAACACAUUAACUAUAAUAAAGAAAGCAACAGGAUGCCCAAAAUCAAAAUAAAGUCCUCGAGAUCCAAAUCAAAGGUCCUAUAUUAGGCACCAAAUUCAAUAUUCUGGAGCUAAUGGCGCAGAUGGAAUUCUCAUACUACAACUAAAUAUCUAAAUGUUGACUGAAGUCAACUCUAGGCUAAACUUUCCAACAUCUCACCUACAUGCUCAAACUCACACUAGGAGCCUCUAGACAUGAACCAAAUAUCCUUGUCUACCUGAAUUUUUGAUGAAUUGAACCAUCCAAGUUUCAAAAGCUCCAAAAUAUGAAAACUCACAAUAUCCAAAUGAACAACCCGAUAACUGAACUAUCAGUCUCAGCAAGCCAUACAUGAAUUGUGAUCGCUACGGGAAACUCUAAACACUGAAAUGAUUAGGAAACAGAGAAAAUGACCUGGAGAGUCAUUACAAUUAUGAAACUAUAUUUGUGUAGCAACCAUCCAAACAAGUAAAUUGAGUGUGCUUGAAAAUAAAAUAAAAAUACUAGGAAGCGCUAUCUUUGAUCUUAUAUGAUGUGGAUUUAGAUUAAACGAAUAAAACUUUUAUUUUUUCUUUCUCGGAGUUUUUUCUUGAUAAGCAUAGUGGGAAGAAGUGUUUUAUGAUAGCACUAAGAGAGCUUAUAAUUUCAGAGAGUGAUUGUAACCGCCCAGAAAGUUUUUGAGCUAAGACUCGAACCGUUCUUCGUAGUGAGUGAGCUUUUUGCAAGGAAUUUAAAAUUUCUUGAGUAUUAAGGUCACUAGAUGUAGCACCUUGAGUUCCAAUAAGAACUAAAGAGAGUUCAUUCAAGUCAUUCCUAAGUUUUUCUUAAGUUUUGGCUCAACUUCAGACAAUCAUAACUCCUAGUACAAGAUAAGUUAGGUGAGCUACAAGAUAUAAAAUUAAAGCUCUUCGAGUUCUCUUUCCAACGCUACCGAGUUUUCUAAAUUCCGAGCUCUGAGUAAAAUGUUAUGACUGAUUUACUAACGACGCACAAACCUGGCAGUAGCUCCGCGAUGGCUCUGGGUUACGGAGCCAAUACGGACCUCACUGCCUGGUGAAAAAUUAUUCCGACUCCCAACUCGUUUUAAUUAUUUAUUUAAGGAUAUUUUAGUCCUAAAAACCCGUAGGAGGUCAUCUAAAUUGCCCUAAACGUAUAGAAAACCAGUUUUUCAUAAAUCAAACCCUCUCAUCCACUCCAACAAUUCUACGCUCAAGGGAUUCAAGAAACGCUAAGGCUAGAGUUCAUCUUCCCAGAUUUUCCUUCAAGUUCUUCAAGAAGAUGAUUCUUUCAGGUAUGUAAGCUUCCAUAGUGUUGGGUUUGUUCAGCCACACGCCAAUCAUGUUAAUAUCAGCUUUAAAUUAGUUCUAAAAGUUGAAGCUUUGAUGUUCUUGAUAUGUAUUCUUGAAUUUGCUUUCGUUCUUGAAUUGGACUGAGAUUGAGGAGUUCUUGAGAUUAUUGUGUCGAUUUAUAGGGUUGUUAGAGUUAGAUUCUAGUGUACAUGUGCUGGGUAUCUGAAUCUAAAGAGAGGUUGAGCAAAAGAAUCGAGUUUAGGUGAAUUGGGGUUAGAAAAUGAAGAAGGAAAAAGUCAGGCGAAUCUGGCACCUUACUCCGCGUCGCGGACCUGCCUCCCCAUUUCAUAAAGUUUGUCUUCGCGUCGCAGAGACGUCACGGACCUCUCUGCCUCAAAAAUUAAUUCACGACCAAAUACCGUAAUUCAUCUCCCCGUCGCGGACUUGCUUCCAAACAAUGAUUUCUUGAUUGUUUUUCAUGUUUAACUAUCUAAAAACACUCCUAAACAUCACGAGAUCAUUCCUAUCACAAAUCACAACCUUGAAUUCAUAAAUCACAUUCAAGGUAGAGUUGAGAGUCAAGUCUUGAGAGUUCUUUCGGACAUUUUGAGAAAGUCCCUUUAAGUCUUUUUUAGGAGUCUUUUACAACUUCUAGUAACUUGUUUCAAGACUCGAGCAAGUGAGUAUGAGGAUGAGGAGAAUGUAUUCACGAGUGUACUUUGUCAUUAUGAGAAAUUUCGUAUCAUGAACCAUAACUCUUGAAUUCAUAAUUCACAUUCAAGAGAGACUUAAGAGUAGAGUUCAAGAAAGUCUUUGAGUUCAAUUGUGAAUCCUUUGAGAUCCACCAUCGAUUUGAAUUAAGUUUUGAGAAGUAAGUAUGAGAAUGAGAAGAGUCGUAUACCUGAGUUCCUCAUUGAUAUUUUGACCCUUAAGUCAAGUCGUUCAUGCCCAUAACUUCCGCAUGAACUCCAUCAGUUUAGUAUCUUUGAAAGGAAUAAUAUCUUCAAGUUCUAAGUCUUGAGUAUCGAGUUCCUAACCCUUCCGAGAUUAUAAUCCUAAUCAUGGGACUAUUACCUAUUACCCAUGAAGUCCAUGAGUUGAGUUGUUCAUGCCCAUAAUUCUGCAUGAACAUUAUAAGUCGAACAAUCUUGAGAUGAGAAGUAUCUUUGAGUCCUUGAGUUGAGUAGUUUAUGCUCAUAAUUCCGCAUGAACCCUCUGAGUUGAGAAUUCUUGAAUUAGUAGUAUCAUUGAAGUUCUUGUAGUUCCAAGUUAUUUGAGUCUAUCUAUGGUUAUUGAAACCUUGCAUUGAGUCGUUCAAGUCCAUAAUUCGGCGUUAACCAUAUUUUUUAAGAAGUCUUUUACAAAUGUUUAAACUUUGUUUUAAGACUUAAGCUUUGAAGUUGAGUAAAGAGUAAGAGUAAAGUUCAUUUUCUUUAAAAUGAUAUAUGGGAACUAAGUAUUCCCAAGAGUAAAUGUGUUCAUAUUUAAGAUGAGAGGAAACUGAAAUUUCCAAAAGAGUUUUGAGCAAGAAAGGGAACAUCGAUUCCAAGAGAGAUUUUAAGUUAAGUCUUGAGUGAUUAUCUCAAACCAAAGAAAGAAAUUGUUUUAAAACAUAUGAGCUAAUAUAUUUUUUUGGGAGUAGUAUUGAGCACCAAUAUGGGGAUGUGUUNNNNNNNNNNNNNNNNNNNNNNNNNNNNNNNNNNNNNNNNNNNNNNNNNNNNNNNNNNNNNNNNNNNNNNNNNNNNNNNNNNNNNNNNNNNNNNNNNNNNNNNNNNNNNNNNNNNNNNNNNNNNNNNNNNNNNNNNNNNNNNNNNNNNNNNNNNNNNNNNNNNNNNNNNNNNNNNNNNNNNNNNNNNNNNNNNNNNNNNNNNNNNNNNNNNNNNNNNNNNNNNNNNNNNNNNNNNNNNNNNNNNNNNNNNNNNNNNNNNNNNNUCUUCAGUUUCUUUCAGAUUCUUUUCAAGCUUAUGUUAUGUUUUAGAAUUCCCCUUACAUGCUCGUACAUUCCACGUACUGAGCCAUUUGGCCUGCAUCUUUUCAUGAUACAGACACAGGUAUUCAGGAUCAUCAAUAGGAGAUUCGUUGAUGCAUCCGGGAGUUCGAGUUAGCUAUGGUGAGCCUCCUUGUUUCCGGAGGAUUUCAUUUACUUUUCAGUUUAGUCAGGAUGUCGUGGGUCUUGUCCCGACUUCCAUCUUUAUCAGUUAGAGGCUUCAUAGAUAGUCAGUAUAGUUGAGAAGUCUAUAUUAUUCAUUUAUUUUAUUAAAUGUUUUAAAGACUUAAGUUGCCUAUUUUAUGGCAAGUUGAAUAUAUUAUUUUUAUUCUAAGUUGUUCAUUUGAGUUAAAGUUUCGAAAAGUUGAGUUUAUUGAAUUUUAUUCAGUUUUAAGCUUUUGCAUGCUUAAGUUAGUCUUCCGCUUGUAGUUAGCCAGGAUGAGGGUUCGCUUGGGGACCAGCAAUGGUUCUUGAGUGCCGGCCACGUCCAGGGUGUAGACUCGGGUUGUGACAGUGAUAACACAUACUUUUGAAAAUGUAGUGAACAACUCGAUUCGAAGUUCAUAUGUUUUCAUUUUCUUAAUCAGAUCUACAACUUCAUUGCUCUUUCUUAUAAAUAUUGUAUGCAGUGCAUUUUCUCUUUCUUUCUCUCUUUUCCCCAUUUAGUUCAAAGAAUUUCUAGUUAUUUGCUAAUCAAGAAAAUAACUAGAAAUUCUUUGAACUAAAUGGGGGAAAAGAGAGAAAGAAAGAGAAAAUGCACUGCAUACAAUAUUUAUAAGAAAGAGCAAUGAAGUUGUAGAUCCAAUUAAGAAAAUGAAAAGAGAUGAACUUGAAAUCGGGGUGGUCAAUCCAUUUUCAAGGGUAUGUGUUAUCACUCCCUGAAAUUAUAAGCUUUCUUUAUGCUAUCAUAAAACACUUCGUCCCACUAUGUUUAUCAAGAAAAUAACUCCGAGAAAGAAAAAACAAAAAAAUUAUUCGAUUAAUCUAAAUUUACACCAUGUAAGUUCUGAGAAAGUGCUUCCUAAUAUUUGUUUUCAUUUCAAAGCAUUUUUAACUCACUUGUUUGGAUAGUUUCUACACAAAUAUAGUUUCAUAAUGUAUCAUUGUAUUCUUGUAAUGAUAUAAGGUUUGGAUAAAUUGUUUUUUUACAUUAAACCUACAAUAUUCUACUUAUAUAUAAGAGGGAGUUUAUGAUGGGACAUUUCAAUGUCCCAUCAUAAAAUCCCUAUAUAAUAUUCUAUAUAAUAAUAUAAUAUAAUAAAUCAUUUUUUCUACUAUAUAAUAUAUAUAAUAUAUAUUUAUUUUCUAAGGGAGUUUAUAUAAUAUAUAAUANNNNNNNNNNNNNNNNNNNNNNNNNNNNNNNNNNNNNNNNNNNNNNNNNNNNNNNNNNNNNNNNNNNNNNNNNNNNNNNNNNNNNNNNNNNNNNNNNNNNNNNNNNNNNNNNNNNNNNNNNNNNNNNNNNNNNNNNNNNNNNNNNNNNNNNNNNNNNNNNNNNNNNNNNNNNNNNNNNNNNNNNNNNNNNNNNNNNNNNNNNNNNNNNNNNNNNNNNNNNNNNNNNNNNNNNNNNNNNNNNNNNNNNNNNNNNNNNNNNNNNNNNNNNNNNNNNNNNNNNNNNNNNNNNNNNNNNNNNNNNNNNNNNNNNNNNNNNNNNNNNNNNNNNNNNNNNNNNNNNNNNNNNNNNNNNNNNNNNNNNNNNNNNNNNNNNNNNNNNNNNNNNNNNNNNNNNNNNNNNNNNNNNNNNNNNNNNNNNNNNNNNNNNNNNNNNNNNNNNNNNNNNNNNNNNNNNNNNNNNNNNNNNNNNNNNNNNNNNNNNNNNNNNNNNNNNNNNNNNNNNNNNNNNNNNNNNNNNNNNNNNNNNNNNNNNNNNNNNNNNNNNNNNNNNNNNNNNNNNNNNNNNNNNNNNNNNNNNNNNNNNNNNNNNNNNNNNNNNNNNNNNNNNNNNNNNNNNNNNNNNNNNNNNNNNNNNNNNNNNNNNNNNNNNNNNNNNNNNNNNNNNNNNNNNNNNNNNNNNNNNNNNNNNNNNNNNNNNNNNNNNNNNNNNNNNNNNNNNNNNNNNNNNNNNNNNNNNNNNNNNNNNNNNNNNNNNNNNNNNNNNNNNNNNNNNNNNNNNNNNNNNNNNNNNNNNNNNNNNNNNNNNNNNNNNNNNNNNNNNNNNNNNNNNNNNNNNNNNNNNNNNNNNNNNNNNNNNNNNNNNNNNNNNNNNNNNNNNNNNNNNNNNNNNNNNNNNNNNNNNNNNNNNNNNNNNNNNNNNNNNNNNNNNNNNNNNNNNNNNNNNNNNNNNNNNNNNNNNNNNNNNNNNNNNNNNNNNNNNNNNNNNNNNNNNNNNNNNNNNNNNNNNNNNNNNNNNNNNNNNNNNNNNNNNNNNNNNNNNNNNNNNNNNNNNNNNNNNNNNNNNNNNNNNNNNNNNNNNNNNNNNNNNNNNNNNNNNNNNNNNNNNNNNNNNNNNNNNNNNNNNNNNNNNNNNNNNNNNNNNNNNNNNNNNNNNNNNNNNNNNNNNNNNNNNNNNNNNNNNNNNNNNNNNNNNNNNNNNNNNNNNNNNNNNNNNNNNNNNNNNNNNNNNNNNNNNNNNNNNNNNNNNNNNNNNNNNNNNNNNNNNNNNNNNNNNNNNNNNNNNNNNNNNNNNNNNNNNNNNNNNNNNNNNNNNNNNNNNNNNNNNNNNNNNNNNNNNNNNNNNNNNNNNNNNNNNNNNNNNNNNNNNNNNNNNNNNNNNNNNNNNNNNNNNNNNNNNNNNNNNNNNNNNNNNNNNNNNNNNNNNNNNNNNNNNNNNNNNNNNNNNNNNNNNNNNNNNNNNNNNNNNNNNNNNNNNNNNNNNNNNNNNNNNNNNNNNNNNNNNNNNNNNNNNNNNNNNNNNNNNNNNNNNNNNNNNNNNNNNNNNNNNNNNNNNNNNNNNNNNNNNNNNNNNNNNNNNNNNNNNNNNNNNNNNNNNNNNNNNNNNNNNNNNNNNNNNNNNNNNNNNNNNNNNNNNNNNNNNNNNNNNNNNNNNNNNNNNNNNNNNNNNNNNNNNNNNNNNNNNNNNNNNNUGUGUCACAUAAAUUGAGACAACAAAAAUAACAUAUAUUGGGUCCAUUUUAAUUUAUUUGUCUUAUUUUUUUAAAUUUUUUAUAUUUAAAAAUUGCGUAAAAAUACUAUAAAUCAUGAUAAUUGACAACAUAAAAUAUUUCAAAAAUAAAUACAUUUAAAAAAAUUCGAUUGAUUCUUGAAAUUAAUCUAUCGUUAAAAAUUAUGUAUAAAAUACAAUAAAUCGUGAUAAUUGACAACUUAAAAUAUUUAUUAAAAAAACAUAUAAAAAAAAUUGACUGAUUCUUAAAAUUAAAUCGUGAUAAUUGACAACAUAAAAUUGUUCAAAAAUGUUGUAUGUGGGUAGUCUUAUUGUGCCUUGAAUAGCGUCAAAGAAAGUACAGGUUUGUGAUAAAAAAAACUUAUUCCUUUAUCUACGCAAGCAAUCGCUUCAAAAAUUUCGUUAUUAGCCCCAAAACAUACCAUUUAUGUUAUUGGGCCCGUGCAUAGCACGAGCAACAAAAUCUAGUUAUUAUAAAUAAAGGUAGCAUAUGUGGAAGAGUUAUUAUAUUAAAAAGGUAUGGACUUUGAUAAAAAAGGAUUAUAAAGUAAUAUUAAAAUGAAAAUAUAGUAACGACACACAACCACACCAAAUUCUUCGUUGCAAAAAAUGAGACUUUCAUCUUUUCGUAACGAUGUAUUUAAUGAUGUGAUAUAAUAAAUUUAAGUAAUAAUUCAUACAAAUAGUGUACUUAAAUAAAACAUACAAUACAAUAGAAUAAAAUAUAAUAGAUAACAAGCACCUAAAGGACACAAUGUUCAAUUUUUUGAAUAACCUAAACUUUGGAGAGUGAAACGAAAUAAUAAUUGGAACUUUGUAUUUUUUUCCCCUUCCCAACAAAAUAAAAGUACAAAAGUUAACAUCAAGUGUGAUAUAAUUGUGGCGAUCAAUGAAUUAAAUAGAAAGUUAUAGGAGAUUAAAUUAUGAAUUUUGGUGAAUAUAAAAAAAUACUAGGUGGUAAUUUCUUGUCACCUACUUGGGCUAGCAGUGUAAUCAGGUAUCUCAGGAGAAGAGCUAGAGGAAGACAAAGAGUUCAAUUAAAUCACCUUGCUCAAAAUUAGAGUGACAUAAAUAGGGUUAAAUGUUUUUUUAAUUGCAUAUGAAUAGUUGAAUCCAUUUAACAUAAGAAAAAAAUUCUAGUUUAAUUAGUAACAUAGAGGGUUCAAAUAUUACUUUAGCUUACGAGUUUAAACCCUAGGAGUGAUACCUUAGAUAUUUUUUAUCUCCAUGUAUGAAUUUUUGACUCUAUUACUAUCUGGUACUUGUGUUGGCGAGAGUAGAAACAUAUGUAGGUAUUAAUACUGGAUUAAUCUUAACCCAACACUUUCAUUCCAGGACAUGAAUUUAUGAGUAAAAAAUCAUGAUAAAUUCAACAAAUAGUAGAUAUGAACCCACAACAUUAAAACAAGUUCAAUGUUAAGAACCUAAAAAAUUGAAUUCGUAAAGCUUAAAUCUCGAUUUCGCCUCCUUAGAGCGGUAGUAGAUACCUAUACAUAAUUUAGGUAUGUAAACACCGCCGAUAUUACGAUUAAAAAAUUAAUAAAAUCAUAAAAGAUAACCACAUAAAAAAUAAAUUUUUACCAGUUUGCCUCCAUCAAGGAGAACGGGAGAAUCACGCAAACUGAAAAAGAGCUCCUUUUUGGUGUAGCAAACAAGAGGAAACUCGGAUCUAUUAAUUAUUUCUUCAUAAUCAGGGGUAAAAAUCUUCCCCAAAUUUCAUCUGAUUCUGCAACAAAUUUGAAUCCUUUUGAUAAAAUCAUUGAUCCUACUACAUCUGUUAGAGUUGUUUUUGAAAUUACCUCAAAUUUGUAACAUUCUGACAACCUUUCAAAAUAAUUCAUUACAUUAAAGUGAUGAAGAUGGAAUAAUUCAUAUCACAAUUCAUAUAAAAUUAUAUAACUAUUACUUUUGUUCAAAACUUUAUAUAUUAUUAAAUAAUCAAAGGGGAAAAAAUUUAGAAAUCUAUAUUGUCGGUUAUAUAAAUAUUUAUAGUAAUAAGAACAUAUAAUCAUGUUAUUAUAUUUUUCUACUAUAAAUUUGAUUAUAUUGUGUCACGACCUGAAAAUUCAAGUCGUGAUGACACCUUCUAUAACCCACCAGUAAUGCUGUCUAAAAUCAUGAUAUAUCUUUGCAGUGCCCAGAUGAAUAAAUAUUUGGAAUCAUUGGCCUCACGAAGGACACAAUGGAGCUGUUGAAACUUUUAACCGAGGUUGUCUUGAAAAAAAGUGGGUCUCACACCCAAUCUCUGUUUUAAGCCAAAAAUCCACAAGGAGGCUCAGAAUUAGCCCGAAAGACUCAACAACCACACGAAGGGUUGUUCUAGAAAAAAAUCGGUAUUCCAAAGUUAACCAAGCUAACGAAAUUCUCAACUGAGAACGUUUACUAAGAAUGUUGACCAAUGUUAAACUUAGGCCCAAAGUUUAAAUGUUAAAAUGCAUAAUGACACAAACUCAAUAGGAACAGUAAAAUUAUGGCUACAAAACUUAUCAGAUGAAAGUUUAAAAACUCUAAGAAGCAAUAAAAAAUCAAAUGGCGAAUUAGCUACUACAACUAUAGAAAUAUUAUAUAAAUACGAAGUAGCUAUACGAAAUGAAUUUAGUAGUAUGACAACGGAAAUAGAAGAACAAAGAAAACCUCGAGAUCCAAGCCGACCAUGGCACUAGCCUAAAAUGACCCUUUCAGAGGUCAUCUUCUUGAAUUUUUAGUCAAAAUCAACCGUUCAAGGUUCAAAAGCACCAAAACAUAGAAAUUCACAUGAAACCCAAAUGAACGACUAUGUGACUGAGCUAUCAGUCCCAACAAGUCAUAAAUGAGUUUUGGUCACUAUAUGUAUGCUCCAAACGAUGAAAGGAAGGCAUAAGUAUAGAAAUUACCUAACAGUUUACAACAAGAAUAUUAGCCUGACUUGCCUCCGAUCAAUGCCAAUAUUCAUGAGGACUCAAGUUUGGAUCUUCAAAUCUAAAAAAAACUAAAGCAAAAGGGUGAUAAACAUUGUUUGAUGCCUUCCCCGUCAAUGGACUACUCAUCCAUAUCCACUCCUAAGUUUAAAAUCAUUUGGGGCCUUCAUAUGAGGAUCCAGAAAUAUUAGCCCCACAACGAGAACUUCUCCUAACUCCGUCCAUUGAUUACCUUAGUGUAUCCUUCAGUAUGUUUUAUAUACUCUAGGAAUCUUUUGUGCAAAAUAAUUACGAAUUAAACUUUCUUUCUUGUACCUUUUCAUACUUUAGUUUUUUAUUAUUACUUAAGGAUUUUAACUCUUGGAAGCAUCGUUCUCGAUUGCGGAACCUCUCAUGCGCACUAUUCGUGAAAGAGUGAAACAAAUGAAAAUUUGAGAAACUAAUAGGUCUAAGAACACAUGAUAUGGGAUCAAAAGAAAGAAUCUUCCUAAGGAUCUCUUUAUAGCCUUCCGAAUUUGGGAUACAUAUGUCACCACACUAAUCCGAAUGAUUCUACUAAAUAUUGUCUUUGCACCAACAACACCAGUGAACCUGAGGCUCUGAUCCUAUUAAAUCACAUUAGUAGGUAAGCCAAAUCUUAGCCUGUAACCAACGAUAAUGAGCCUAGGGAGUGGAAGAAAUAGAUAGAAGCAUAAAAAAUGUAUUUAAGGUAGAAACACUAGAAAUGAGAGAAUAUAUAUAUAUAUAUAUACACACACAACCCUCGAACGAGGACAAAAUACAAGAUCCAACCCAAAACCUGGUAGAUGCGCGCAGAGUUGUUAUAAAAGACUGAGUACAUACUAGACAUACAUAAGAAAUAUACACAAUGUCUAGAAAUAAUAAAGAGUGGUUCAAAAUGUAUAGAAGGAGACGAGUCAACCAAGACGCCAAUAAGCUCACCUUCGGGAUAUGAAGUACAACAACAUGAGAAUCAACGGGGUCGACUAGAGCUCAGAAUCAAGAAGAAAGAUGUAGAGUGUAGUACGAGUACCAAAAUAACGGGUACUUAGUAGGCAUCAUAGGUCGAUCGAGCUCACGAUUACAAUAACAGAAUAACAAGCGAGUAAUUAACACAUAAUAGGGCACUAGUAAAGGCAUAAGAAUCAUGCAUGCAUCAAAGUAAAGCUACAAUGGAAAUUAAUGAAAGCAAUAAAGUUAUCUAAACCUAAUUGGAUCCCCCUAGACCAGAAUGCACAUGCAAAGGCAUAACAACGAUAAUUAUACAAGCAAUAACAUGUCUGAACCCCAUAAGCCCGACGGGUAUAAGUAAAUACUACACUAUAAGAUACAAUUCGAUAGAUAACACCAGUAUCGUCCCCGAAUUUGAUGUUGGGAUAACCUCAUGUAACCUAGCAUCUCUCAAAAUUUUACAUCAAAAUACCUAGUCUUUCCUAGAAUCUUACAUCAGAAAGCCUUAUUAAAACCUAACACACCUAAAAUUCUUACAUCGGAAAGCCUUUAUAUUACCUAACAUAUCCCAAAACCUUAGCACAUCAAAUUAAACAAGUUAUCAUACAAUCAGAUUCAUUGUUUCUUGUUAAUAUUUUAACGGGUAAGUCGAAGACUCCUUGGAAUAUUGUGGUUUGGGUGCAAGAGAUACAACAUAUCAUAGUAGGGACGGAAACUAAGAUUACUCGCAUUCUAAGGGAAGGGAAUAAAGUUGCAGAUCAUUUGGUAAAUAAAGAUUUAGAUGAUGGAGCAAUACAUAUCAAUAAAUUCCAAGAAUUGACAUAUGAAGGGAAAAGGCUGAUAAAUGGUGACUAGUUAUUAUAUCCAUACAUCAGAACAACAACAAAGUGGUAGAUAGAGAUAUAGUUUCAGGAUUCAGCAACAUCAAGGAGAUACAAUAAAACACAUAAAAGGCAGCACAAUAAGGAGAUAUAGCAUAAUCAAGCUCAAAAGGGCAUGAAUUAAAGGAAGAGAGGUGUACCUGAUAAUGAAGAACUCUUGGAGCUCAACAAUCAUAACAGAUGAUAACAAAGGAGAAAAAAAAUCCUCAAGCAAAAACAAACAAAAGAAAUUGUGAGACACAACACCAGAUACAAGCAAGACGAAGAAGAAAGAGUAAGAUCUAGAGUGUCCUUACCUCAAUCGAAGCUAAAGAACAUGCAACAAUAGUGGAAGAGAUUGAGAGAAAAGUGGCAACAAAAUUCAAGUGUUAGAACUAGGAUUUCCAAUUCUGGUUUUAUUUAUUUCUUAAUUUGUUUUUAAGAAUUUUUUAGAAUUUAUAAUGCUGUCUUCUUGGGCCAGAUCUGAUUAGAUCUAUUUUGGGCCUGGUCUGAUUGGAUCAUGUGUAAUAGGGGAUUAUUUUUUUUUUCAUUUAAAUAAAAAUGCCUACAAGGAAACAUAAUUUAGUAAAAAUAAUAUCUCAAAAUCUUAUGUCAGAAUUGCUAGUCCUUUUUGGAAUCUUACAUUGGAAAGCCUUGAUAUAACCAAAUAUAUCCCAAAAUCAUAAGUUAAAAUUGCUAGUCCUUUCUAGAAUCUCACAUCAUAAAUUGUUGAUAUAACCAAGUAAUCUCGAAAUAUUACAUCGAAAGGACUACACAAAAACAUAACAUCUCUCAAAAUCUUACAUCGAAAUAUCUACAACACUAACUAGAGUCUCCCAGAAUCUCACCUUGGGUCAGUUAUAAGACUAAAAGAAAACGGAUCUUGCAUAAGUCUAGAUGGUCAUCUCACUACAACAAUCCCAUUACACAUAUUGUAGUGACUCAGUCAGUCAUUUUUUGUUUUUAUGGAAAUUAUCAUUUUGCCCUCCCGAUAUUGACCAUAAGUCUUCUAUGAUUGAGUUUGAAAAGUAGUCUUGAACUUUGAGUUAAAAGUUGAGAAUUUGGUAAGUUUUGAGUUUGAAAGGCUAAGUUGUUAAGAAAGUAGUUUUUGAUGUCUUUUAGAGUUUCGAGUGUCGGAAUGGAAUUUCAUCCAUUCUAUCAGUCCCAAAAUGUGAAAUCUAUUCUGGGAGUUGUCGGUUUUUUAUUCCGAGUCUUUUUGAGGAUUUGAGGUCCUUAGUUGUGAAAUUGUGGGAUUUUAGCAUUUGGAUUGACUUUGGUCAAUAUUCAGGGUUCAUAUGCUCGGAUCAGAAUUCAGAGAGUUUCAUUGGAUUCAGGGAAUAAUUUUAGGCCUAGGUGAGGUCUUGGUUGAUUUUUGAGACGUCCCGAUCUUCUUUUUUUAGCUUUUUAGGCGUUGAGUUAGUUUCUUGCAAUUUUCACGGAUGUCAAGUCAAGGAGACCUUAUAUUCGUAUUUUGAUAGUUCCAUUGAGUCUGUAAUGUUUAUUACAAUUGAUUUGCAUAUGUUGUUUGUGUGCACGGGGUUCCAAAUGAAUCUCGAGGGUCCUUUCGAUGUUUUUAAAUUGGCUGAUGUUUCUGGUGCGGCAGUCUUCGCUCAAGCGGAACUUGGUUCGCUUUAGCGAUGGUCAGUUAAGAAGAACCUGGUUCACAAAAGCGAGACUGACCUUUUGGGCGGGGUUCACUUUAGCGAUAGUCGCUUAACCGAAAUUUGGUUCGCAAAAGCGAGACCCCUAGUUUUUGCGGGGUUCGUUUAAGCGGAACCUGGUUCACUUAAGCGACAUCUGUUGACACCCAAUUUUGGCUCUCCACAUUUAACUAUAGUAAUAAUUAUAAUUAUAAUAAUAAUAAAAUAUAUAUGUUAUGAAAUUUUUCAUAGGAAUACAAAAAAAAAAAAAAAUUAUUUAUUUGACUUGAUAAAUUUAUUUCUCAAAUGUUAUUUCUUAUAAAAAUUAAAUAUAUUAUAUUACUACUUACUUUCUCAUUUUUAAAUAAAUGUUGUUCUUCUUAAGAAUUGAAUCUAUUUUGGUUCAAAUAUAAUUCCUUUGUCGCAAUAGAUAUUUUUCGUGUAUUUAUUAAUAUUGGAAAGCUUAGUUAAUUAAUGAUUUACUAAUUUAUAUUAAUUUAAUUUUAAGAGUGACUAAUUUUAUCAAAUAAGUUAAUCUUGCAAAAUAAUUAUCACUUAUGGCUAUUUAAUAAAGAAAGUAGUUAUAAUUUAAAUGAAUUCAAUUUGAGCAAAUUUGGCAAUCCAAGUCUUAUUAAACCGGCCAAUCCGUGUAUGCCAUGUAGGCGAGCACAUGGAUUGUGCUUCUUUAGAUUCGAUCUCAGCCUUACAAUCUAAUCUAAUGGCCUUAAUUAAUUCAUCCUUUUACUAUUUUAUAUAUAUAUAUAUUAUUUAUUUAUUUAUUUAUUUUUAAACUCUCUAUUUUUACCAACCGUCCGAUCAAAUGAUCGGACGGCCCAAAUUAAAUCCCAAAUAAUUCAUAUUCCCCAAAAUAAGUACAAUUCCCAUCAGCCGCAUACCCUCCUCAACGUCUUCUUCUUUUUCCAGAAAAAGGAGGCACUGUUCCUUCCUCUUCCCCAGACGUCCUCACCUUCCCCAUGCCCCUUCAUCCUCUCUCGUCAAUCGCCCAUCGUCCGCUGCCAAAGAAACGGCCAUGAACCGCCGGAAAACGACAAUAUCCGGCGGUCUCCAACGUCACCUCUUCCUCCAUCCGCCAUCCAUCAAUCACAGCCCCUUUUCCAUCGACUUUACAUCUUUUCUGAACCACGACAGGCCUAAAAAGCCACACUACUGCCGCUGCUGCGACUGAAGAGGUGAAGAACGUGAAGGACCAUCAGAUUUGGGAUCGUUGUCCCCUUAAUCUGAUGGUUGUAAGAUUGGAAGCCUCCCCCCAAAUUCGACUAUAAAAUCAGCCCCUUUGUUUCUCAUUUAAGGGGGCGAAAAAAUGAACGGGAAAAGAGAGAUCGAACACACUUCAAACAUUAGAUUUAAGAAAAUUUAUAUCUUCUCUCAUCUUUCGAUUUUCGGUCUUGAAUUCGAGUUUAAGAAAGUUGGAAGUUAGAAUCUUGACGUCGAAGAUCUAGUUUGCUGCUCUACACAAGGUCAGUAAUCUCGUCAUUUAGUUCGUUUUCAAGGAUUGGUUAUUAUAGUAUGGAGCAUUUUUGUGUUGUUAUUCUCUGAUUUAAAUAUGCACUGAAAUAUGUCUUGCUGUAAUUUAGUUAGAAAUCAGCUUGCAACAGGUUAAAUGAGUUUCUUAGAUUAGGAGAAUUGACUGCAAACUCGAUUAGUUGAAGUUGUGAUUGACAUUUAUAGCUCAUUUCAGUUUUUUUUUUUGUGUGUGUGUUAGAAUUAUCCUUGGUUUUCUGUCCAAAAUUGUUGUUUCUUGUUAUCCAAAAAAAAAAUACUUUUCGUGUUCAUGUAUUGACUAAAAUUGACUAUACAUGGUUAAGUAUUUUACUAUGCGACUAAAAUGAAAAUACUGCUCUGUUUGAUCCUAGUCCUAUCAAAUAAUUUGAACUGAUGUUGAAUGUGUGAAAAUGUUCAUGGAGUCUAAAGUUUUUGUGUUAACUUUUUUUUUAAAAGAAUGGGUUGUUAAGCCGAAACUAGUUUUCUAUAUCUAACUAUUAAUUUAGAUAGGAGUGAUUAGCUGAAUAUUUUCUUGAGAAUAUCUUAGUACUCUAUUGAUCCUAAUCUCAUUUUCAGAGUUCUCAAAGUACUGUUUCAAAUUUAGCUAAAAAAUGUAUAGAUUCUCAAGAGAAGAUUUUUUUUAAAUUGGUAAUAUAAGGUAGGAAGUACCUCCUAAAGUCAAAUGUUAACACUCAUAAGAAAAUUGAUAUUUACAUGAUUUUGUUGACAAAUUAGCUCGUCUUUAGGUUCGUAAAUUGUUGGACUUAUAAGAAUUGAUGUCACUGUAUUUAUUUACUUUUGUUCAUGUCUGUUUGUGUGUUUGCAUCACUGUACUAUUAAUUAAGUUGCUAAUCUUUACCCUUUUUUUUCAUAUGUUUCAUGUACAACCGGAGAGCUAGAGUUUCUACUUUGAAACUCGGUUUGGCCUAAAAUAUUAGGCCAACAACAAUUAGGAUCAUCAGAAUGCUUGGAGUCUCAUAAUUAGGAGUCUAAUGUUCCUCAGCCUUUCUUUUGUUGCCUUAUGUUUUUUUUAUGUUGGCUAACUUUUACUCUUAAGUUUCAUCGUCCUACUUAUAUUGUUUUUGAUAUGUUAGCUAACAUUUACUCUUAAGUUUUGAUACAUUGCUUGUCUUCUUUUAUUUUUAAAGAUUAUUCAUGUGAGCCAAUAUUUGUUUGCUUGUGAGUUUAGUUGAAACAUUUUUUAGGAAAUGGGUUAGCAUUUUUACCUAUAGUACUCUUUUUAUGUUUUUUUUUGAGUUGAGGAAAGGGGCUUAUAGUUUAAGAAUUUUCCAAACAAAGUUUCAAAGGUUAAAAUAUAUUACUAAAAUAUUUUAAUCUUGUAACACGCUAUUUCAAAAUUUUAUUUUUUAUGCUCUUUACAUCACCUCUUUAUAAAAUAUAUUGACUAUUCUUACUUUUUUGAAUCAAACAUUGCAAAAANNNNNNNNNNNNNNNNNNNNNNNNNNNNNNNNNNNNNNNNNNNNNNNNNNNNNNNNNNNNNNNNNNNNNNNNNNNNNNNNNNNNNNNNNNNNNNNNNNNNNNNNNNNNNNNNNNNNNNNNNNNNNNNNNNNNNNNNNNNNNNNNNNNNNNNNNNNNNNNNNNNNNNNNNNNNNNNNNNNNNNNNNNNNNNNNNNNNNNNNNNNNNNNNNNNNNNNNNNNNNNNNNNNNNNNNNNNNNNNNNNNNNNNNNNNNNNNNNNNNNNNNNNNNNNNNNNNNNNNNNNNNNNNNNNNNNNNNNNNNNNNNNNNNNNNNNNNNNNNNNNNNNNNNNNNNNNNNNNNNNNNNNNNNNNNNNNNNNNNNNNNNNNNNNNNNNNNNNNNNNNNNNNNNNNNNNNNNNNNNNNNNNNNNNNNNNNNNNNNNNNNNNNNNNNNNNNNNNNNNNNNNNNNNNNNNNNNNNNNNNNNNNNNNNNNNNNNNNNNNNNNNNNNNNNNNNNNNNNNNNNNNNNNNNNNNNNNNNNNNNNNNNNNNNNNNNNNNNNNNNNNNNNNNNNNNNNNNNNNNNNNNNNNNNNNNNNNNNNNNNNNNNNNNNNNNNNNNNNNNNNNNNNNNNNNNNNNNNNNNNNNNNNNNNNNNNNNNNNNNNNNNNNNNNNNNNNNNNNNNNNNNNNNNNNNNNNNNNNNNNNNNNNNNNNNNNNNNNNNNNNNNNNNNNNNNNNNNNNNNNNNNNNNNNNNNNNNNNNNNNNNNNNNNNNNNNNNNNNNNNNNNNNNNNNNNNNNNNNNNNNNNNNNNNNNNNNNNNNNNNNNNNNNNNNNNNNNNNNNNNNNNNNNNNNNNNNNNNNNNNNNNNNNNNNNNNNNNNNNNNNNNNNNNNNNNNNNNNNNNNNNNNNNNNNNNNNNNNNNNNNNNNNNNNNNNNNNNNNNNNNNNNNNNNNNNNNNNNNNNNNNNNNNNNNNNNNNNNNNNNNNNNNNNNNNNNNNNNNNNNNNNNNNNNNNNNNNNNNNNNNNNNNNNNNNNNNNNNNNNNNNNNNNNNNNNNNNNNNNNNNNNNNNNNNNNNNNNNNNNNNNNNNNNNNNNNNNNNNNNNNNNNNNNNNNNNNNNNNNNNNNNNNNNNNNNNNNNNNNNNNNNNNNNNNNNNNNNNNNNNNNNNNNNNNNNNNNNNNNNNNNNNNNNNGGACUAUCUUUGGAUAGGCUUUGAGGGGUGCUUAACACCUUCCCCUCGAGUAACCAAAACCCUUACUCAGAAUCUCACUGGUUUCGCAAAUCAAAACAGAGUUUACAUUUACAUAAAUAAAAAUGGUUUUCCUAAUAUUUUCCUUAAAAUUUAGGUGGCGACUCUAAAACAAAACAAUUAUUUUUCCAAAAUCAGAGUGUCAGCCACAUUGUGUUGUGAACUGUUUCGGCCUGGUUCGAAAUAGGGUGCGACAACAUCAGAGGGGGUUUUGACCUGCAAAUUACGGGGUUUCAACCCCAUUUCACCAUUUUUAGAUUUGGGAGCGUUGGGGUGGCGAUUUGGACCAGAUUUUUUAGCAAAAUCUUUUGGGUAAUGAUUCUUAACUCUAAAUCUUCAUUCACCCAUUAUUAUUUAUUGAUUUAUGUAAUCAAAUCAAGCUUUUAAAUUUUUGACUCUAUAAAAAAUUUCCAUAUGAUUUAUUCUUGGUAAAUAUUUGAGGCCCCCCAAAAUUGGGGCCCUAAGGCAUAUGCCUUAUUUUUUUACAAAAUAGAGCCACCCCUGCACCCAUGGUAAGUAAAACACACUUAGAUGUUGACUAGACAAAACAUUUAUCAAGAAAUGCUUCUAGGCGUGUUUGCCCAUAAAAUCUCCAUCCAUCUAGUAUAUAUUACAACUUUAUUAUUAAAUUAAUAAUUUUUAAAUCCUUAACUCUCCCCUCUCAAGUCAGAGAUAUCGAGAUCACGCCUAAGAUAGUGGAUGUCACGGUUGGAACAAAUCAAUUUAUACGAUGAUAGUUUUAACUUUUAACUUAAUAUUAAUUUAUUUAGAUUUGCUACACGGGAAUUAACUUUUAACAUGAAAUGCCACGUGACAGAAUUUUUAAACAAAAGAGAGAGUAUACACACAUCAUCAGAAAUUUGUUGAGGUGUGUUUCACUAAUUAUCAUAGUUCAAGUAUGAAACUCAUACUCUUAAUAGUUCAAGUGUGAAACUCAAAAAGCUGAUUAGUUUAGAUAUGACGUUUUUUACCCUUUGGGGUCGUUUUGUAGAGAGUAUUAGGAGCAAUAGUUCAUGUAUUAUGUAUGGUAUUAGUUAGGGUACUGUGUUUGCUAGAAUUUUGGGCUUAUAUAUAAUUAAUCUAUGUAUUAGUUAUACACCCUACAAGGUAUUAUUGGAUGUACAACUAAUACCUUCCAUUUGGUGGUAUUAGUAAAUACAUACUUCCUUUGUCCCACUUUAUAUGACUUACUUUCACUUUAAUAAUUCCCAAUAAAAUGACACAUUUCUAUAUUUAGUAACAAUUUAACUUUAAAAUGUCUAGUUUACCCUUAGUGAAAUGAUUUUUAGCCACACAAAUAUCUAUGACUCAUUUUAGACCACAAGUUUCAAAAGUCUUUUUUUCUUUCUUAAACUCCCUACCAAGAACUAACACAUAUAAACUGGGACGGAGGGAGUAGGAUUUAAUACUAUGGGAUGAAUCUAUGUAAAGACAAAAAUACCCCUCAAAUCCUUUUAAUCAUUUGAUUUAUUUUCUUGAUUUUAUGUUUUAUAUUUGUACUAGUAAAUUUAUUUAAAUAAAUUAGCUUACAAAUUUUAUUAUUUAGAGAGAGUUGUUUGUUGCUAAAUAAAUCCAAAAAUACAAAUCAAUACAAUAUUUGAAAUGUGAGUUAUUUAAUAUUUACUAAUUGAAAAAGGCAAAUAUAUGACCACAUGACAUUUAUGAUCUUAAUUGAAUUUAUUAUUUGCUGAUAUAUAAGUAUGUGGUUUUCUAUUUUUCGUAUUUUAAAUAAUUUAUAAAAUUGCAUAGAUAUUAAAACUACAACUUGUAAUUUGUAUAUGUAAACGUAGAUGAUUUAUUCGAUUUUACUAUUGCUUACCGUCUUUUCGAUUUUAAAAUUAGAUGGUCUAUCUUUUAAAAUUGAAUAUUGAUGUUUUAUUAGGAGAUCAAUUUAUUAAGAUGACAAUUAUUUACCCUCAAAUAAUUCAAGUGAAAAAAUUACAAACAUGACAAUAAAAUUGUUCUUCUCCUAACUAGUUAGAAGGCGAAAAAAAUAAUAUUGUCCAGCUGUUAUCUACUUUGAUCCAAUUACAUAAAAUAGAAAAUCACAUGACAAUUCUAGGAUAUAAUUGAAAAGAAGAUUUUGUAGAGUUUUAAUCCAAACACAAAAUUAGAUGGGAAGCAAUGAACCAAACCCUUAUAGAAAAUAAAUCAUGCAUUACUAAUUCAUGUAUUACUAAUCCCUACGUUAUUAAUAUUUGUACCAAACAAACCCUCAAACAAACCCUUAAUUCAAUAGACAUACAUCACCUACUGUAAUUUAGACCCAUUUAAAGACCUAAUUGAAUGCAACGUGUUGGCUUGUUGACGAGUAUCAAUAGAUUACUAAUUAAAAAAAGGCUAACUUUUACAUUUAGCAAACAUAAAAAUCAUAUUUGUAUGUUUUAGCUAUAGUUUGCAUAAUUACGCUCCAUAGCAAAUUUUAUGUUUGCUAUGGAGCUUUUGAUUUGUAUAAUUCGCUAGAUUCAUUCAAUUUUAUACAAAUUGUUCAGUUUUGUAUAAAUUCAUUUAUACAUUGUAAUUUGUAUAAUAAGAUCUGUAUUUGUAUAAUUAUAAGUGUAUAGGAUGAAAAUAUAUGUAUUUAUAUUUGUAUAUACAUUUUUCUCUCAUUUUAUACAAACACAAAUGCAUUUUAUACAUUUUAUAUAUUUGAUACCGAAUGGGUAAUUGUAUACCGAAAAUGACUAAUUGUAUACCGAACCAGAUGACAAAAAAUUGGAAUGUUUGCUGCGAAUUACAAAUAAAAUAAACUAUGGCUAUAACAUUUAAUUUGAAUUAAUUGUUUGUUAUUUCAUACAAUUUUCCCUUAAAAUAAUACUCUUCGCAAACAAUAAAUAUAGAAUCAAUCAGCUCAUGAUUGAAAAGAUAACACAUUAUAACUCAAUUAUUACAAUACUUUCUUGCAAACUUCCAUAAUAUUUCUGAGUCAAUAUAAUAUAAAACCCUUCAUCAAGUUGAGAUGGCAGGCAGAAAGGAAACUUACAUUUGAAUAUAUGUUUGAUCAGAAGAAUGAUUAGUUGUUGUGGAUUAGAUAAUAACUAGUCAUUAAGUUUAAUUUAACACAAUUAUAAAAAUUACAAUAUUUUCUAUACUCCUUGGUCUGAAUUUACGUGACACUUUUAAUUUUGACUAGACCCUUCAUCAAGUUGAGAUGGCAGGCAGAAAGGAAACUUACAUUUGAAUAUAUGUUUGAUCAGAAGAAUGAUUAGUUGUUGUGGAUUAGAUAAUAACUAGUCAUUAAGUUUAAUUUAACACAAUUAUAAAAAUUACAAUAUUUUCUAUACUCCUUGGUCUGAAUUUACGUGACACUUUUAAUUUUGACUAGACACAAAAUUUAAAAAUAAAUAAAAAAUGAAGACUUUUGAAAUUUGUGAUCUAAAACACUCUUUAACCAUUGUGUGGCUAAUUUCUUUAAAUGGAAUUUAAAAGUUAAGUUAUUUCUAAUUAUAGAAAGGUGAUAUAUUUUCUCAGAAACGGACUAAAAAAAUAAUGUGUCACAUAAAUUGAGACAGGGAAAGUAAUAAAGAAAUCCAAUGCAUCCAUGUGUAGAGGCUUUGAGCAACCGUUAUCAUUUUGGAAUGCCAAUCCUCAGAUCAAGCCCAAGGUCCAUUCCGUUGUAGGCAAUGGGAGCAUACAUCCAUAGAUCUUCAGAGCUCAAUAGCUGCAUGCACAAAACACACCACAUUAACAUCCAUCUCUUCAUUCCAAAGUAUCAGAUAGAGCACAUUUUUAUUAGUUAAUUAUAUCUUCAACACGCUUCUCACGUGCAAGUCAUAUUCUUUUUCAUGGGACAAGCACAUGUAAAUUCCUUCCUAGGACCUUUGUCUGCUCUAAUAUCAUGUUAAAGUGUAUGACUAUCUCAUCUAAAAGCUUAAGUUGUUUGAGAGAACGCACUUUUAUUAGUUAAUUAUGUUCUCAACAUAGUAAAUCUUAUCUAGUAACAUAAAAAAAGAAAAUGUUGUUCAGUUUUAGUGUCAGAUCCUCCAAAAGUAGUGCAUUUUUGGAAGAUCCAAUACAGAUAUAGAAACAUUUUUGUGGAGUCUGAGCUCAUAGAUUGUUCUCUCCGUGUGAAUAUGAUUGUGUAUGUUUAUUGUCUUCGUGCAGUUUAAAUCCUUAAUGCAUUGCAACACUUUGUGAAGGGAAGAUAAUAAACCUUACCUUGAUUUGGAGUUGCAAAAAUUUAACAUACUGAACUGCCUCUUCAAGCAUGGUGCUAAUGUCAACCUGUCAUCAAAUAUUUUGCCAUUUAGGUUCACAUUCUUUCAGCAGAUAUAUAACAGAACGAUCGAUCACUAAUGCAGUUACACUGACUUAACUUACCUUGGUUCCAUUAGGGAUGAGACUCUGCAAGGUCUUCAAUCUCUCGUUAAUUCGCUCUCUUCUUUUCUGUUAGAAGAGAAAGAAGAAAAUCAUUUACAUAUUUACUAGCAGAUCAACAAAAUGUAACAGGCAGUUAGUUACAUACCCUGGCAUACAAGCUCUGGGGGUCAGUUGCUGAACCCCUGCUUGCUCUGGAUUUUUGAGUCAACUCGAGAGAAACAUUAGAUUCAUCUUCUGAGCAACAACUGAUCAUUGAGUUUUGCCUCUGAAGCACAGCCUUGUUUUUACCAUCCAUCUCGCCAGUCUUAACGUCUGUUUGCAGCUUUGUGCUUCUCUUGUUCUUUGGUACCUACAUCAGGAAUCAUUAAAUCUACAAUUCUGAAAGAAAAUUAACAACAACUACUAAUAAUAAUAAUAAAUCAGAUAGAAAGGUUUUGAAGUUUAUGAAUAACACUCACAUGACCAUGUAACCGCGCUCUUUUCUUAGAACUUUCUGUUGGACUAUGAUCUUCUGGAAAUCGCUCAUAAUCUAUUCUUCCUAGCUGCAAGCCUUUUCCAUCAAGAAGAGGUUCAGCCAUGUUUCCAUCAAACUCCAUGUUAUUAACGAAGUACUCAUCUGCUUCAAUUGGAUUAUUAGUAUCCAUCAGACCACGUUCUGUUGUUAUUGAACUAUCAUUUCUCAUCAAGAUAGGCCGAGAAUAACUUGAGUAGUAACUUUCAUGACUCGGAGGAGGAAAGAGAAAACCACUAUGUUCUCUUCCUCCUGACGAUCCAAUAUUUGAUUCAUGACCAAUAUUCCAAUAACCAGAUGAAACUCCGUAGUUAUUAGAAUCAUUUGGAAACGAACAGUUACCAAGUAACUGUGCCAUGAAAUCCGCCUCCUCAGUAAAACACAUUCCACUCAAGGAACUCCAAUCUCCUUCAAACAUUGAUGCCACAUGCUCCAUUCUCUUAACAACUUAUUUAUAAUAGAGAAACUCAAUGUUGGAAAUAGUGAGAGAUAGAAGCGCGUAUUUAUAGCAAUAUAUAGGAAUAACAGAAGGGAUUUGACUUUGGUAGGUAUAUCAAUAUUCUAUGACUGAGCAACCAAUAAACAGAAUAUGCCCCCGAUUGUUUUAAAUAUAAAUAGAUUAUGUAUAAAAUGGGGCAAAUUACAACUAAGAUAGACUUAGUUCAACCAGAUAGGGACUAAAUUGAGGGAAUAUAAACAUUUAUAAUUAUGUAAUUGUGACAAUGACUAGAGUAUAUAUAGCAAUGAUUGAGAAAAGGAUUAAGUAUUAUGAGUAACUAUCAAUUGUCCAAAUUUUAUAAUUAGGAAAAUAGGGAAAAGAGAUUGAGAAUCAUACCUGGAGAACGUGGGAGUCUUUUUCAAUACAUUAUAAAAUGAAACCACAAAUGGCAUCACCUGAGAAUAUGCAGAUCUAUUGUGGUGCUGAGUUUGACAUUUUAGAAGGGAAAGAUUGAAAUGUAUCUUUCAAAAAACUCUGAUACCGGUACUUGUUGGUGUAGUCGAAGUGCCUGGAAGCUAAUCUCUUACACUAUCGUCAUUAAAAAGAAAAAAGACUAUUGCUUAAUAUCCUCAGUUUCCCAAGACAGGGGCAUAUCCAGGAGGGGAUCACCGGGUUCACGUGAACCCAUGCUCCCCUCCUGAAAUCAUAUAUACAAGUGUUAUAUUUUUUUUUAAAAAUAUUUAAAUAUAGAUAUGUGAACCCACACUCGAAGUAUCAUAUAAUGUCGUGUGAUGAUAAUUGGGUGGACCUAUCUAAGUUAGGUUAGAAAUUUGAAUUUUUUAUCUAUCUUGUGAGAAAAGGCCCAAAAUAGUCCCUCAUCUUUGGAUUAAGACUUAAAGUCAUUCUUGAGUUUUCACAUGGAGCAUUAAUAGUCCCUCAUGUUUGCAAUAUUGGUGCAUUUUUGGUCCUCCUUCAAAAUUUUGCCUAUUUUUUAACAUUGAUUUUAUUCAUAAUUUAUGUAUGGAAUGUUUUAUCGCCAUUUUAUAUAUUUAGUAGAAAUAAUAACUCCAUGUGAGAGAUUGUGAGAAGAAAAACACUUUGUUUUGUUUAGUAGAAAUCGUAUUGCAGGUACAAUCGAGAGGUUCAUCACGACAAUUUCACGUGCAAUAGUACAAAUUUUUCUUUUCUUGCAAUGUCAUAUGUCAAAAUGUUCUUAGUUUAGCUGCAGUAAUAUUUAUACUGAACAGAACAAGGUGUUCUUCUCACCUUCUCUCACUUAGAGUUAUUUUUUCUAUUAAAUAUAUAAAAAAAAAUUGAUGAGACAUUCCUUACAUAAAAUUAUGAACAAAAUUAAUGUUAAAAAAUAGGCAAAAGUUUAGGGGAGGACCAAAAGUGCACCAAUAUUGCAAACAUGAGGGACUAUUAGUCUGCAUGUGAAAACUCAAGGAUGACUUUGAGUCUUAACCCAAAGAUGAGAGACUAUUUUGGGCCUUCUCUCUUUUAUUUUCCUUUUUAAAAUUGGAUAACACUUCUCUAAUUGGUUUGGAUAGAUAAAAAAUAAUUUUAGACCUAUAAUUUUAAAAUUUUAAUGGUUUUCAGUGAUAAGAACAUAAAUAUUAAAUAAAUCAAAUUUAUAUCUUAGAUUCACCUUUUCGUAAUAGUGCAUCCAUAAUUUCAAAAUUCUGAAUACGCCUCUGGCUGCGGAAAUUAGACUUGUCAUCACCGAACAUAUCAAAUAUGCCGUUACCAUUAUGUGCAUGUGCGACUAUGAGAUAAGCCGUCACAGCUUGUUAGUAAGUAGUAAUUCACAACAAGGGCAUGUCUGGAAAUCAUGUGUAGGGAUGGCCAUGUGCGGGACGGAUGCCGAGCGGGGUGAAUUUAAGGCUAUACGGGGCGGGACGGGUGGUAAAAGGUCCUCUAUAAAGUUUGAUAUCGUAACAGCAAUUUCGGCCAAAAUUGGAAUAUUUUUUAGACCCUUUUCCCAAUGUGUAAAUAAGUUUUAAUGUGUGGUAAAUUUUUUGCUUCUCUUUGAAAAUUGAAUAGUAUAAUUAUUCCUUAUUAUAUACAUCAAUUUUAUAUUGAUUAAAUUGCUUAUCAAACAAACACAUAAAAGCUAUAAAACUACCAUUAGAAAAUGUAUAAAGUCCACCUUAAGUUAGUACGUAUUUCAUAAAAAGACACUUGCAUCCCUUGAACUACUUGAAAGUAAUAUUAUUACUUCUUUUUUUUAUCAAGCCCAGUUAUUAAAAAAAGAAACAAUUUUUACUUACCAAUCUCGAAUUUUCAUAUAUUAAAUAUCAUAAAUUAUAAAAAUAAAUAUGAGAAAAUAUUAUUCUUUCAUAAAUAAAGAAAAAUUCUUUCCAAACUCCUCCCCAAACUCUUCCCCAUCCCCACUUACUUUUCGCCUUUCCCUAACCUUGUUCACCAAAUAAAAAACAGCAGUUACCUUCAUUAAGAAAUGAAAAACAAGAAUCAAUCCACUAUUUUGUGUUAUUUAUCAUUGUAAUAUUAGAAAAAUAAUCAUCAUUUUAUUCUAUUUUUCUAUCCUUGAAAUUAUAUAAAUAUAUCUAUGGGUAGUAUCUUAUGAUAUAGUGAUCGAAUAUAAUAGUGAUUAAUCGUAAUUGUUGAUGGUAACGACUGAUAAUUUGUAGUGAAAUAAUAGGUGGUGAAUGAUGAUGAUUGCUAGCGGUAUAUAAUGUUGACUAAUGAUAGUAAUUAUUGACGGUGAUUAGUAGGAUGUAGUAAUGGAUUAUGGUAAUGAUUGUAACUGAUGGCUAAUGUUGAUGAUUAUUGAUUUUGGGAAUUAGCGAUAGUUGUGACUUGUGAUUGUAGUUGGGCUAAGGAUGGACGUGAUUGUGGAUGGAAGGCAGUGAUGAUUGACUCAGUGGUUGUAGUUAUGGAGGUCAUAGAAAAGUGUCACAUCACCUUUUCUAUGUUUCUCCUUUAUUAUAUAUAUAGAUUUUAGAAAAAUAAUCAUCAUCAUUGUAUUCUAUUCCUCUAUUCUUGAAAUUAUCAUAUCAUCAUAUAUUACUAUAAGUGGGAAGAACCUAGGUCAAAAGUCGAAUUACGAAAAUACCCUUUAACUGUUAAUUUAUUUUCUUGAAAUUAUUUAAUAUAUUAUUUUUUUCAUUUAAUAUUUAUUUUGUGAUUCAAUGUAACCCUUUAAAUAUUAAUCUAUUUUCUUAAAAUUAUUUAAUUAUUAUUUUUUUAUUUAAUAUUUAUUUUGGGAUUCAAUGAAUUUUGAUUUUUCGUAUUAUGGUAAUUAAAACUCCUAUUUCCAGCUAGACUUACAAUUUAGUACUCAUUAUUAAAUUGCAAAUUAUUAUUAGCAAAAAAAAAGGCAACAAUCUUUACAUCUUCCACGUAGUAAUAGUGAUGAUUUUUCAUAAUCAUAGUUACUAUAAAAUUUUUAAUACUUAGUCAUUAUGAUUUUCCAUUACACAUUUAAUAUAUUUGAAUUCUUUUACAUAUUUUAUCAUUAGAUUACAGUUUUAUUUCCACAUUACAUUUAAAUGUUAUAAAUUGUUUAAUAAAUUAAUUAUUAAAUAGUAAUAAUAAAUCAUCAUAUUAGUAUACAUAAAUGUCCCGAGCCUACACCCCGGAAGCGACACGGCGUACAAGACUCCGAAAAAUCUCAUACAAGCCUCAUAGCAUUCAUAACAUUCAAUAUAAGGAAAAUGGUACAUAAUUAAAACUUUAUUUAAAACCAUACAAUCAAAAUACUCAUUUAAAACAUUCAAAAAUAGCGGAAGUCUAUCGUCUCACAUGGCCAUCUAAACAACAUCUUGAAAACUAAAGUAGGGACACGGUCCUUUACAAUCGAAAGACUAACAAAUCUCUAUUACAUGAAAGAAAUGGAAACUACAAUACUUGUCCUCGAUCUAUGAGGACAUACCACUUUGCCUUGAAAGAAUCUCAAAUCCAAGCUUCUACUAGAGAGAGUCAAACCGUACCAAUCUCUACACUUCAUAAAGGUAAAGAAUGUGGGUUAGCACACUAAAGUAAUAAGUAUGGUAGCCAUGCAAAAAUAUGCUUAAAACGGAUAUUUUAUUUGAAAGUCAUGAUAUAUUCAUGAAUAUAAGCAUAAGAGGCAUAAUACAAGACAUAAUCAACAUAUAAGACAUUUCAUUACCUUUAGCUUUCACCUCAAGUAACCCUCAAGCUAUACUUUCUGCAAUGUAUGAAUAGCGUCCCAUACCACUAUUCACACUAAGUACCACCUCAAGGUCACCAAAAGUGAACUUACCAUUCAACCUUUCCAUCUUUACACAAUACUCAUACAUAAGAGACAUAAACAUUACAAAAGUCAUAUCAUCACAUUAGGACCAUCAUCUAGGGCAACCUUAAGUCAUAUUUGUGCAAUGUAUGAGUAGCAUCCCAUACUACUACUCACACUAAGUACUCCUUUGAAGUCACCAUAGAGAAGGCACCUUCAUACUCAAUAAGUCAUGACAAGGAAGUAACUCAUAAUACAAUCCAAGUAUAGCAUACAUCAUUACAUUAAAUACAUAAAGUCAACAUUCCCCAUUAGCUUCAUUAAGAACACCUUCAUUGAUUAGAGAUUAAACCAACAUUCUCCAUUAGCAUCAUCAUAAGAGCAUACUCAUUUCAUUUAACAUUAUAAAGGAACACACUAUGACUACUCUUAAAGUCUACUUGUGCAAUGCAUAGAUGGCAUCCCAUACUACCACCCAUACUAAGUAGUACAUUCUUGAGAAGCCAUAGUUCAUUAACAUUCUUUGUGGGGUAAACCUUAACCUACAUAGACCAUGUGAGCAAUUCAUGGAAUCCCGGUGUCACCCUCACCGGAUAAGGGAUUCGUACUUGCAUAAGGUAGGACCAUUGAUUUUAGCUUAAGUGGAUCCACUAGCUAGACCUAUGUGGGCACAUAGUUAUGGGAUAAGGAGAUUGCUACUAGAUACCCCGCCUCAACUCACGGAUGAGCAUCCAUCUCAAGAGAUAGUUACUAGAUACCCCGCCUCAACUCCCGGAUGAGCAUCCAUCUCAAUUCAUAUCCACUCGGUGCUUACCAUUAUUCCCCACAGAGUAUUUAGCAUUCAUUACAUUAGUCAUCAUUAUGGGAUAAGAGAUUGUUACUAGAUACUCCGCCUCAACUCCCAGAUGGGAAUCCAUCUCAACCCAACAUUCAUUCAUUAGAUAGCUCAUAGAUUCAAAGAUGAGAAUAUCCUUUCACCUAAGAACCCCUUUAUUGUGAGAAAGUAAUUUCACAACAAGUCAUUAACAUUCAUUAGAGUACAAUUGAGAAUAGCCCUUUCAAUAGACUCAUCAUCAUUAACAUUAUCAUAGAANNNNNNNNNNNNNNNNNNNNNNNNNNNNNNNNNNNNNNNNNNNNNNNNNNNNNNNNNNNNNNNNNNNNNNNNNNNNNNNNNNNNNNNNNNNNNNNNNNNNNNNNNNNNNNNNNNNNNNNNNNNNNNNNNNNNNNNNNNNNNNNNNNNNNNNNNNNNNNNNNNNNNNNNNNNNNNNNNNNNNNNNNNNNNNNNNNNNNNNNNNNNNNNNNNNNNNNNNNNNNNNNNNNNNNNNNNNNNNNNNNNNNNNNNNNNNNNNNNNNNNNNNNNNNNNNNNNNNNNNNNNNNNNNNNNNNNNNNNNCCAUAAAUCUAAGAUACUACAAUAGAUAAGGAAAUUGACAUGAUUCAAUAACUAAUCCAAUAUAAACAUCAACAAUUCAACAUAUUUACAUAAUCAACCAAUUCCGAAUCUCAAUUCACCACUUAAGAAUUUGGGGGAAAACAUGGGUUCUAGGAAUAAAUCAUCUUAAUUCAUCUUUAAAACCACAACUCAUUCAAAAUUCAAUGCAAUAAAGCCUUUGAAAAUCGUUUGGAAUCGAACCCAUGCCAAGAUUGAAAACUAGGGUUUUUGGGGAAACAUUGGGGAUUUGAAAUUCACUUUGAAACUGGCUCCUUGAAAGAAACUAAGUCAAGGAUGAAGACUACCAUACCUUGCUAUUGAAUCNNNNNNNNNNNNNNNNAACACCUUGAAUCCACAAACCCUAGCUCCCACCUCUUCUUCUUCUUCCUUGGAAACUUCUAUAGAGAGAAUUUUUUAGAGGAAGAACUCUUUGAUUUGAUUUGGGGAAAUAAGUAGUAAAUGACUUGUUUAAGACUUCAAACUAUAUAUACUAGUGAUAUAAAACAAUUAAAAACAACCCCACCUAAUAAUUAAUAAAAGGGAAAUUACUCAAAACCCCUCAACUUAGGCAGCCCCGUCAGGGACCACGCCCAUUUUGACGGGUCGUGAGGGGAACCAAUGCUCGUGGUGGUGCCCGUGGUCCCUUAGGUAGUGUGCCUCUCUAACUUGCCAAGCCUUCAAGGGCAUAAGGCAAGUCCACGAAACCUCCCACGAUCCGUGGUCAAGACCACGAGUCAUGGUUGAGGUCGUGGUCUUGAGGCAGUGUCAUGGCUUCCCAAGCCUUGCCUCCACACGCCUAAGUGAUCUUCACGAUCACUCUCCCAUGGCUCAUCAAGGGCACCACGUCCCAUGGUGGCGCCCGUGGUCCCUUGACCAGUAGCUCCCUCAUCAUCCACCAAUUCCCAUUAAGCUAAGACAACCCAACGAGCCUUCCCACGGCCCGUGGUCAUGACCAUGAGUCGUGAAAUGGCUUGUGAAGUGGUGCUUUGGCUUGGCACCUUUCUAGGGCUCACUGCCAUGACAACCACGGGUGGCACCACGACUCGUGGUGGCCACCACGGGUCGUGAAGACCCUCAUGGUCUUGGUAGGUAGUGGUUAGGCCUAGUUUUUAGGCAGCCUUGGCCCCUCACCAUGGCCUACACCCAAAACCUUUAGCCCUUGCCCUUAACCCUUGACGUUAACCCUCACGUUUAGGCUCUAUUUCAAACUAUCAUUUUCCGAGUCGUUACAUUAUCCCACCCUUAGGAACAUUCGUCCUCGAUUGACACUUUGAAUACAUUAAGGGAUAACGACUCAAGACUAGCAGCCCAUCAUGCAUGACACAUCAAUACAAUGCACAAAAAUCAUAGGAGGAAACAUCAACUCCACAUCAAUUAGCUCAAUGCAACACAAGUAAGUAGGAACUACAUCUACAAACUCAUUAUGCACGAAAACAUCAACAUUUCUCAUUUCGUUGGAGGAACUACCUUCCCCAACUCACAUCUGCUUAUCAUAACAUCAUUAGGCAAAUUAUGCAACUUUUCUCAAAACCACAUUUAAGCAUGAUCAAUAAUUCAACUCAUGAAGAAUUUAGGCAACUCAUUAUAGAUGCACAUCAACAUGAGGAACAUAUAAAUAAAAAAUCCCAUUUCUCAUUAAACAUAAAUUUCAUCAAAACAUGCAUAACAUAAGGAGAUCAUGGAAACACAUAAAUCACACAUGACUCCAAAAUAUGAAACAAGCUACAAGGAACUCUUGGUCUCAAGCUUGAAUAGGAAUAGAAGGAAAGAGAUAAAGAUCUUGGAACUCUCAAUAACCUUACUAUUCACAUACCAUCUCUCCCUUAAGAGUAAACCCAUUCUAAGGCUACCAUGAAAACAACAUAGGAACCUCAAUACAACAUUCACAACCAUAAGGAACUAUCACUUACCGGUACCUUUAAACUAGAAAGGUCCUCAUUAAGCAACUCUUGCUCACAAACAACCUUACUAACACCUCUCAAGGUCUCAUAUGAGUCUACCACACCGGGUCUAAACUCCUCAAACUCACUACACCUCAUAGGGUGAGAAUAUCAAGCAAGCCUAACUCAUGAACAUCAAAGACACUCAAUGACCUUACCAUCUAAGCUCAUUAUCCCCCCAUUUGGGAGUAAGCCUAUACAAGCCCUUUUAAACUUCACUUCUUUCCAUUCUAAGGUCGGAGCAAUUCAUCACCAAACCUUCACACUCAUCACACAAGAUGAUUCUAAACCAAGGUGAGUUACACUUCUACCAUUCUUACAGAAGCCUACUUACUCAUCCCAUAAAGACAUUUCUAAGGCACCUCAUUCAUCAAAUCUUUCAACAUACCUCAAAACUCAUCAUAACUAAGGCGAGUUCUAUCAUCAACUAGACAUAUCCAUAAAGCAACUCAUUCAUACUAAGGACAACAUUACAAUAUAUCACCUCAAAUCUAACAAGUCACAUAGCCAUAAUUGGCAUCAAAACCAACCUUCCUCCCCCACUCUUUCUAGCAUAAGCCUUUCAAAUGGUCAUACCCUAAAGCCCAUCGGAUAAGGAAUAAGAAAAAGACAUUCUAGAGUUAAACUCUAUGGCACGACUUGAAGAAUAUGAAAGAAGUGUAACUUCCUAACGUCCUAUAACCUCUCACUCAUAUAUGUGUCGCGACUCACACCGAUGAACAAGACUCUACCGUGAGAAAUCAAUCCUAAAAACCAUUUCCAAAAUCUUGUGCUCUGAUAUAAUGUUUGCCAUGAACCGAGACUACACCACGGAAGCGACACGGCGUAAACGACUACAAAAAGUCUCAUACAAGCCUCAUAGAAUUCAUAACAUUCGAUAUAAGGAAAAUGAUACGGAAUUAAAACUUUAUUUAAAAUCAUACAAUUAAAAUACUCAUUUAAAACAUUCAAAAAUAGCGGAAGUCUAUUGUCUCACAUGGUCAUCUAAACAACAUCUUGAAAACUAAAGUAGGGACACGACCCUUUACAAUCGAAAGACUAAAAAUGUCUAUUACAUGAAAGAAAUGGAAACUACAAUACUUGUCCUCGAUCUAUGAGGACAUACCACUUUGCCUUGGAAGAAUCUCAAAUCCAAGCUUCUACUAGAGAGAGUCAAACCGAGUACCAAUCCCUACAAUUCAUAAAGGUAAAGAAUAUGGGUUAGCACAAUUAAGGACUAAGUAUGAUAGCCAUGCAAAAAAUAAACUUAAAAUAGUCAUUUUAUUUGAAAGUCAUGAUAUAUGCCAUUUUAAGAAAACUUCAUGAACAUAAGCAUAAGAAGCAUAAUACAAGACAUAAUCAACAUAUAAGACAUUUCAUUACCUUAAGCUUUCACCUCAAGUAACCCUCAAGCUAUACUUUGUGCAAUGUAUGAAUAGUGUCCCAUACCACUAUUCACACUAAGUACCACCUCAAUGUCACCAAAAGUGAACUUAUCAUUCAACAUUUACAUCUUUACACAAUACUUAAACAUUACAAAAGUCAUAUCAUCACAUUAGGACCAUCAUCUAGGGCAACUCUAAGUCAUACUUAUGCAAUGUAUGAGUAGCAUCCCAUACUACUACUCACACUAAGUACUCCUUUGAAGUCACCAUAGACAAGGCACCUUCAUACUCAAUAAUUCAUGACAAGGAAGUAACUCAUAAUACAAUCCAAGUAUAGCAUACAUCAUUGCAUUAAAUACAUAAGUCAACAUUCCCCAUUAGCUUCAUUAAGAACACCUUCAUUGAUUAGAGAUUAAACCAACAUACUCCAUUAGCAUCAUCAUAAGAGCAUACUCAUUUCAUUUAACAUUACAACGAAAUACACCAUGACUUCUUUCAAAGUCUACUUGUGCAAAACGUAGAUGGCAUCCCAUACUACCACCCAUAAUAAGUAGUACAUUCUUGAGAAGCCAUAGUUCAUUAACAUUCUUUGUGGGGGUAAGACUUAACCGACAUAGACCAUGUGAGAAAUUCAUGGAAUCCCGGUGUCACCCUCACCGGAUAAGAGAUUCCUACUUGCCUAAGGUAGGACCAUUGUUUUUAGCUUAAGUGGAUCCACUAGCUAGACCUAUGUGUGCACAUAGUCAUCGGAUAGAGAGAUUGCUACUAGAUACCCAGCCUCAACUCACGGAUGAGCAUCUAUAUCAAGAGAUUGUUACUAGAUACCCCGCCUCAACUCCCGGAUGAGCAUUCAUCUCAACUCAUAUCCACUCGGAGCUUAGCAUUAUUCCCCACAAAGUACUUAGCAUUCAUUACAUUAGUCAUUAUUAUGGGAUAAGAGAUUGUUACUAGAUACUCCACCUCAACUCCCGGAUGGGCAUCCAUCUCAACCCAACAUUCAUUCAUUAGAUAGCUCGUAGAUUUAAAGAUGAGAAUAACCUUUCAACUAAGAAUCCCAUAUUGUGAGAAAUUCCUUUCACAACAUGUCAUUAUCAUUCAUUAGAGUACAAUUGAGAAUAGCCUUUCAAUAAACCUUUCAUCAUUAACAUAAUCAUAGAACUUCAUUCAUUAGACAUUCAUGAGUGUGUAUGUGAGAAUCACCUUUCACAUAUAACCUCAUCAUUCAUAGGUGUUAAUUAAGAAAUAAUAUUCAAUCAUAACACAUUUACAUUCUAAACAUGAUCAUAACACUUUCAUUGAGAUCACAUAGAUAUACUUCACAUCAUAAUCAUACAUAAUCCUUUAUGAAAUUGCCCCUUAGGGCUAUCAACCAACAUCAACCCAUAAAUCUAAGAUACUACAAUAGAUAAGGAAAUUGACAUGAUUCAAUAACUAAUCCAAUAUAAACAUUAACAAUUCAACAUACUUACAUAAUCAACCAAUUCCCAAUCUCAAUUCACCACUUAAGAAUUUGGGGAAAAACAUGGGUUUUAGGAAGAAAUCAUCUUAAUUCAUCUUUAAAACCACAACUCAUUCUUAAUUCAAUGCAAUAAAGCCUUUGAAUAUUGUUUGGAAUCGAACCCAUGCCAAGAUUGAAAACUAGGGUUUUUGGGGAAACAUUGACAAUUUGAAAUCCACUGUGAAAUUGGCUCCUUGAAGAAACUAAGUCAAGGAUGAAGACUACCAUACCUUGCUAUUGAAUCCCUAUGAAAUUUGAGGAAGAAAUACCUUGAAUCCACAAACCCUAGCUCCCACCUCUUCUUCUUCUUCUCCCUUGGGAACUUCUAGAGAGAGAAUAUUUGAUUGGAAGAACUCUUUGAUUUGAUUUGGGGAAAUAAGGAGUAAAUGACUUGUUUUAAGACUUAAAACUAUAUAUACUAGUGAUAUAAAACAAUUCAAAAUAACCCCACCUAAUAGUUAAUAAAAGGAAAAUUACUCAAAACCCCUCAACUUAGGUAGCCCCGUCAGGGGCCACGCCCACUUUGACGGGUCAUGAGGGGCACCACGGCUCGUGGUGGUGCCCGUGGUCCUUUAGGCAGUAUGGCUCUCUAACUUUCCAAGCCUUAAAGGGCCUAAGGCAAGUCCACGAGACCUCCCACGAUUCGUGGUCAAGACCACGAGUCAUGGUUGAGGUCGUGAUCUUGUGGCAGUGUCAAGGCUUCUCAAGCCUUCCCUCGACACACCUAAGUGAUCUUCGCGAUCACUCCCCCAUGGCUCGUCAAGGGAACCAUGGCCCGUGGUGGCGCCCGUGGUCCCUUCACCAGUAGCUCCCUCAUCAUCCACCAACUCCCAUUAAGCUAAGACAACCCCACGAGCUUUUGGUCAUGACCACGAGUCGUGAAGUGGUGCCUUGGCUUGGCACCUUUCUAGGGCUCACUGCCAUGCCAACCACGACUCGUGGUGGCCACCAUGGGUUGUGAAGACCCUCGUGGUCUUGGUAGGCAGUGGCUAGGCCUAGUUUUUAGGCAGCCUUGGCCCCUCACAGUGGCCUACACCCUAAACCCUUAGCCCUUGCCCUUAACCCUUGACGUUAACCCUCACGUUUAGGCUCUAGUUCAACGUAUCAUUUUCCGAGUCGUUACAAUAAAUUACCACUAACUCUUCUUAAACAUAUGUAACUCUCACUAAUUAUAUUCAUUAUGUUUUUUACUCUUAUCUCUCAUCGAUAAUCUCAAAUGGAUUAAUAUCAUAUUUAUGACAACUCUUUGUGUUCCUCAAUGUUAUCUUCACUAAUUAUAUUCAUUAUGUUUUUUACUCUCAUCUCUUAUCAAUAAUCUCAAAUGGAUUAAUAUCAUAUUUAUGAAAAAUCUUUGUGUUCAUCAAUUCUAUCCUAUAAAUAAUGACAUUUGACAUCAUAAUAUACAAACUUAAACCAAUUGGAAAAAAAACAUGAGAAAAUAUCUAUGCCCGAUCUUCUCGUCUCUUUUUAUUUGUUUAGUUUAACAUUUAUGUUUCUUGUUUGUUGUUAUUGUACAACUUUCUAUUGUUGUGUUGUUAUUAUUUUUGAGAAUUUACCAUGGUUUGUUGCUUUGUAUACAUUAGCCUAACAUCUUGUAUUUUAGUAUCCACAUUUGAAGGGAUAAGACACAAGUACCCCCCUAGACUAUGACUAAAAUCUCAGAGACACACCUUAACUAAACUAAGGUCCUAUUACCCCCUGAACUUAUUUUUUAAAAAUAAUUUUGUACAGCUUUUGUCUUAUGUGGCACACUCUGUGACUCCACACAAUUGAGGCGCGUGAGAGAUAUUUGGAUACCACAUAAGCCAAAAAGGUGCACAAAAUUACAAAAAAAAUGGGUUCAGGGGGUAAUAGGACCUUUGUUUAGUUAAGGUGUGUCUCUAAGAUUUCGGUCAUAGUCUAGGGGGGUACUUGUACAUUUUCCCCACAUUUGAAUAAUAAAUUUGUGUGAUAGUUAGUUAUUUUUACUUUAUGCACUUUUAGUCAAUUUUAUAGUUACAGGUAUAUUCUUUUUAUUAUGAAGAUAUAUGUAGUUCCUAUCGAAACAAUAAUGAAUCUUUCAAUACAAAAUUUAUAUGAAGUAUUUUGGGAUAAACGUGCAACGCACGUUCCCAGAUCUAGUAUAAAUAUAUCUAUGAGCACCAAAAAACCUUCCUCCUCCUACUAUUGAAGCAACCAUGGCUAACCAUCACUAAUCGGUUAUUGUCUUCGAGAAAUACAUUUUCACCAGAUAAAAUGGUGGUCGUAAUGACCUUCUUGCUCUCUUUUUUAAAUUCAAAAUGGCUUAAGAGGGCCAUAUUGCACUACAACAAAAACAACCUCUAAGGAAGGGAAAUCUAGUCCCUAAAAGUUCAAAACUGGUCCCAAAUGGUCUAUUGAUAUGGGAAAAGGAUGGUCGCCACCCAUCCUAAUAGCUUUCUUCUCUAAAAGUUAUUUGUGACGGGUUCUCUUUUUUGUUCGUUAAAUGUUUAUAGAGAUGGAAACUACGUUGGUCGCCAAAACACUUUUAGUGACUAUAUUUCUCGUCCCAAAUAGAUGAUUUUCUUCUUUGAAAUGUACUUAUUUUCUAGGCGUUAAAUCACUUUCGCGACAAGCAAAUACCUCAUCCUAGAUUGACCUUUAGGGACGAGAACCUACCUCAUCCUAGAUGAACCUUUAGGGAUGAGAAACUACAUCGUCCUAGAUAAAAUUAAAGGAAAAAAAUGUCUCAUCCUAAAUGAACCUUUAGGGAAGAGAAAGUACCUCGUUUUUAAUUGACCACGAAUGGUUCUAGAGCUUCGUAUCAUAAAAUUAAAAAAAUUAUCAAUCAAUAUAAGAUUGCUACUGAAAUCUCCAUACAAAACGCUGAUAUAUAUUGGAUAACAAAACUUAGAUUUCAAUAUUUUCUUAACAAACAAAACUUUGGUAAUUAACAUCUCGAGCUAAACUAUGACAGCAUGUUCUACAUAACUUUCAUAGCAUAAUGAUAUUGAUCUUGUUCAUCUUCGAAACUUGCAUCUAGACAUGUAACUUCAGUUUCCAAAAUCCUCCAAGAAUUAUCCAGAAACGUGAACAGGCUGCAAGGAUGUAAAAAAAUUAAUUAGGAAUGCUUUGAGAUGUAUUAACCAAUAAUUCAAAUUUUUAUCACAAGUGCAAGAAUAAGUAUCCAUUCCGACCUCUUGAAUCAGAACAACCAUCAUGAUCAAGUAACCAUUUUGGUCAUUUUCAUUAAAAAAAAUGUUUUAAUACAGCUCCAAUGUUCAUUAUCACAUUAUCUGCUACAAUGAAGAGCUUCUUCACAGCUAAACAUUAUAGAUAUCCAUUGAACUGUGAUAAUCUUCUAGGAAAAAGAUUCAUAUAUGUUACAAAUCAUUCAUAGAGCUUUCUUUUUCUUUUUCAUCAAAUAAGGAUAAAAAUGUUCUGGAUAUAAGAAGUCUACCAAAAGAACAGAAAACCGUACUAAAAGAUAGAGACAUUGUUGCUUCAUUACAAAUAAUAUGCUAAGAAACCAUCAAAUGAUGCACAAAAAUAGAACUUUAAGUGUCUAUUUGGUACUAUAUCUCAAGUCUAAAACGUCUAUAAUUUUCAAGUUUAUACAUCUUGAUGAGGUGUUUGGAGACAAAAACAGAUGAGAGUACUGGACACAAUGAUUUCAUCAAAUUGUUAUCCUCUGUUGCCAUUUACCGAAAACAUUUUUUUUCCCUUUGUGGUUGCCUCCUAGAGUUACCUAUUAGAAAUUCAAUUGUACAUUCGAUAGUGUAUCAGAAGUCUAAAACAUCUAUAAAUUUUAAGUUUAUAUGUAUUGAUGUAGUACAAUAGGUGAAAGAAUAUCAGGGUUUUUUUUAUCUCGUUGCGAGAGUACUACACUGGAAUUGCUUUACUUUAUCAUAGUUGCAGUUCUCAACAAAUCACAAAUCUAAGCCAUCUCUCAGAAACCAUUUAAAGAUUCUUCAGUCAGAAUUCUAGUUAAGGGAGUACUACAUAUCUUAUGAAAUCACAUUUCUAUGUUCUUAUUGAAGAGUAUGAUUAGGUACAGAUGUGCAGAAAAUAAAAAAUGUGUGCACGUAGCUAUGUAGAAAAUAAAAGAUGUGUGAACGCAGCUGUGCAGAAAAAAAUGAUGUGCAUGCGCUGAUAUUUAGAAAAUAUAAAAUGGAAGAAGACGUGUGUGCAACUGUGUAUAAAAUAAAAUAAAAAGAGGAAGAAUAUGUAACGUGCAGUUGUACAAAAAAUAAAAAAUAGAUGAAAAGGACAAGCACAUAUAGCUGUGCAGGAAAUAAAAGACAGAGGAAGCAACUUCAGCUAUGUAUCAUGAAUCAGAUCUAUAUGAUUCUCGCACAAUGAUCAUAUUCAAUCAUACCUAUUAACAGGGACCUACUUUUUCAUUAGCUAUUUCAGUAUGUAUGUAGUUACAGAACUAUUUUUUUCCUUUCAGUCACAUCAUCAAAUUUCUCUCACAAAAGCUAGGCAAAGAUAUGACUCAUGAGACAAAUAACUCGAGCUAUAAAGCGUAGGUCCAAUAACUGAGAGCCAAAGGCUAUAGGUAAUCAAAAAACCACUAGCUAAGAGAAUAAAAUCACCCAACAAAGGACCUCACAAGGGAAGAAAGCAUUCAAACAUAAUCUACAAUCUUAUUAGCUUUCUAACAGUUCAGCCUUACAAUAACCUUUUAAACGACUAUACGUAAAUCAAUAUGGGUAUAUGCUUACUUACUUGGUCAGAGAAAUAUUCUAGUGGUCAUUCAGUUGAAAUGUAUGCAGGUCAGACCACAACUGAAAAGAGAGAUACGUGAGUAAGAAUAACUAGGAGCUAGUUUAGUUGUUAGUUUUUUCAAUACUUACAGGUGUUAUCAAGAAGAAAUUAUUCUAUUCGAUCAAAAAAUAUAUUGUUCGACCUAGUCGAUAUGGGGCUUAAUAUAUUGAACUUGUCAAAUUGGAAUAAGGUUGGAAUACCAAAGUUAUAUAGUGUACUAUAGCAAAGAAGAAAGACAAGUUAAGGAUUCAUAACAUUUACAUCAAAGAUAACUCUAUAAAUAAUGUCCCUACACCUAAACAAUCUGGUUGGGUGGUUAAAAAAGUUUUGGAUGAAAGAUCCUUAUUAGCUAUUGGAACUCUGUUGAAUUGAACUGGAUUGAUUCAUCGGCUGUGGUGGGUUCAACAUAAAGAGUGCUUAUAAAUCUUUUCUUCCACAAUAUCCUACAGCUACAUGGAAGAAAUUCUCUAUGGAAAAAGAAAAUCUGAUAAACAUCAGCUCGUCCUCUGUCUAUCCCUGUAAACAAGACUAGCAACAGUUGAUGCACUAACAAAAUGGUGUAUUUAAGUUGACAUUAGCUAUAUUCUAUGCUAGGAUUCCUAGAAAUACCACACUAUAAUUCUACAUGCUUCCAUUGUCUACCAUACUCGAAUGGAAGGAACAUCCACAAGUUACAACAGAAAUGUUGAGGGUCAAUCAUAAUUUUGAUGGAGAUUGCUAAAGAGCUACACAUAGUUGUCCAGAAGCAAAGUAGAUCAAAAGGCAUGAUGAUACUGUAGUCUUAUGACUUAUCUAUAGGAUCCAUUUGUAUAUACAGCUGAAAGUAGUAGUAGUGGUCUGAAUACUGAAACUAGUCCUUGAGUCCAAAAUGACUAGCUAUACAUAUUAGUCAUUUAAUUAAAUAAACUCAUAUCUUUUGUAUAAUUUAUUUUUUGAAAAAACAUACUUGUUUCAACUUCUUGUAUGUAUAGCUUAACUAGUUCAUUAGAUUGAGAAAAUAAAAUUCAUAGUAAGAAAUUUGCCUUUUGAUGUCAAAGACUUAAUCCCUCGUCGGCUAGUCCUCAUCCCUUUCCAAUUGCACCAGGCGCGACGAAUAAAUAUCUCAUAGUACAAUUCAUUCUUGAUCAUCCCCAUUUUCAGUCUUUAUACUGAACCUACAGAGAGAGGCAAAAGUACAAAAUUAAUAGGUAAAAUUCUUAUCCAGUGAACCGAAGGAUAUAAUCCAACUAAUCUUUGACCUUUGCAAAAUGUCAAAACUAUACAAAAAGUACUAUAAAUUAUCAUUUUCUCAUACAACAAUAAGUAAUUAUCAAAAAUGGGCCUUUUUAAAGCGUUGUUGAAACUUUACUGUGGUAUAAUUAAAGUGUAUUAUUGUUCCCUACAUAAUACAAAGACCUUGAUCCAGAAUCAAAAGGAGAAAUCAGUCUCGUGACUAUUUCCCAUCAGUAAGCAGCCUGUGCGAUAAUAAAGAUAUGCCUAUCAGAAUGGGUUACAACAAACAUAUUAGUUAAUAGAAGAUAUUUUACAUCAUUAGUUCCUUUUUGUUUCUUUUGUGAAAGAUUUUCUAAGUCAUCUACAACAUCAUCAACCAUUUGAAUGACGAGGUCGAGUCUUUUUCACUACAUGCCAAUCUUUUUUGGAAUUAUCAUUAGCAUAAAACACUUGAGAUGCUUAAUCCUCUACAACAAAAUGCUCAUUUUUUUCUAAUAAUCUACUUAGAUUCACACUUACGAAGUCAUAUAUACUUAUAUCUUUUAAUCAUCCUUUCUCUGUUUUGAAAAGCUACAACAUUUUUAAUGAAAGUUGGCUUAAAUUUGUGAUUUGCCGAGAACUGCCAUUAAGAUAGAGUACAACAAAAGUGACAGAGAAUCUCAUCUACAUUCAAAACCUAUAGGAUAUUCUACAUAAUAUAUAUAAUCCAUUAAAUUUCUAUUAAUUUUGUUCCAACUUUAAUAAUAGUAAGAGUAGAUGUAGUAAAUCGAAGAGGAAAGAACAUAUAUUGUUUGAGGUUGACAAGAGACGAACUUGAACUAGGUUUAAACCAAAUUGCUAAUUGAAUAUAAUAGAUUACAAAACCUAAUGUUUCAACAACAACAACAGGAACAUAGCAGUGUGAUUUCAUAAGAUAAAUAGUUGUAAGAAAUAUAACAAUAGGUAACAAAGUUUGUAUUUCAUCAAGCCAAACACCAUACACACACCAACUCGGAAUUCCAACUCAACAAUCUUUCAGAUAUUGUACAAAAAAAAAUAAAAAUUACUACUCCCUCAACUAGGACUCCCAAAUCAACAAUAUUUCAAUAAUUGCACAAAUAAAUUACCAUCAGAUUGUGCAAGAGAUUAAGAAGAUAAAGAGUUACUUCAGUAAAGCAAAUUUAGAAAAGAAAAAGAUAAAGUCACAGAAGAGGAGACAUACCCAAUAUUAUAGUCGAUGAAAAUAGAUUUGGGCGAACUAUUGUGCUUUCUCUAUUUUAGGCGAGCUGCUGUGAUGAGCAACAAACUCCAUGCUUUCCUUGUUUUGAGAAACUACAAUGUUUUUUUUGAGUGCUGGCUGAGAAUAGCGAUUUGCAGAAGAGCUGCUGCUAGGGGACAAUAGAAAAACGAGAUAUGUAUUAAAAACAAAGAGCUUUUGUUUUAUUUUUUAAGAAUUUUAAUUCUUACUUUUGGCGCCUGAUAAGUUUGGUGAAAAUAUAUCUUUAAACUUUAUUUUAAUUUUUUUUUAAUAUAUGUUUGAGCGCACUUUUCUCCCGCUCCCACUCUCAAGUUGUAAUUUGGGACCAGAUACUAAUUUAUUUAGAGACUAGAUUUAGUACCUUCACAAUAAAACAUAGAAUUAGGGAAUAGAAUAUAAUCUCGUCUCUAUACAUGUACUUUUAAGGACAAGAUUAAUAGCUAGUCUCUAAAUGUUGGUCUUAAAUAAAGCUUUUUCUACUAGUGUUGUCACACCCCGAGCCUACACCCUGGAUGUGGCCGGCACUCGAGAAACAUUGUUUGCCCCAAGAAAACCCUUGGUCUGGCUUACUUACUCAGCGGAAAACUUUACUCAAGAUAAAUACUUUUAAAACAAGUAAACUGAACUGCUCAAAAUAUAACUUAGAAUGUAUUAUAAUAACAUUCACUGCCAAAGUGGCAACUCAAGUCUCAACUUAACUGAAAAGGAAAAGAAAAGACUCAUGAACUAACAUCACUGACUCUGUCUAUGAAGCCUCUAAAUAACUGAAAUGGACGUCGAGACAACAUCCAUGGCAUCCUAAUGAACUAAAAUUUUGAAAGAAAUAAAAAGGAUCCUCCGGAAAGUUAUGAGGCUCACCAAUUGACUCUGAGAGCUCAACUGGUUCAACGAGGCACUAGAUGCUGAUCCUAAUUACCUACAUUUGUAUCAUAAUAAGAUGCAGGCCAACUGGAAUCAGUACAUUGAAUGUACGAGUAUGCGAGUUGGAUUGCUAAACACAACAAGGCUUGAAAAGAAUUUGAAAGAAACACUUACCUUGACUUUACUCAACUCUUGAAUAACUUAACUCAAUAUAAAGCAGUAAACAUGUGCAAUAUAUAUAAAGCUUGUAAAAUAGUAGAAAACAACUUAGUUUGUUAAAGAAAAGGCAAUAACAAACUCAAUUUUACUCAUAUAAUAAAGUAAUAUAGUUUCUGUGGGAGUUUCUCUAAUCGACAACCACUACUAUGGGCCUAAGUGGUGAUACAUCGUCUUGCCCACGCUGCCAAAACUGUCCUAUACUUUGUCAUUAUAUAGAAGGCUUAACUAAGUGGAUCCACUAGUCUAUGCUAAAAGCAUCUUAAGGAGUCAUCUAAAAAGUAUGACCCUUUACUACCCAUGAUGGCUACAAGGUUUAUGGAGACGUGAGUUAUCUGAACUCGAGCUCAUCCCUAUAUCGAUGCUCAAUACUAAUCCCAAAACAUACUUACUCAGAUGUUUGUAAAAACAAAACUCUUUCUUUGGUUUGAGAUAAUUACUCAAAAACUUAGCUUAAAAGCUCUCUUGGAAAUCUCAGUUUCCUUUCUUGCUCAAAUGUGAAAACAUUUUUAACUCUUGGGAAUACUUAGUUCCCGAAUAAUCUUUGAAGAAUGAACUUUAAUCUUACUCAUUACUGAAACUAGCUUAAAAGCUUUUUUGGAAAUCUCAAUUUCCUUUCUUGUUUAAAUGUGAAAACAGUUACUCUUUGGGAAUACAUAGUCCCGAUCUACUCUUUUGAAGAAAUGCAGUUCAAAUUUUACUCUUUACUCAACUCAAAACUCAAGUCUUAAAACAAAGUUAAAACGUUUGUAAUAGACUUUUGGAAAACUUUAUGAACUUCUCUUAACUUGACUCUUGACUUUUCUUGACCCGACUCUUAACUUCUCUUGACUUGACUCUUAACUUUCCUUGAAUUGAAUUAUGGAUUCAAGGAUUGUGAUUUGUGAUAGGAAAGAUCUCAUGAUGUUUAGGAAUGAUUUUAGAUAGCUAAACAUGAGAAAUGAUCAAGAAAUCACUUCCUGGAAAUUAGUCCGCGACGUGUAGGUGUAUUUAAAUUUAGUCGCGAAAAUAAAUUUUGAGGCAGAGAGGUUCGUAACCUCGCCGCAACGCGAAGGGAAAAUUACACUUCUGACCUGGUACCCAAUUUCUUCCCGACUUGUUCCUUCUUCGCUUUCUAACCCCAAUUCGCCUAAACUCGAUUCUUUUUAUCAAAUUCCCUUUAGAUUCAGAUACCCAGUAUGUAUACAUAAGAAUCUAACUCAUAUAACUCAAGGAAACAACAUUUUAACCUUAAGGAACUCCUCAAUAUCAACCUAACUCAAGAACGAAGGCCAAUUUCAAGAACACCAUUCAAGAUUCAUCAACUUUCAACUUUCUAGAACAAACUUCGCUGAAAUAAUAUGAUUGGUGCAUGGAUGAAUGAACCCAGCGCUAUGAAAGACUCACAUACCUCAAAGGGAUCACCCCUUGACGAAAUCCACGAGCCUAGCUUCAAGAACUUGACGAUUCCUUGCUCUUUCUCCUCCUUUCUCCUCUUAUUUUCUCUUCUCUCAAAACCCUAACUUGUUUCUCAAAAGCGUAAACUGAAUCCAAUCAGUUUAGACCCCAACUUAAUUACCAAAAAUGAAACUAAUUAAUUGGGUGGUGAAAAGACCAUAAUGCCUUUUUAAAAUCCGGAUUGGACUUUACUUCUUUGAACAACCCAACUUCAAAUGGGCAUAUCUCACGUAUACGAACUCGAAAUCGCGCAAACUUAGCGGCGUUGGAAAGAUUAUUCCAAUAUCUUUCCUAAAAUAUUUGGUAACACAACUAACUCACUUAAGAUAGGAGUUCUGGUCGUUUGAAGUUGACCAAAAAAACUCAAACUUAACUUAACCAAUUUUCCUCAUUUUUUAUUAUUUCCAAAAAUAACUCUUUCUAAUUCCAGAUCUUUCUAGUUCUUUCAAUUUGCGAGAUGUUACAAUAUCUCCUCCUUGGGAAAAUUCUUCCUCAAAUGAGAUUACUCUUAAUAGGCCAAGGGUGUAACAUUUAACAUUCAGCUAAAAUACCUAACAAGCAAUGCAAUUAGACCAUGCUAAUCUUAUAAAUAAAAGCCAAGAAAAGGAUUAGUACCUAAAUUUGGAAUUUCUCCAGAUUCGAAGAGAUGUCGAUAUCUCUUCUUCAUAUCUUCCUCAGCUUCCUCAAGUAGCUUCCUCAACAAACUGGUUCCUCCACAGAACUUUGAUUGAUACUACUUCCUUAGUCCUCAACUUGCGAACAUGGCGAUCUAGAAUCUGAACAGGAAUCUCUUCAUAAGAUAGCUAUCAUUGAUCCCAAUAUCUUCAGUUGGUAUGAUCAAUGAAGGAUCGCCCAUACACUUAUCCAACAUGGAGAUGUGAAAAAAACUAGAUGAACCGUGGCUAACUCUUGUGGUAGCUCCAAUUCAUAAACUACAUUAGCUACCCUUUUGGAUAUUCUGUAAGGGCCAAUAUACUUGGGACUAAGCUUCCCCUUCUUACUAAAUCGCAUAACACCCUUCAUGGGUGAAACUUUCAAGUAUACCCAAUCAUCUACUUCAAACUCUAAGUCCCUUCUCCUAACAUCAGUGUAGGAUUUCUGACGACUCUACGCUGUUUUCAACCUCUCUUGAAUGGCUUCCAUUUUAUCCAUACCUUGAUGAACUAAUUUUGGUCCUAUCAACCCAACUUCACCAACCUCAAACCAUCCAAUAUGAGAUCUGCAUCUUCUCCCAUAAAGAGCUUCAUAAGGAGACAUUUGGAUGCUAGAAUGGUAAAUAUUGUUGUACACAAAUUCAAUUAGAGAUAUGUGAUCAUCCCAAUUACCCUUGAAAUCAAUUACACAAUCUACCUUGAUAUCUCAAAUCACCAUCUCCCCCUUGUUCAAAGCCAUCACUUUUUGCCUAUGAACACUUGCCUUUAAUUCAAGCAAUAAAGGAUCUUGGUCUUGCUUAUCUUUUACUUCUGACACUAAUGAUGAUUCAGCCCUAUUCAUCACCACUACUCCUCCUUAUGUGGAAUCCAUUAGUUGAACUCCUAGUCGUGUAAGUCUAUACACCUCUUUUGCUAACUCUUUCUUAUCUUCCUUAAAAUGGGCGGUACUACCCAUAGAUAACCUGCUCAAGGCAUCAACAACAACAUUAGCCUUACAUGGGUGAUAAAGAAUACUCAUGUCAUAAUCCUUGAGUAAUUCUAACCACCUCCUCUGUUUGAGAUUAAGCUCUUUCUAACUAAACACAUACUGAAGACUCUUGUGAUCGGUGAACACAUCCACAUGAACACCAUAAAGAUAAGGACGCCAUAUUUUCAAAGAAAAUACUACGGCAACCAACUCCAGAUCAUGGGUUGGGUAAUUCUUCUCAUGAACCUUCAACUAUCUAGAGGCAUAAACUAUAAUUUUGCCAUUCUACAUUAGUACAGAAUCCAAACCAACUCUAGAUACAUCAAAAUACACCACAAAACCUUGAGUACCUUCUGGUAAGGUCAAAACUGGGGCAGUAGUCAACCUCUUUUUCAAUUCCCGAAAGCUUUUCUCACAAGCUUAAGACCAUUGAAACUUCACUGUUUUCCGAGUCAACUUGGUCAAAGGAGAUGAAAUAGAUGAAAAUCCCUCGACAAACCUUUUAUAAUAUCCAGCCAACCCCAAGAAACUCCUAAUAUCAGUUGGAGAUGUGGGUCUAGGCCAAUUCUGCACUGCCUCUAUUUUCUUAGUAUCAACUUUAAUUCCCUCUCCAGACAUAAUGUGAUCUAAGAACGCCACAAACUCAAGCCAAAACUCACACUUAGAGAACUUGACAUACAACUCUCUAUAUUUUGGAGUUUGGAGAACUAUUCUGAGAUGACUAGCAUGAUCUUCUUCAUUCCUUGAAUAGAUUAUUAUGUCAUCAAUGAACACGAUAAACAAACAUAUCUAAAAUAAGGCUUGAAUACUCUAUCCAUAAGGUCUAUUGUAACACCCCGAAUCCAAAAACAGACCAAAAAUGCAGAUUUUGAGAAGUUGCAGGUGCAACUUACGGUCACCAUCCAUGGACCGUAGGUCAAACCACGGCCCGUGCUGGUGGUACGUGAUUCACCACUGCAACCACUCCCCAAACUAGCUCAGAAAAUUAUCUAAGUCCUGACUCACGGACAGACCCACGGUCCGUAGAUCAGACCACAGUUCGUGGUCUGUGUCUGUGGAUCGAGACUUCCCUUACCCAGCCUCUGACACAAACUACGGUCGACCAGCAUGGACCGUCAUUCAAUGCACGUUCCGUAGGUCUGACCGUAGAUGAGGGUCAGCAGCCAGUUAGCUGAAAAUUGUUGAUGGAUCAACUUCAGAUGGUCAUAACUUUUAGAACAAAGGAAUUAUGUGUACCAUGACCUAUGAUAUGAUAGAUAAUUGAAUUCCUCUUUUCCAACGUCCACCGAGUUUGCUAAAAUCCGACAUCCAAGUAAAAAGUUAUGCUCAUUUUAGUGAAGCCCUAUCGGGCAGACUCGACCGACGAUUCCAAUCAACGAACCGUCGAUUGAAUGACGGCCCGUUAGUCCCGUCCGUCAGUCACUUCGACAGCAGUUAAGUCAAGGGGUUUUGGUCUUUUCCUAUUUCAUUUAACCCCUAAGGUACGUUGUUUAGACCCUAAAUCAUGAGGUUUUAGUCAGUUUAAGCCUAGAAACAUAACUAGAACUUAUCCAAGUCAAAUCAUUAAUCAAAACUUAGAAAAUUAGAAGCAAGAUUCCAUCAGUUCCAGCCUCGAAAUUGAAAAAUUUCUCCGUGGAAUUCGUCACUAGGUAUGUGGGAUUUCACUAGUGGGCCCUUUCACCCAUUAGGUCCCUAGUUUUCAGUCAGUUUCUUGAUUCCCUUAUUAUGAAUAGACCUAGGGUUUCUAGAAUUCAGUUAUACAUGCCUCAGUUUAUGAAUGCAUCAUUAUCAGAUUAAUUGUUGCAUUCUCAGUUUGCAUGUUCAGUUCGAGCUAUCCAGUAUUUACAGAAAUUCAGUCAUAACCAGUUAACUACUUAAUUUAUUGGGAGUAGCAUAAUACCGAGUUGGACUAGGGUUUCAGCGUACCCAUAUAGUCCCAGAACUACGAGCCACGUAGGUGUAAGUCCCCUCUGUGGGCAACAUCAGUUUAGUGAUCACGCCAGCAUGCCUCUAUACCUCUGGUAGGGUAUAUUGGGUCCUCUCGAUGGGGCGUAUACAUCGGACUCCACAUUUAGCUCAUGUGGUUUUAUGUCGGUUAUUAGUAGCUCCCACAGUUCAGUCAGACUCUAUUGCAUUGACCACAUUUACAGUUCAUUCAGUAUUCAGUAUUUUCAGUAUCUAUAUCAUGUUCAGAUUAUUUCAUUGCUUUAUUGCUUUGUUCAAUUAUAUGUUAUUUCAACUUUACUCUAUCAUGCAUGCUCAAUACCUCUCAAGUGCUGACGCAUACGUGCACUACAUCUUCUCGUGAUGUAGGUUCAGGUUCUCAGCAUCCAGAUCACGCUUAGAUUGAUUCUCGAUCUUCAGUUCAGCAGCAUCAGUGGUGAGUCCUCAUUCUUCGAGGACUAGUGACAUGUUUAUCUUUAUCGCUUUUAGUCUUUAGUUUCAGUUUUGCUAGACCUAGUUGGGGCAUAUCCCAACAUUUCUAGUCAAUUUAGAGGCUUAUUUCAGACAUAGUUAGAUUUAGCUUAGUAUUGAGUUAAUAUCUUCUUUGUAUUAAACACAUGAGUUAUCAUUUAUCUCAGUUAUAGUAUAUGGGUAUUAUCCAUCUUUUCAUUUUAUUUAUGAUUUAGCUUUCGCACAGUUUCUAUUAUUCAGAUUAUAUUUAGUAUGCUCAUGAUCAGGCCAGCAGGAUUAGCUUGGGAUCACUUGUGGUCCUAGGUCCCGUGUUCGCGUCUCGGGGGUAGCUCGGGGCGUGACAUCUAUGAACGCUGCAGGUGCAUUGGUCAAACUAAACGACAUGACUAGAAACUCAUAAUGACCAUAACUGGUCUUGAAUGUUGUCUUUUGAAUAUGACAUUCCCUUACUCAUAACUGAUGGUAGCCAGACCUGAGGUCUAUCUUAGAGAAACAUGUAGCACCCUGAAGCUGAUCGAAAAAAUAUUCAAUUCUCGGAAGAGGAUACUUAUUCAUGAUGGUAACCUUGUUUAACUGAUGGUAAUCUAUACACAUCCUAAGGAACCAUCUUUCUUUCUCACAAAUAGGACCGGAGCGUCCCAAGGUGAAAUACUUGGUCGAAUGAAACCUUUCUCUAAAAGAUCUUUCAAUUGCUCUUUAAGCUCUUUCAACUCUACUAGGGCCAUUCUAUAUGGCAGAAUAGAUAUGGGACGAGUAUCUGGAAGAAUGUCUAUACCGAAGUCUAUUUCUCUCUCAGGAGGGACUCCGGGAAGAUCAUCAGGAAAGACUUCUGGAAACUCUCUUACUACUGAAACUGACUAAAUAAGAGGUAUCUCAACACUAGAGUCAUUAACUCGGACUAAGUGAUAGACACACCCCUUGGAAACUAACUUUCUCGCCUUAAGGUACGAAAUAAAAUGACCCUUAGGCACUGCUGAAUUGCUCUUCAACUCUAUAAUUGGUUCACUGGAACUUGACUACUCGAGUUCUACAAUCUAUUGAUGCAUAACAGGCAUGAAGCUAGUCCAUACCUAGAAUGACAUCAAACUCUACCAUGUCUAACUCAACUAAUCAGCCAUGGUACUCUUGUGAUUGAUAGAAACGGGACAAUCACCAUAGACUCUUUCUGCUAUAAUAAACUCACCAACGGGUGUAGAAACACUGAAGGGCUCAAGAAGUUGCUUAGGAAAAACAUCAAAGUUGAAGACUUGGAUCAUACCAGUGACAACAUUUGGCGAAUCCAUAGACUCUUUCUGCUAUAAUAAACUCACCAACGGGUGUAGAAACACUGAAGGGCUCAAGAAGUUGCUUAGGAAAAACAUCAAAGUUGAAGACUUGGAUCAUACCAGUGACAACAUUUGGCGAAUCCUCUUGCUCUCGGCGACUAGCAAUAGCAUAAAGACAGUUUCCUUCUCCGUCUGCCUUUGAAGUAGCUCAUCUAGAUGCAGCUCUAUCUGGUGGAGCAAAUGAAGAAGACUGGGCUUUAUUACCCCCAUUACCAUUACUCUGUCUGGUCCUAGGACACUCUCUCAUAAAAUGACCAUUCUGGCCACACUUGAAGCAACUAGUGGAGUCAUCACGACACAUCCCUGAGUGGAUCCUACCACACUUAGCACAUGCAAAAGUCUUAGUACCCCCUUGUGCCUUACUACCUUGCGAGUGUGCAAGUCUAGCUCUGAAGUUCUGAGAAUUCUGACUAUUGUACUCACAUUUGUUCCUUGGUGCAGGUGCACUAGCAAAUGAUGGAGCAGGUCCUUUCUGCUUAUGUUGGAAAGAAGACUGGUUCGCACUACCCUUUUGCUGCCCAGAUUCAUUCCCUGGUGUCUUAGCCUUCUUAUUCUCAAACUCUUCUUUAUCCUUUAGCUGGUCCUUCUCAACUUGUUGCACAUGGAUCAUCAGCCUUGCUAUUCCCAUGUCACCUAUUAGCAUGGCUGCCUUACUUUCCUUAUCUGAGAGACGAGACAACCCAACAACGAAUAAACUCAUCCUACUCCUCAUGUCGGCAACUAUCUAUUUGCUUCUCUUAGUUCACGGGGAAAGAAACGCCCCAUGAAAGCACUCUCAAAACAGUCCAACUCACAAUCGGUUACGCGUAAACAUGAGUUAGAAAGAAACUUUUUAGAGAUAAAACUCUAACGCACGAAAUGAGUAUGAAAAAAGUGAAGGAAUUUCCUAAAUAUUGCAGCCUCCUAAUUAUAUAUGUGGCUCACUUCACACCAAUAACUAGGACUCUACAGACACGGCUUCCUAGAUUUCCUAGGACUCUUGAACUCUGUGCUCUGAUACUAAGUUUGUCACCCCCUAGCCUACACCCUGGACGUGGCGGCACUCGAGAACCAUUACUGGCCCCAAAUGAACCCUUGGUCUGACUUACUUACUCAACGGAAGACUUUACUCAAGAUAAAUACUUUUAAAACAAGUAAACUGAACUGCUCAAAAAUAACUUAGAAUGUAUUAUAAUAACAUUCACUACCAAAGUGGCAACUCAAGUCUCAACUUAACUAAAAAGGAAAAGAAAAAACUCACGAACUAACAUCACUGACUCUGUCUAUGAAGCCUCUAAAUAACUGAUUUGGACGUCGGGACAAGACCCACGACAUCCUAAUAAACUAAAAUACUGAAAGCAAUAAAAAGGAUUCUCUGAAAAGGUAGGAGGCUCACCAACUGACUCUGAGUGCUCAACUGGAUCAACGAGGCGCUGGAUACUGAUCCUGAUUACCUGCGUCUGCAUUAUAAUAAGAUAUAGGACAACUGGAAUCAGUACAUUGAAUGUACGAAUAUGCGAGUUGAAUGCUAAACAUAACAUAGGAUUGAAAAGAAUCUGAAAGAAAUACUUACCUUGGCUUUACUCAACUCAUGAAUAAUUUAACUCAAUAUAAAGCAGUAAACAUAUGCAAUAUAUAUAAAGCUUGUAAAACAGUAGAAAACAACUUAGUUCGUUAAAGGAAAUGCAAUAACAAAAUCAACUUUACUCAUAUAAUAAAGUAAUAUCGUUUCUGUGGGAGUUUCUCUAAUCGACAACCACUACUAUGAGCCUAAGUCGUGAUACAUCGUCUUGCCCACGCUGCAAAAUCUGUCCUAUACUUUGCCGUCAUAUAGAACACUUAACUAAGUGGAUCCACUAAUCUAUGCUAAAAGCUUCUUAAGGAGUCAUCUAAAAAGUAUGAUCCUUUACUACCCAUGAUGGCUACAUGAUAUAUGGAGACGUGAGUUAUCUUAACUCAAGCUCGUCCCAAUAUCGGUGCUCAAUACUACUCCCAAAAUAUACUUAGCUCAUAUGUUUGUAAAAACAAAACUCUUUCUUUGGUUUUGAGAUAAUUACUCAAAAACUUAGCUUAAAAGCUCUCUUGGAAAUCUCAGUUUCCUUUCUUGCUCAAAUGUGAAAACAUUUUUAACUCUUGGAAAUACUUAGUUCCCGAAUAAUCUUUGAAGAAUGAACUUUACUCUUACUCUUUACUGAAAACUAGUUCAAAGGCUCUUUUGGAAAUCUUAGUUUACUUUCUUGUUUAAAUGUGAAAAUAUUACUCUUUGGGAAUACAUAGUCCCGAUAUACUCUUUUGAAGAAAUGCACUUCAAACUUUACUCUUUACUCAACUCAAAACUCAAGUCUUAAAACAAAGUUAAAACAGUUGUAAAAGACUUUUGGAAAAUUUUUUGAACUUCUCUUAACUUGACUCUUGACUUCUCUUGACUUGACUCUUAACUUCUCUUGACUUGACUCUUAACUUUCCUUGAAUUGAAUUAUGGAUUCAAGGAUUGUGAUUUGUGAUAGGAAAGAUCUCAUGAUGUUUAGGAAUGAUUUGACAGAGCUAAACAUGAGAAAUGAUCAAGAAAUCACUGCUUGGAAACUAGUCCGCGAUGCGGAGGUGUAUUUAAAUUUUGGUCGCGAAAAUAACUUUUGAGGCAGAGAGGUUCGUGACCUCGCCGCGAUGCGAAGGGAAAAUUAUACUUCUGAGGAACAGGUCCGCGACGCGAACCUGGUACCCAGUUUCUGCCCGACUUGUUCCUUCUUCAUUUUCUAACUCUAAUUUGCCUAAACUCGAUUCUUUUUCUCAAAUUCCCUUUAGUUUCAGAUACCCAAUAUGUAUACACAAGAUUCUAACUGAAACAACUCAAGGAAACAACAUUUUAACCUCAAGGAACUCCUCAAUCUCAACCUAACUCAAGAACGAAGGCCAAUUUCAAGAACACCAUUCAAGAUUCAUCAACUUUCAACUUUCUAGAACAAACUUCGCUGAAAUAACAUGAUUGGCGCGUGGGUCAACGAACUUAAUGCUAUGAAAGACUCACAUACCUCGUAGGGAUCACACCUUGACGAAAUCCACGAGCCUAGCUUCAAGAACUUGACGAUUCCUUGCUCCUUCUCCUAUUCUUUUCUCUUCUCGCAAAACCCUAACUUGUUUCUCAAAAGCGUAAACUGAAUCCAAUCAGUUUAGACCCCAACUUAAUUACCAAAAAUGAAAUUAAUUAAUUGAGUGGUGAAAAGACCAUAAUGCCCUUCUAAAAUCCGGAUUGAUCUUUUCUUCUUUGAACAACCCAACUUCAAAUGGGCAUAUCUCACUCAUAUGAACUCGAAAUCGCGUAAACUCAACGGCGUUGGAAAGAUUAUUCCAAAAUCUUUCCAAAGAUAUCUGGAAAGACACCUAACUCAUCCUGAGGUAGGAGUUAUGGUCAUUUGAAGUUGACCAAAAAACUCAGACCUAACUUAACCAAUUCUCCUGAUAUUUUAUUAUUUCCAAAAAUCACUCUUUCUAAUUCCAGCUCUUUCUAGUUCUUUCAAUUUGCGAGAUGUUACACAUAUUAUUAAUCAACAAAAUAAAUCCAAAAGGUCCAGCCCAAAAUGGGCAUCCACUAGCAAAACAAGAAAAGUAAAAGGAAAGAAAAUCAAACAACCAAAAAAGGAAACAAAUUAGGGCAAAAUAAAUAUAGAAGCUACAAACGCGUUCUUCCCCUUUUCAUCUGGGAAACUGAACGCCUCCUUUGACGAAUUCCAGCUACUGAUCUUCAUUCUCCACACCGACGAAGCAUAGAAAACAUCAGUUACGUAGCUCAACUAUCGGUAUCAGAAAAGACGCUGGGCUAAUUUCAUCAUAGGCGACCUCAAAUCUCUUACACAUGUGUUGUGACAUAUGACCCAACGGGAACAUUCCUUGUCAAUCUCAUUGCCAACCGAAUACUAUGUAGGAGGUAACUUCCAUCCUUUUUGUGUAGAUAAUCAAAUCGGAAAUUCUUAGAACAUUGACGCAAAACUUUUUUAACCAAGCUAUUUACUAUAUCACUUUUGAUAGAAUGAGAUUCUGAAGAUGCUGAUACCACACAUCAAAAGUUGCACAGUGAACAACCAGAUCUAAAAGUUCUGCAAUUUUUCAGGUAAACAUACUAUAUACCUUCUCAAGACCAUUGAAUUAGUCCGGUUCUCAAGCCUUCAAGUAGUUGUAUCUAAAACUAGGGGUUUGUUGUUUAUAUAAGAGAAUCAAUUUUGAACUUCUUGUGGUAGUUGUUGCAAUGAAUUAUAGCUUAUAGCACCCACACAACAAGUAAUAAAAUCGGCAAUUUUAUUGCCUUCUCGUAGUACAUGAUGCACUGUACUAACGCCUUUUGCCCUCCAAAACCUUAUCCUGUCAAUCUUCAUCCUUAACUUCGAAGGAGUAUUCCAUGUACCCUCCACCAUAUUCAACAAAACUAAUGAAUCUGUCUCCAAUCGUACAGGAACAAAAUUGUUCCUCGUGCAAUAGUCAAUCACAUUCCCCAAAUCCACUCUUCUACGUAUAAAUUAGUGUUAACUUCAAUUCUUAUAACAUAGCAUAAAUAAACUCCCCUUCAUCACUUCUCAUGCAAAAACCUAAUGAACUUGGGUCUGGGUUACCUUUAGAGGCCCCAUCCGAAUUGCAUUUAAACCAUCCCUGUAGAGGAAACUCCUACUUAACCAAUCUAAAAUGAAGAACUCGCAUAUAUUCUUCGAAGUACUGCACCAUUUGUGGCCAGUUAAUUGGUAUAUCCUUCAGCCGAGGAUAUGUCACAUUUGCAAGCAUAUGAAGAAUGUGGCUAAUAUCACUUACAACUCAAUUAUUUGUCAUAAAUCCUCCAUUAGUAACCACAUUUCUUCUUCUCAUUAAAUGCCACAAAAUGAUUUAAGGAGCAGAUUGAUACAAUGACAUAAGUUUUUCCCCACAUUCAGCCUUCCACCAUUCUGUAAUAGCCUGAUUGACCUGUAUAAAAGGGCCUAACAACCCUACAGCCAUAGUAAAGUUUCUCCAAAUACUUUGUGCAACUUCACCAGUUAAAAAAAUGUGUGACAGUCUCUUCUUGAAAUUGUCGACAACAUCUACACCUAGACUCCCCAUGAUGCCACAAUGUCAUCUAUUGGUAGCUUUAGAUUCCACAACCUCCAAAUAAAAAAGAAAAUUUUCAUAGGAAGACCUUUUACCCAAAAUUUCUUCCAAAACCAUCUUUUCUGCUUUUUUGGUCUCUGAAUUUCCCUAAAAUUUCCUUUAGUAGAUGGCAUCCACCAUGCUCUAUCUUUGUCUUCCAAGCUCUCUCAUAUCAUGAGAUUCUUUGUCACAUGUUCAGCAAUUUGAUUAGGCAAAUGUUGAUGUAGACUUUCCUAAUUUUAUUUUUCAUUAUCCAUAAAAAAAUUUACCUCCUUGUUUAGAAAAACAUAAUUUCAACCAAGAAGCCCAGAUUAGAUCUGCCCUCUUCCAAGUUGCUUCAAAAGAAUUUUGAAAAAUCUUGUGCAACUCAUUCAAAGCGCAUUUAGUAAGAGCUAAAGUUGAUAAAAGAUAUAUAGGCAUGUUUUGCAACACAUUUCUAAUCAAAACAACUUUGCCACCAAAGGAUAAUAACUUACUCUUUCAGUUCUGCAACUUUCCUUUUACCUUUUUGAUGAUUUCAUUAUAGAAUAUCUUCUCUUUCUUCAAUAAAAUAUUGGGCAGCCUAAAUAUAUGAAUGGGAACACACCUUUUUCCAUUCCUAUGACUAAUCCCACCUGCUGCACCUUUUUCGGGGUGGCCCAGUGGUUUGGGCUUGGGACUUCCAUGUUGGAGGUCUCAAGUUCGAAACCCCUUGCCAGCGAAAGCAAGGGGUUUGCCUUCUGGGUCGAGCUCGUCGCACUGGGCUUGCCUAGUGCGGGUUACCUCUCCUAUGUGGUUUGCGAGCUAUUGCAUAGGAGCGGGGGUUUUAUCAUGUGCGCACCCAAAGGGUAGCGGCUGUGGGUUUUCCUUGUCAUAAAAAAAAUAUCAUGUUAAUUUAGCAUUUAAUUCUAAAUAGAUUUUUUUAAAACAGAGAAAAUACAUUUAUGUUUUGAGAUUGUUUAAAUUUUUUCACUAAACUGAUAAAAAUAACAAAAAUACUUGUUCCUAUAAGUUAUUGUGCAUGAAAAAAGAGAACCAAAAACACAUUUAUAUCAUGCUAAAAAAAUUAUGUUCAUUAAGACAAAUUAUGCAUAUGUAGAACUUCAUGUAAUAGUGAGACAUGCUUCUUAGCUCUAAUUUUUAUGUAUGAGUGAUAAAUAAAAAAUAUUAAUAAAAGAAGUCUUGUGAAAUAAAAAGUAAGCACUUUAAUCUUUGUUGAUCAACUGACCUGAGAUCUCCUCAUAUUUCCUCGGCACUUCCAUAACAAGAUCAAGAGAUACUUUAUCUGUUAAGGUGAAUAUUAUAGUGUCAUCUGCAUAAGUCAAAUGAUUUAGCUUCUCACUCCAUCUUGGUAAGCCAUAUCCCUUAUACAAACUAUUGUCAAACAAGGCAUUCAGUGAUGUGAUCUGGACAACACUUUUGCGGUUAGUAAAGACAGAGUUGGGGAUAAGGGAUCUCCUUGCUUCACUCCCCUAGUAGAGUAAAAAAAAUCCAUGACUUUGCCCAUUAAAAAUAAUAGAGUACCAGGUCUUUGCUAUUAAUCUUCAUACCAUGACAGUAAAAAUCUCACUGAAACCCAUCUUUCUUAGCACAUUAGAUAAAUAUAGUCAGGAUACCCUAUCAUAAAUCAUGGUCAUAUCUAGUUUGAUAACAACAUUAGAAGCUUACCUCUUUUUCUUAUAUCAGUCAAAAUCCCUUGAGUUAGCAACACAUUCUGAAUUAUGCAUCUUCCUUUUUGAAAAUUCAUCUUGAGUAGGAGAUAUGAACUUGGUUAGAAUGUCUUUUAUUCUUCCAUGUACCACUCUAGAGAUGGUCUUAUUAAUCAAAUUUUUUAGGCUUAUAGGCCUUAAUCUGAAAAUGAAUUGACCAACUCCCUUUUACGUAGCAGUACCAGAUUUGUAUGUGUGAUCGACUUGGGCAAGGUAUCACUAUUAAAAAGGCCUUUACUAUCCUAUAAACAUCAUAACCAACAAUGUCCCAACAUGAUUGAAAGAAAUUGACGUUCAAGCCAUCAGGUCCACUUGCACUUGAUCCCUCCAAUUGGAAAAUAGAUUAUUUUUCACCACCUCCAUUAGUGGUAUCAUUAGAAACUUCUCAUUAUCCCCUGAUUUACCAAAUUUGGUAUACAUUCUAAUAAAGAAAAAUCAGAUUCUUCUUCACCUAGUGUAAAUUGAUUUUUAUAACAACUUAUUGCCUCUUCAACCAUUUGAUCCUCUCUUUCAAGCCAUACUCCUUCUGCAUUUUAAAUUCUCUUGAUUUGAAGUCUUUUUCUUCUCCCAUUUACUAGACUAUGAAAAAAUACGCAAAUCAUGUAAUUUCAGCUUUCUGUCUCCAAAACUCCUCUUCAUAGUGAACAUACUUUUUCAUUUCCGCAUGAGCAUGUUGUAGAAUCAUUCUAUUAGCUGUUGUAGGCUCUUCCUCAAAGUUUUGUUCUUUAAUUCUGACUACUUCUUCUCUGAUUAUUAGUUGCUUGAAAAUAUCCCCAAAAGUGUUUCUACUCCACUGAUUCAAUGCAACUUUUAUCUUGUUCACCUUGUGCUUGAAAAUUUAAAAAGGAUGCCCUUCAAAAUCAACGGUCUAAUUGGGCAACUAUAUUUUAAAAUUCAGAAUGUUCUAUCCAAAAAUUUAAAGUUUUUUUAACUGUCUGAUUAUUAUUUGAUUUGUUUGGUCAUCUCUCUUAUUCUCCUUAAGAGAGUGAGCUAUACUCCCUAUGCCACAUCGCUAAAAAUAGUAAAAACUACUUGAAUUUUGUAGUGUUAAGAGUUAAUUACAUCUUAUUUCUAUUCGUUUUCAAAUUAAAAAAAUCCCCAAAAAUAUAAGAAUUUCGAAUAUAUCACUCAACGUCUCGAUACAUCGUGUUCCGGUACAUCGCGUAAAAGUGAUGUAUCCAAGAAUCUAAGAGAGAGUGAGGAAAAUAUGAUUUUUUGUAAUUCUUUCAAAUGGUAGGAAAUUUUAAAGAAUAUGAUAGGAAAUUUAAAAAAAUAUAGUAAAAUAAGAAUUUUGUAAUUGAAAUUAAAUAUUAAAUUCUUGAAAGUUAAAAGAGUAAAGAAAUUGAGACGAAAAAUAUUUAUAGAUUAAUGGGGAGUAAAAAAUACUUAAAAAUUAAAAAUAUGAGAUUAGAUUUUAGAUUAUUAUUUUUUGUUGUUAGUGGGCCCACAACGGUCAAAAAAUUGACAAACAAAUUCUCGAAAAGUUCGUGCCUCCAAUGGAUAUUCCGUUAGUCUUGGACCAGUUCGAUCUGGGCUUCUACUGAUUUGGGCCAAUUUUGGAUCGAUCCGAUCUGAUCCGAUUGACACACUUAGUUUGAAUUAUAUAAAUGACCAUCAAAAGGCAAACUAUUUAACUACAAAACGAAAAAUUAAAAUUACUUAUUUGUGUGAGAGUUCUUGAGUUCUUUCAAGUAUGUUUAAUUUUCAGUUUCUUUAUCUUUUUGGGCCACCAGUUACACUUGUGAAGUAAUCUAUGUGCGACAUGUGAGUUUCUAUGCGCUUUCAUAUGAAAUCAUUUUUUAGUCCUUUACAAAAAAAAAAUUAAUUUUAUGUCCUUUUAUAAAAAUAUCUUCAUUUUUCUAUACAUAAGUGAUCUGAAAAGAAUAUUUUCUUUUAUUCAAAUCCUAAGAAGACAAGAGAUCUCAUUUUGUUGUUUCCUUGUAUGCUUCUACAAACACAUUUUAAGACUUAUAUAUGGGCAGAUUCUAUUUCUUUAAGUCUGUUUUUGUUUGAGCAUUUUAUUUUUUUUAACUAUAUGAAAUUCAUACAGAGAAGUAGUAGAAAUUGCACAGAUUUAAGUUUUAAAAUGUGUUUGUAGAAGCAUACAAGAAAACAACAAAAUGAGACUUCUUGUCUCCUUACGAUUUGAAUAAAAGAAAAUAUUCUUUUUAGAUCACUUAUGUGUAGAAAAAUGAAGAUAUCUUAUAAAAGAACAUAAAACUUAAAAAAAUUGUAAAUGACUAAAAAAUGAUUUCAUAUGAUGAAAGUGCAUAGAAACUCACAGGUCACACAUAGAUUACUUCACAAAUGUAAUUGGUGGCCCAAAAAAGAUAAAGAAACUGAAAAUUAAACAUACUUGAAAGAGGAACUCAAGAACUCUCACACAAAUCAGUAAUUUUAAUUUUUCGUCUUGUUGUUAAAUAUUUUGCCUUUUGAUGGUCAUUUAUAUAAUUCAAACUAAAGGUGUGAAUCGGACGGGAUCAGGUCGAUCCAAAAUUGGCCCAAAUCAGUAGAAGCCCAGAUCAAACUGGUCCACUACUAAAGAAAUAGGAAAAAUUAUCCGUCGAAGGCACGAACUUUUAGAGAAUCUCUUUGUCAAUUUUUUGACCGUUGUGGGGCCCACUAACAGCUAAAAAAAAUCUAAAAUCUAAUCUAAUAUUUUUAACUUUUAAGUUUUUUCCAAAAAAAAAAACCGCCCCAUUAAUCUAUAAAAAAAAUUCCUCUCAAUUUCUUUACUCUUUUAACUUUUAAGAAUUUAAUAUUUAAUUUCAACUUACUCAAAACUAUUUAAUUAUCAUUUCUCUAUGAUAUCAUUUAUUAGUUACUCCAUUACUUAUUUUUAUUGGUUAUUAAUUUAUUAUUUUUCUUAAAGUGCUAUUAAGAUUAUUAUUAUUAUUAUAAUAUUACUUAUAUAACUUAUUACUAUUAGUUAUUAGUUUAUUGUUUCUGUGAAAAUGUUAGCAAGAUUAUUAUUACAGUAUUACUUUUCAGUUAUUACUUAUUAGUUACUCCCUCCAUUUCAUAUUAGUUGAAUUUUUGAGGCAUUUUUCAUUUUUCAAAUUAACUUAAUUGUUCAAUCUUCAAGACUAUUUUUAAAAUAUUCUUCCAAUUUUAUCCUUCAUGUGGAUUUUCAAUGUGAUGAUUUCAAUAAAUUUGAUAAUAAUAAAUAAGGGUAAAAAUGGAAAACUAUGUUCAAUUUAUGUCUUAAUCUACUUUUCUUAAAGGGUGUGAAAUACUUCAAAAAUUCAACUAAUAUGGAAUGGAGGGAGUAUUAUUAUUCAUUAAUACUUAAUACUUAUUGGUUAAUAGUUAUUACUUUAUUAUUAUUAUUUUUAUUUAUUAGGUAACUCCAUGAUCAAAAGGAUCAAGGAUUAAAUAUUAUUAUUAGCUAAUCAAGUGAUAUUAUGUUACCAUUCGAAUCAAGUAUUUAUUCUUUUGCGAAAAUUUGAUAUACUCGUUUCAUUUAUUUCUAUUUUUUUAGUAUUUUAUAUUUAAUUUUAGUUAUUUUAAUUAAACUAGCACAAUGAAUUUGAUGCAAAAAAGCUGAAAAGUUUGUUUGAGGUUGUAACGACCGGGUUCCGUCGUUAUAGAAAAGCCAAUGGGGGAAAAUUUGGGGACGGAAAACCUUUUCAUAGUAUUUGGAUUUUUUCCAACUUAGUCCAGAUUUGGACGAAAUCGGAGUCAUUAAGGUGUAGGGAAAUCUGGCAUUAAUCGGGUGAUUUAUUUAUAAUUUUGAUUACAUGAGGGGAUAGAUAACUCAUUAAGGAAUCCAUACGACUUUACGGAAUUGAAUGCAAGCCACUUUGGCGCUGGGUUUUGUCCCUCUGGCGGGGUAAGGGUCGCCGUGGCGGGCUAGAUGCGACUGAAAGUCGUAAAUAAACCCCUAAACGACUUAUUUUUGCACUUUUCAAUUUUUAAAGCUAAGGAACGAACCCAGGAGACUCUUGAGAGUUUUCCACCAUUCUUGAGGCUAAAGGUAAGAUUUUCACUCCCCGAAUCUGUUUUUCGAUCCGUAGAGCGUAAUAGAAUGGGUAAUUAUCGAUGGGGGAAGGUUUUGAAUUAAAAACCAUGAUGGAAAAAGUCCUAAUUUGGAUACUUGGGAUCAUAGGUAUGAUCUAGGUGCCAAGCCCCAAAAUCUAGGGGCGCAACUGGCUCCUAAUGCCAGAACUCAGGCCCGAGUCGACCCUCCUGAACCAUUUGCUACUAGCGCAUGGCAGCCACACGCAAUCAAGAAAAUAAACAAGUAUAUCUCGGCUUAAAACUAUGACAUCGGCCAGUAAGGCCCCUGUCAACAGAUCUAUAAAAGAAAUAUCUAUUCCCAAGAGUUUAUAUAAAAAAAUAGCCAACUAGCACAGAAGUCCAGAUUGGACCGUCGAGGCCACCACGAUCUCUAUACCAAAACUGAAAGCAGGUAUAUAUCAAGACAAUACAUCAAAUAGCUCACAAGCUUCAGCAAACCAACAAACUAGGCCAGCAUGGUCAUAACGUAGCUAUACACCACACACACUAGUCUGCAAGCCUCUAAGAGUAGAAAAGAUUGGCAGGACAGGGCCCAGCCUACCCAUAAAAAUAUCUGCAACAAAAGCUAACAAACCUCCCAACUCUGGCAACUCCGGAGGAAAGGGGUUAGCCAACCAGAUAGAAGUCAAUCUUGCUGAUGAGGAGGUCUACUGGGUCGUCUGUUGGGACCUGCAUGCAGCACCCUCAGGCAAUAGGGCAUCAGUACAAAAUAAUGUACAGAGUAUGAAAGGCUAUAGACUAAAUGAGCAAGUAUCAUAAUAUACCAAAAGCAAUUAGGUAAGGAAAUCAAUAUUUAGCUAAGCAUGCUAACCCACUACUAGAUCUAAAAAAAUACAAAAAUGAUCAAACAUCAACCUAACCAAGCCCCCAUAAGCUCGGUAGGUACAAACAAUAUACCACCUACCUAGGCUCCCGUAAGCCCAGAAGGUGCCAAAUCAAUCUACAUAACCCUAUCGGUAGCCCCUUGUCUUUGUAAGAAGUCACAUAGCCCUUUUUGGCAAUGAUAUAUCCCCGUAGGCAGCGCAUGACCCUCUUAGGCAACAACAUAGCUCUGUGGGCUGCACAUAACCCUCUUUUGCAUCAACAUAGCCCUGUAGGCAACACAUAGCCCUCUUUGGCGUCAAAAUUGCCUCAUAGGGAACACAUAACACUCUUUGGCAUCAAUACAACCCCAUAGAAAACACAUAGCCCUCUUAGGCAAUAACAUAGUCCUAUUAGACAACAUCAUAGCCCCAUAGGCAGUUCAUAGCUCAACCGCUAACCACAAUAGCCCCAAGGGCGACAACAAACAAUUGAAUAAGCUAAAGGUGAGCAAUUUAGCUAUAUAUAUAUAUAUAUAUAUAUAGUUUCCAAGUCAUUCCUAACUUAGGGUCAUUCUUAACAGAUUAUGAGUCCCUAUAAUAGGGGUUUAUAACCACUCAAUCAGCCAACCACUCACAAUUACAUCUACAAGAUCACCAACAUUAACUACCAUACUAUAUCAUUCCCAAGCUCUAAGGAAAUAUGCCGAACGAAGGGAAUAGCCUUAACAUACCUUUUCCUUUAUAAUCUAUGCUUAAAAUACCUCUGUCCGCACCACUACAACACUAAAUAAAAAGGUAAAAUCAAUUAGUAAUUAAGGAUAAAAAAUACUACGACAAUUCGACAAUCAAUACGGAUUCCUAUCGUAAAUUACUAUCCAAUACCUAAGGUAUCCGUAAACUGCUAAAAAUAUGGUUCAUACCUUUCUUUACACGCCCAUAUCACUUGAAUAAAUCAAAACACUAAAUAAAUGCCUGCUGCCACAACCUCCACGGAUCUACACCGCUCAAUUCACCGUGAAAAUUAUACCAAAACGACGAGCUCGCGACGUAGGGCAAUUUUUUAUAAGGAGCCAAGAAGAGAUCAUGAACAUACAAAGAUGAUUUGAGGAAUAAUUCUCUGAUUUUCGUGGGUUUCUUAUGAGUUGGAAUGAAGAAAAAUGAAGAAGAUGUUAUCUUAUAAGCUUCCACCGACCUAGGGGACCCACCUCACAUGCCUGCUUGCGCAGUCUUGCAAAAAUGUGAAUAUCUCUUUAUUGUGAAAUCUUAGGAACAAACGAUUUGAUGUGUUGUAAACUAGACUCAUAGCCCUUCGAUUCGAUAGGUCGUGGACCCCAUAACUCUUUAUAGAUUGAGAGAAAACCUCUGAGACAUUUGACCCAAAUUUCAGAGAAAUAUUUAAAAAGGAACUUAUGAUAACUUUCGCCAACUUUUAUUUUGCGACUUACCUAACUUCAACACUUAAAAUAUGACAUACCACAACAUUCUUAAUUUAUUACUCACCCUUUUUGUCUUUCCACGAAGGUACGAGUUAAUUUAGAUGUUUCGAAAAGUCGGGGUGUUACAUCCUUACCCCCUUAGAAACAUUCGUCCUCGAAUGAAAAAUCUGAGUCACGUGGUUAAGUCCUUAGGAGUUGGCCAAAAUUUAGGCAAGUAUCCUUUGUAAAUGUGACUAUCCAGGAACCUGAAACACAGAAAUUCUAACUUAGGCAUCUUACAUGACGACAUAAAUAGCUAAGCAUUAUAGCUCUGCAAUAACAGUGCGAGCAAAAUACAACGACAACAACCAUAAUAAUAAGCAAUAAUAUAAAAAUCAGAUAGGUAUCCUAUCUCACUGCACUAAUAUAAACUAAUAUGCCAUCACCUUGGGUAUGAAACAAGUGAGGAUAUUUGGACCUCAUGCCAUCCUCAGCUUCCCAGGUCACCUAUUCUCUAUUCUUGUUUCUCCACAAUACUUUAACUAAAGCCACCUCUUUGGUCCUCAAUUUACGGACCUGUCGAUCUAAUAUGGCAACUUGAGUUUCCUCGUAGGGACAACUCCUUUGUGAUCUGAACAUCCUCAACUGGGACAACCCGGGAAGGGUCUCCUAUGCACUUCCGUAGCAUCGAUACAUGGAAAACUGGAUGACCAGAUUCUAUCCCUGAAGGCAAUUCUAACUCAUAAGCCACUCAUCCUACCCUCCGAAGGAUCUGGUAUGGCCCAAUGAAUUUUGGACUAAGCUUUCCUUUCUUGCCAAAUCUCAUAACACCUUUCAUAGACGAGACUUUAAAGAACACCAGUCAUCGUUAGGCAUCUUACAUGACGACAUAAAUAGCUAAGCAUUAUAGCUCUGCAAUAACAGUGCGAGCAAAAUACAACGACAACAACCAUAAUAAUAAGCAAUAAUAUAAAAAAUCAGAUAGGUAUCCUAUCUCACUGCACUAAUAUAAACUAAUAUGCCAUCACCUUGGGGUAUGAAACAAGUGAGGAUAUUUGGACCUCAUGCCAUCCUCAGCUUCCCAGGUCACCUAUUCUCUAUUCUUGUUUCUCCACAAUACUUUAACUAAAGCCACCUCUUUGGUCCUCAAUUUACGGACCUGUCGAUCUAAUAUGGCAACUUGAGUUUCCUCGUAGGACAACUCCUUUGUGAUCUGAACAUCCUCAACUGGGACAACCCGGGAAGGGUCUCCUAUGCACUUCCGUAGCAUCGAUACAUGGAAAACUGGAUGACCAGAUUCUAUCCCUGAAGGCAAUUCUAACUCAUAAGCCACUCAUCCUACCCUCCGAAGGAUCUGGUAUGGCCCAAUGAAUUUUGGACUAAGCUUUCCUUUCUUGCCAAAUCUCAUAACACCUUUCAUAGACGAGACUUUAAAGAACACCAGUCAUCGACACAAAACUCUAAGUCCCUUCGUCGCACAUCUGAGUAUGACUUCUGUCGGCUUUGAGAUAUUAGCAACCUCUCCCGAAUGAUCUUAACCUGCUCCACUGUCUGUUGUACUAAAUCAGGUCCAAUCAACCCUGACUCACCUACCUCAAACCAUCCAAUGGGGGAUAACAUUUUAGACCAUACAAAACCUCAUAAGGUGCCAUCCCGAUGCUAGAAUGAUAACUAUUAUUGUAUGCGAACACAAUAAGAGGUAAGUGGUCAUCCUAACUUCCAUUAAAGUCCAGCAUGCAUGCCCGUAGCAUGUCCUCAAGUGUUAAAAUGGUGCGUUCAGCUUGGCUAUCUGUCUGAGGGUGAAAGGCGGUACUGAGAUUAACUUGCGUCCCUAAUCCUUUCUGGAAAGACUUCCAAAAGUUAGCAGUAAAUUAUGCUCCUCUAUCCGAGAUAAUAGAUAUUGGGACGCCGUGCAACCAAACAAUCUCUCGGAUGUAAAGCCCUGCAUAAUCUUCAGCUGUGAAAGUAGUCUUGACUAGUAAGAAGUGGGUUGAUUUUGUUAGUCUGUCAACAAUUACCCAAAUAGAGUCAAACUUACGACGUGAUCGAGCUAACCCUAUAAUAAAGUCCAUAUUAAUUGCUUCCCACUUCCAUAAAGGAAUGGCUAUCUUUUGGACUAGCCCAGCGGGCUUUUGGGUUUCAACCUUCACUUGUUGGCAGUUAGGACACUAUGCCACAAACUCAGCAACGUCCUUCUUCAUCUCGUGCCACCAAUAGAUCUCCUUAAUAUCAUGGUACAUUUUCAUCGAACCAGGGUGAAUAGAAUAACGGGAAUGAUGUGCCUCUUCCAUAAUCUAAUGUCGAAGCCCUGCAACAUCCGGAACACACAAUCGAUCGCUAUAUCUGAGGACUCCAUCUCCUUCUAUAUCAAAUGCUAAAUACUGUUAAUCCUGAGCCUUGGCUCUGAGCUGCUCUAAGCUAGGAUCCUCAUGUUGACGUGUUUUUACCUCUACAACUAGAGAUGAUACGGCUGUGUCCUGAAUUGCGACCCCACUAUCAUCUACCUCUAACAAUUUGACUCCCACGCUAGCUAACUGAUGUAGCUCUCGCGCUACCUCACGUUUCUGAACACCUAAAUAGGAUAAACUACCCAUAGAUCUUCGACUGAAGGCAUCGGCUACCACAUUUCGCCUUUUCCUGGAUGAUAUAAAUAUCCACGUAGUAGUCUUUCAGUAACUCAAGCCACCGACGUUGUCGCAGAUUUAACUCCUUUUGUCUAAAGAUAUAUUGAAGGCUCUUAUGAUCUGUGAAGAUGUCAACAUGAACGCCAUACAAAUAGUAUCUCCAGAUCUUUAACGCAUGGACAACUGCAGCCAACUCUAAGUAGUGGUCGGAUAAUUCUUCUGAUGUUUCCUCAGCUGCCUUGAAGCAUAUGCGAUAACCUUACCAUGUUACAUUAGAACACAUCCCAACCCAACACUAGAAGCAUUGCAGUACACCGCAUAGCCCUCUUAACCCUCUAGCAAUGCUAGAACUGGUGCUGAUGUCAACCUGUCAUUCAACUCCUGGAAACUAUGCUCGCAAGCCUCAGUCCAUUGGAACUUAGCUGCUUUUUGAGUCAGCUUCAAUAGUGGUGCUGAAAGUGAAGAAAACUCCUCUACAAACCUUCUGUAUUACCCAGCUAAUCCUAAGAAACUACAAACCUUAGUCGGAGUCAUGGGUCUAGGCUAAGUCUUUACAGCCUCAAUCUUUUGUGUAUCAACCAUAAUGCCUGCAUCUGGUACAAUAUGGCCUAGGAAAGCCACAGAGCUCAACCAGAACUCAUACUUAGAGAACUUUGCGUAAAGUUCCUGCUCUCGAAGAACCUGAAGGACUGCUCGCAAAUGAUCUGCCUGCUCUUUUUUGAAUGCUAAUAGACCAAAAUAACAUCAAUAAAUACAAUCACAAACAUAUCUAGAUACGGAUGAAUAUACUAUUCAUCAGGUCCAUAAAAACUGCCGGGGCAUUGAUCAAUCCAAAAGACAUAACUAAAAACUCAAAAUGCCCAUAUCUAGUUCUAAAAGUUGUCUUCGGAACAUCUUUCUCUUGAACUCGUACCUGAUGGUACCCUGCUCUCAAAUCAACCUUCGAUAAGUACUUAGCACCUUGUAAUUAAUCAAACAAGUCAUCGAUCCUCGGAAGGGGAUAGCUGUUCUUUAUAGUAGCCUUGUUCAGCUGUCGAUAAUCGAUACACAUCCUCAGCGAGCCAUCUUUUUUUCUCACAAAUAAUACUGGUGCACCCCAUGAUGAAACACUGGCCUACUGGCCUGAUAAAUCCUUUAUCAAGCAAAUCUUUCAGCUGAUCAUUCAACUCCUUCAGCUCAGCAGGAGCCAUUUUAUAUGGAGGGAUAGAUAUGUGUUGUGUACCUAGUAGAAUAUCGAUAGAAAAAUCAAUUUCCUAUUCUGGAGGGAUACCAGGAAGCUCGUCUGGAAAUAUAUCUAGAAACUCAUUAACUACCGGAAUAGACUGAAGAGUCGGUGGUUUUGCAUCUAUAUCAUGAACGCGAACAAAAUGAUAAAUACAACCCUUAGUAAUCAUCCUCCUCGCUUUAAGAUAGGAAAUAAACCUACCUUUCUGUGUUGUUGUAUCGCAUUUCCAUUCCAGAAUUGCCUCUCUUAGAAAGUUGACUCUAACAUUUUUUGUCCGACACUUAACAUAAGCAUAACAAGACGCUAACCAGUCCAUACCCAUAAUGACGUCAAAAUCGACCAUCUCUAACUCUACCAGGUCUACAGAGGUCUGACAGUCGAUAAUUUCUACCGUGCAACCUCGAUAGACUCUCCUGCAAUAAUAGACUCAUCAAUUGGUGUAGAUACAAUAAAGGGUUAAUUUAAUGACUCUUUUACUAUACACAACUUCCCCGUAAUAAAUGGGGUAACAUAAGAUAGAGUAGAUCCAGGAUCUAUCAAAGCAUAAACACAAUGAGAGAAAACAAUUAAUGCACCUAUCACAACAUCUGGUGAUGACUCUGAGACCUGUCGGCCGGUUAGUGAAUAUGUACGGUUCUGGCCACUACCAGAACUAGAUGCUUCCUCUCUACCUCCGCAUUUGCCUCUACCUACUGAAGUUUAGGGUCCACGCCCUGUAGGCUGUGCUGAGGAGGAGGAACCUACUACUGACCCGGUCGACUGACCUAUACCACCCUGACCUAUGGUCGGGAAAUUCCUCCACAUAUGCCCCUGCUAUCCACAAGAAUAAAAACCUGUGGAACCAUUCCUGCACUUCCCGAAAUGCAUCCUACCGUAAGUAGCGCAACGCGGUGGUGCUGUCCUAGCCUGGCCUGAACCCCUCUGCUGCUGAGAGCCUGAUGCUUGUGAACCCUCACCUAGGCUUGACUGUCCCUGGAACUACUGUGGUGGAGCUCUAGGUGGCCUACUAGAAUAUUAGGGUCUGGGAGCACCCUAAAAAUCUCCCGGUGAACCAGCAGGCCUAUUCUUUUUUUGUCUCUCUAUUGACCCUCUCACUCAUAUAAUGUAGAUGUCGGCGAUCCUCUAUUACUUGUGCAAAGGCCAGAAUUCGCAAGAUAUCCAUAUUAUCAUUUAGUGCAGCGGUAGAACAAGUGCCGAUAUAGUCUGAGUCAAGCCCUCCCACAAAUCUACGCACCCUAUCGUGCAUCGUAUCAACAAAUGUUGGUGCAUAUCUAGCCAAUGAAUCAAAUCUCAGCAUGUACACUCAGACACUCAUGUUGUUGUUAUACCCCAUUUUAACUCAAAGUCAAAAUGUGUACAACAUAUUGGUGAUUUCCAAAUUAUUCACAAACUUGAGAAGUCGCCACCUAAUUAUUAUGGUGAAUUAGGGCACCUAUAACGAUUAAAGUCUAUCGUCUAAAGUUAACUUCAUUUUAAGGUAUGCUAAACAUGAGAUUCUAGGUAAGAGUUGUAGUUAUCCUAAAGGGAAGGGGUAAGUCAUCUUUUAAGAUUCGUUAAAGACGGUUACCGGUCAAACUUAGGUUAAUUAAUUAAACUAAAAAUUAGUGCUAAAGAAUUUGAAAAAAUCAUAAGUUGGAAAACAUUUUAACAUUAAAAAAAAACUCUUUUAUAUUUUGAAAGAAUUAACUUGCAUUUUUCUUUUUUGAAAACAAUAGAUAAUCACUUGUUAAGAAUGACAAUUGUUUGUACAAAAUUUGAUACCAAAAUGUAUACUAAAGAAAUAUGUUUGUCCAUGAAGUUAAUAUGCAUGCCUUUAAAAAGCAUUGUUUACACCUUGAAAUCGAUAACACAUUCUACACUUGAAAGACUCUUUCGACUUUAAAAAAAAUGACAGAGCUUUUCUAAAACAAAAUCAUUUGUUUAAAGUAACUUUAUUUUAUUCAAAAUUUAUUGCUAAAGAUCUGAAAAUAAUAAUGAUAAAAAUAUUUGUUUUUUGCAGAAGCAUUGUAAGGAAUUAAAAACUCCUUUAAGACAUUUGUUGUCAAAAAAAAAAAAAUCAUUGAAAAGUUUACCGAUGUCAAAAUUUAUUGCUAAAGAUCUGAAAAUAAUAAUGAUAAAAAUAUUUGUUUUUUGCAGAAGCAUUGUAAGGAAUUAAAAACUCCUUUAAGACAUUUGUUGUCAAAAAAAAAAAAUCAAUGAAAAGCUUACCAAUUUUCAACCAAAGAAAAACUUAAAAGCCUAAUGGAGACAUUUGACAUCCUUAAAAGUUCUUUCUUUUUUAUGACCGACACUAAAGACUUGCAAAAACCAAAAAAAAAAACUCUCUGUUAACGAAAAAAUAACCCACGACAAGCAAUCAAGGAGCAACAAAUAUCACAUGACAAAUGCUCACAAAUGUCACUUAAGGUAAAGCGAACAAAAGAUGACUAAAAAUUAUAAAAGAACACUUUUCCAGAUUUCCUUGUUGGAUGAGUUUUGAGGAUGUAAGAGGCACAAAAAUGUGAGAGGAUGUCGUUUUUAAUGUCUAAUGGCGGUGAGAGUCUUUCAUGAAGACUCCAUGUAGCUCCUAUUGCGGGGUAAUGAAUGGACGCUUGCGGUCGCCAAAUCACACUCAAACUCAACUACGCUUAGGUUCGAGAUUUUCGCAAAGAGAGUUGAAUACUUUGAGCUUUUAGAAAAUCAAAUUAAUGCAAAGGAAAACUAAAGUUUCAAGAGAAGAAGUCGUCAUUCGCUGUGCAGGGAUGAAGAAAAUUUAUUAAGAAAAUUUCCGCAAACAAAAAUCGUCUACCCCAAAAUGAUUGAAAGAGCAAGUAUUUUUUCAAAACUUAAAGCUUCUAGGCUUAGCAUUUGGGCGGGAUUUUUUCCAGAAUAGAGUCAAGAGACCCGUUUGAAUUUGAACGUUGCGAUUUGGAUGGGCUUGGUCCUUCAUGUGAUUGACAAGAUUGUAUCACGAAAAUAGGGUAGCUAAACUCGGCUCUAUGAUUAAAGAAUAGUGGAGUUUGUUGAAAAGAGGAAAAGGAUAGAAAGUAGAGGAAGAGGCGGAGGUGAUCUGCUGCUACGCUUGCUACUGUAGGGUUUAAAAAGAAGUUUAGGCUGGUGCUAAAUUUUCUUUGUGGGCUGAUCUGAAAGUUCCGUUGGGCCAUAUUUUGGAGCGGAUUUGGGCUCGUUUUUCUGGCCAAUUUUGGGCUGAAUUGGAAGGUCUUUUCUCUUCUUUCUUUGUAUUAUUUUGGGCUUCUAACUUAAUAAUUAAUACAAUAUAUAUUAUGAUAUGAUAACAACUAAAAAUUUACAUGAUAAAAAUAUCGCUAAUAUAUAUACAAAAUAUUGACUUAUAAUUAACUUAAUAAGUACGAAACUAGAAAUAAGGUGACGACAAUUGAUUAUUUAAGAAAAGAGGUGUAAAAAGUGAUAAUAAUCAUUUCAACAAUAAAACCUAUAAUUUUAGUAGAUAAAUAGUCGUAAUAGUAAAAAUAGUUGUGAAAAAGUUCAUUUGAUACAUUAUUAAUUUAGAAGCUCGAAAAUGAUAAAUUAGAAGAAAGGAGGGUCAAAAUUGGGUGUCAACAACUUGUCCCUCUUUGACCAAAGAUGAUGUAAGAGUUUUUGGGCAAAGAAGUUGACGUAGAAGCCAAUUUUGUCCCGAACAACAAAUACGACCUUAGGAGAGCAUGAGACAAUAUGAGCAUGGGAUAACUGAUGAGGUAGAGGAUUUUGAGAACAACGUAGUCGCAAGCUUACAACAGUUUCCCCAAUAUUGAAUUAUGAUGUUACUAGGUAUUGUGAUCGAGAAGAGUAUUUGGGAGUGGAGUCGAGCAGAGUUCGAGGUGGACCUUUGAUCUUUGUUGGAAAGCUAAACUUUCCCAAAAAAUUGCCCCAGUUCACUGCUUAGAUAAGGUUCCACAUUGCAUUGUGUCCCUUGUUGCUGCAUGUAGAUUGUGCUUUCUGCCAAAUCUUUACAAAAUUGUUAGGAAAUUAUAUAAAGCUUGAAAUAUAUAUAAAAAAAACAUCUUAUGAAAAAUGUCAUAAGAAAGAUGCGUCAUUUCUGAAUUAAUAUUCAAGAUGCGAUUAAUAGAGUAUAUUGCAUUUUCUUGAAUCAUAAAUAAUUGCUUCAGAUUAUGCGGCUGCAAAGUCUCGUUAGUAAAAGAGACAUAUAUAUAUGUAACUUAAUUUUUCAAGAAAUUUAAAAUGCUUGCAGUGCAUAAUAAAAAUAAUUAAGACAUUGCGCAAUAUCUCCUUAGAGACUGCUAAGCUUUCAAGAAAUUUAAAAGAUAGCAUGCAUUGCUCAUAUGUAUAAAAUGAAUAAUUAAGGCAUUACAAGAUGUCUCAUUAGAGACUAAUAUGCUUUUCAAGAAAUUUAAAAGAUAGCAUGCAGUGCAUAUCUAUAUUUAAAAAUAAAUAAAUAAUUAGAGCAUUGCGAGAUGCCUCAUUAGACACAGAUGAGAUUAAAAUGUCUUAUUGGAGGGCAGACUAACCCAACAUGUCCUAUUUGAGGGCAGUUGAACUCGAUAUCUUCUAUUUUAGGGUGAAUGAACCCAAAGUAUCCUAUUUUAGGGUGGAAGGACCCAAUGUAUCCUAUUUUACGGUGGAAGAACCCAAUGUAUCCUAUUUUAGGGUGGAAGAACCCGAUAUAUCCUAUUUUAGGGUGGAAGAACCUGUUAUAUCCUAUUAGAGGGUGGAAGAACCCGAUAUAUCCUAUUUUAGGGUGGAAGAACCUGAUAUAUCUUAUUUUCAGGUGGAAGAACCCGAUAUAUCCUUUUAGAGGGCGGAAGAACCCGAUGUAUCCUAUUAGAGGGUGGAAAAACCCGAUAUAUCCUAUUGGAGGGUGGAAGAACCCGAUGUAUCCUAUUUGAGGGUCGAAGAAUCCAAUAUGUCCUAUUUUAGGGUGGACUAACCCAAUAUAUGGUAUUUGAGGGUGGUAGAACUCGAUAUAUCCUAUUAGAGGGUGGAAAACCCCAACAUAUCCUAUUAGAGGGUGGAAGAACCCGAUAUAUCCUAUUAGAGGGUGGAAAAAGCCAAUAUGCGGUGCAAACUUACAAAUAUAAAUUUUGGUGCAAUGCGAUGAGCUUGGUGCGAUUUCUUUGCGGUAACAAACAUUCAGAAUCUAGUAUGAAGAACUUGUUGCAGUGCCUUUGCAGUAUUGAAUAAUUAAGGUACGGUGCCUAGUGCAAUACUUCGCAAUAAUGCAUAUGUUGCCCAUAACUUAGGAGCUUCAAUUUCAAUGAAAGUUUGCUGCUUAUAAAUUCUGCACUCAAAGAAAAAUUAUGAAUUUCAAAUUUGAUUCUAGUUGAUGUUGCACCAUCUGAAUCUUGCAAAUUUUGUCUUGAUGUUGAGCCUUGUGGUGUUAUCAUUCAAGGAUAACAAAAAUUCAACCUCUACAUUACUCAAAGAAAACUUGUUAGUAUAAAAGAAAAUGGCCUUGCAUUGAACCAUGAAGCUUUUGCUUUGAAUCUGCAUUUCUUGUUGCUAUGGCAUUGAAGCGACUUGAUGAUGUGGAUAUGGCUUGUGAUCUCAACUUCUGCCUUUUCAAAUAAUUAUAGGCCAUCUAUAAAGUUGUCCCAGUCUUUUCUCUUGGGAGAGAAUGGAAUUUUAUUAUGUUGAGAUCGAACCCAGAAUAGGCGCCUACUUAUCCCGCUAUUAACAGGAAUCAGGUCAUACAUAGUUCAUUACAAAAGGGUAGAAAGGAUUGUAAAAGGGUAUAUAUUUCUUAAAAAGGAAAAGUUGCAGAGAUAAUGUCUUUGUUAGUCUUCUUGACUAGUUGCAUGCUUUCUUUUCAACUGCUUUGGUGCCAAUUUCAAUGGAUCACCCUUAACAACAAUUGUGCUUAUGAUAUUGCCAUUACUGGUUGAAGGAUAUAUUUGUAGCUUUAUCUUGCCACUUUCAAUCAUGCUUUGAAUCUUGAAUUUUAUGGCAGGACAACCUUCUGUAUCAUGUCCCUGAAUGUUCGAGUGGUAAGCACAAUUCUUGGUGGAUCAAAGUGUUUAGGUGUAUACUCAGGAAUGAAUCCUUUUCUUGAUUGCAGAUGCCCAUUUGCUCUCAAUCUCUCAAAUAGAUGCAUAUGGCUCAACCAAAGGAGUGAAGGAGAAAUGUUUCACCUUCUUCUGGUGGUCACAAGCUAGAUUGUGUUUGGUGCAACUGUUGUUUGCAAGGAUGGUGGAGACGUGCAUUGCAGUAGUUGGAAGUAGCAUGAGAUUGCAAAAAUUGAUCACUUGGAUAGCAUUGCAGCUGUUCCAUAGUCAUGAAAAUUGGGUUGUUUUCUCUCAUCAGAUUUACAAGUAUUUUCGCUUGGAAGGUUUGUUGGACAACUUUUGUUGCUGAGUUGCUUACAAUUCUUCCUCCUUGAAUAUUAUUUUCUAUAACAUCUCGCACCUAGAAACGACUAUAAAGAGUUUAAAAUAUGAAAAUAUUGAUUUUUGGAAAGAAUAAGGAAAGCUGAAAAUUUUGUCUAAGUUAAGAAAGUGAGUUUUGGCCAUUUUCAAACGGCCAUAACUCCUAGCUCAGGAUGAGUUAGGAGCAGAUCUUGAUAUGGUUGGAAAUCCCUUGUAGAGAUCUUUCCAACGCAGCCAAGUUUGUGCGAUUUUGACAACGUAUGAGUGAGUUAUGCCCUUCAGAAGUUGGGCUGUUGGAUUGAGGAAAGUCCAAAUCUGGAUUUAAGGAAGGGCAAACUAGUCUUUUCUCUAAUUAAUUUCCUAAUUUAUUUUUAGGGGUUUAUUGGGGUAAAAACAGAACUUAAUUCAGUUUUGGAAAUUAGAAUACGCUUAGGGCUUGGAGAAAAGAGAAAAGAAGAAAGGGAGAAAAGCCAAGAUUUCGCCAAGAACGUCAAGCGUUUGGAGUGGAAUUCGUCGGGCACGUCCCCUGUAAAAGUAUGUGAGAUCUUUUCGUGUUGGGUUAGUUCACCCACACACCACUUGUUUCAAUUCAGUGAUUUGGUGUUGUUUACUUGUUAAGAAGUGAAGUUCUUGAAGAACAUUGUUGAAUUCUUGUUGGUUGAUUGUGAUUGCCUAUUGUUGAUUUAACUCGUGUUUUCGGGUUGUUUUUCGAGUUAAAUCUAUUGGGUAUUGAGGGUACUAAUGUGUAACGACCCGAGAGCACCCCCUAGUCGUAACAUGGCGUACUCGACCCCGAAUGGAUCUCAUACAAGCCACAUAGUCAUUCAUUGCAUUCAAUAAUGAAAAUGGUGCAGAAGCAAAAACUAAUUUAAAACCCAAACAUUCAAACUUCAUUAAAACAACUUUAAAAAGACAUAGCGGAAGUCUAAGUCUCACAUGGCCAUCUUAGACACAAUCUCAAAACAUAAUUAGGGACACAACCCCUUACAAUCAAAACAAUAACUAAAAGUGUCCAUUACAUGAACAAAAGAAACUUAAAAGUCUUGUCCUCGAAUCCAUGAGGACAUACUAAGUCUUGGAGGAAGGCAAUCCAACACUUCAAACUAGCUAGGAGGAAUCACUUGCCGGAACCUACACUUGUAGUAAAAAUAUGAAGAAUAUGGAUUAGUACACAGAAAUGUACUAAGUAUGAUGACUAUGCAAAACAUGCCUAAAAAAGGACUUUUUGGUUAGAAACCAUGCAUUAUGCCACUUUUCGAAAUAUCAUGAACAAUUGCAUAAAAGACAUACAAGACAAGCCUAAUCAUCAUAUAAGUCACAAUACCACACUUUAACAAUAUCAACAUGAAAACCUUCACCUUUACCUUGGACCUUCACCUCAAGCAACCCUUAUGCUAUACCUUGUGCAAUGGAUGGAUAGCGUCCCAUACCACCAUCCAUACUAGUACCACAUUUAGGUCACCUAAAGUAAACUCAUCAUUCCUUUCUUUUCACCUUUGCACAAUAUUCAUACAAAAGCGAUAUAUCAUUUAAUAAGGUAUAACAAGGGAAAAUAAUUCAUAAUAUAACCCAAGUAUAGCAUGCAUAACAAAUUAAGCAUUUGAGAGCCAACAUUCUUUAAUAACCUUAUCUAGGGCACAUUCAUGUCACAGUCAUUAGGAUUUAGAGAAACUCACUAUGACCCUCUCCAAGCCUACUCGUGCAAUGUAUAGGUAGCAUCCCAUACUACUACCUACACUUCGUAGAACCUGUCAAGAAACCAUAAUGAAAUCUCACAUGAUGGGAAGUAAGCAUUAACCGACAUAGACCAUGAGAGCUUGUCAUGGAAUCCGGUGUCAUAAGUCCCCACACCGUAAAGAGGUGGUCUACUUGCCUAAGGAAGACCGGUAUAUAGCUUAAUGGAUCCACUAGCUACCUAUGCGGGCACAUAGUUUAUGGGAUAAGGUAGACGAUCAUUGAAACUCAUGCCUAACCAUUGGGGGAGUUUCCAUCUAACCAAAUCCGCUCGGUGCUUAGCCUACAUUCCCAUAGAAUAGUUCAUUACUUUGACAUCAUCACACAUGAAAGGGUGCCAUAAGCCUACCGAUUCAAGGUACAUUUAGGAAAGCUCAUUAACUCCACUUGAAAGGGUGCCAUGGGCCUGCCGAUUCAAGUCUCAUCAUUAACCUUUAUGGAAAGGUGCCAUAGGCCUACCGAAUCCAAGGUUCAUUACUUAUCAUUAAUGGAAGGGUGCCAUUAGCCUACCGAUCCAAGGAUUCAACAAUCAACAAUAUAAUCAUUUAUACAAGAAAAGGAUGCACAAGUUCUACCAAUUCGAGACAUACAAUAUAUAUUGAAGAAUCUUUCAUAUCCUAUCAUCAACAUUCAUGAGUGUCAAAUUGAGAAAAAACCUUUCAAUAAUAACACAUUUAUAGUCAUAACAUGAUCUCAUUAGCUCCAUUGAAUUCCCAUUCAUACAAUGUCAUGAUAACACUUCAAUUUCUCAUACUAUGCCUUCAAGGACAUGGUCACAAUGUACAUAACAAGUAAACACCUCCACCUUUCAAGUGGAUCAACCUCAAGUUAACAAUUCUAAUUCAACAAGUAGCUUCUCAUAUCUUUUCCUUCAAGGCCAUAAACUUCACAUACCAAUAUACCAACAAUACACCAUAAGGUAAGCAUGGUAAUGACAUACUUCAACAAUCUAAAGCCAUUUAAACAAGUUCUAUUCAUAUACCCCCACUUCAUAAAGGCACAAACUAGGAAUAGAGAGAAAUUAUGGGUUCAUAGAGUAUUUUCAUCUUAAAUCACCAAUACAACAACAAUAUAACAACAAGAUGCCAUUAGAAGCCUUUUAAAACCAUUUGGUGAAAGAACCCAUGAGAUUGAGUAAAACCCUAGGUUUUCAUAAACUUGAAAUCUUUAAAAGUUUACUUUUAAGUUGACUCUAGGGUGAAAGCUAACCCUAGAUGAAUGGUCACCAUACCUUUGUUAAGACUUCCUAAGAAAUUUAAUGAAGAAAUCCUUGAAUCCAAAACCCUAGCUCCCACUCCUUCUUCUACCUUGAGUUAGAGAGAAAUAUAGAGAGAGAGAACUUUGGGAUUUGAUUUGGGGAAAAAUAAUAAGUGAGUGACUUGUUUAAAAAACUUAAAACCUUAUAUAAUUAUCAUGUAAAUCAUUUAAAACAACCCCACAUAAUAAAACAAUUAAAAUGAAAUUACCAAAAACCCCCAACUUGAGGCUACCCGUCAGGGACCACGCCCAUCUAAACGGGUCGUGAGGGGCACCACGGCUCGUUGUGGUGCCCGUGAUCCUUGAGGUAGUGUGCCUCCCAUCCUUGCCAAGCCCUCCAAGACCAAGACAAGUCCACGGAAGCUCCCACGAUCCGUGGUUCACACCACGAGUCGUGGUGAAGCUCGUGGUCAUGGGGCAGCGCCUAGGCAAAGUUGCCUUGCCUCCCUUGAGCCUAAGUGAACUCCAAGUUCGCUUUCACGGACCGUCUAGGGCACUACGGCUCGUGGUGGUGCCCGUGAACUAAGGGACAGUAUCUCCCUCAACUUGCAACAUCUCCCACCAAGUUAAGGCAAACCCUACGAUCCUUCCCACGGCCCGUGGUCAUUACCACGAGUCGUGAAGUGGCUCGUGAAGGGGUGCCUUGGCUUGGCACCAAACUUGAGCAUGCUGCCUUGUCACCACGGGUCAUGAAGACCCUCGUGGUCUAGGGAGGCAGUAGUUAGGACUAGUUUUAGGUAGCCUAGGUUCCCAAACCAUGGCCUACACCUAAAACCCUUAGCACUUGCCCUUAACUCAUGACAUUAACCCCACAGUAAGGCUCUAGUUUAACCUAUCAUUUUCCGAGUCUUUACAUAAUGGUCCUAAGUGUUUGGGGAAAGAACCAUAGAAGUUUAGAGGGUUUUACAGAUGAAAAACGAAGGAGAAAAAUUGGAGUUUGCUGGGCAAGGGGUUGGGGCGCCGCGCCUCUCAGAGCGGUCCACUUCAGAGUCUGAAGUUUGGCCUCUGAGGCGACGCGCCAGCUAGAGCGCCACAACUUCACCUCUGAAGUUUGUGCUCUAGCACCCCACGCCUCUCAGAGCGCCAAGGACACCAGUGCACCCCAUCCCUCCCCCAUCUUUUCGUACUUGUUCCUAAGCGAUGUACCUAUGUUUUCUAAGUUGAUUCCAACACUCUAAGGUACAUUUAAAUAUAAUGAAAUCAUCCAUAAACAUGAGAUCAUGAACCUUGAAUCCAUAAUCCAAUUCAAAGGAAAGUUAAGAUCAAAGUCAAAGAAGUUAAGAGUCAAGUCUAGAAGUUAAGAAGCAAGUCAAAGAAAAGUUUCUUAAAGUUUUCAAAGAGUCUUUAACAAUGUUUUAAAUUCAUUUUAAGACUCAAGUUUUCAAGUUAAGGAAAGAGUAAAGAGUGGAGUUCAUUCCUCCAAAAAGCUAUUAGGGAACUAAGUAUUCCCAAAGAAGUUUAUAAAUAUUUUCACAUUGAGCAAGAAAGGGGAACAUCGAUUUCAAGAGAGCUUUUAAGCUAAGUUUUGAGCAAUUACCUCAAUUCAAAGAAAGAGUUUUGUUUUUACAAACAUACGAGUUAAGUAUAUUUUUGGAGUAGUAUUGAGCACCGAUACGCGGAUGCGAGUUCAUAUUAGCUCAAGUCUCCAUAAACCAUGUAGUCAUCAUGGGUAGUAAAGGAUCAUACUUUUAGAUGACACCUUAAGAUGCUUUUAGCAUAGACUAGUGGAUCCACUAAGUUAAACGUUCUAUAUGACGGCAAAGUAUAGGAAAGUUCUGGCAGCGUGGGCAAGACGUUAUAUCACCACUUAGGCUCAUAGUGGUGGUUGUCGGUUAGAUAGUCUCCCACAAAAGUUAUAUUACUUUAUAUAUAUAUAUAUNNNNNNAUUCCUUCUUACUCUUUUCAAGAUUAAGUUGUUGUUUAGCAUUCCAACUCGCAUACUCGUACAUUCAAUGUACUGAUGCCAGUUGGCUUGCAUCGUCUUAUGAUGCAGACGCAGGUAACCAGGAUUAGCAUCCAGCACCUCGUUGAUCCAGUUGAACACUCAGAGUCAGUGGUGAGCCUCUUUGCAUUCCAGAGGACUCUUUUAUUCGCUUUCUAGUUUAGUUUAUUAGGAUGCUGAGGGGUUUUGUCUCAACAUCCAUCUCAGUUGUUUAGAGGCUUCAUAGACAGUUAGUAGUUCAAUUGUCUUUACAUUAUCAUUCAGAUGUUGUUUGAAGACUGAGUUGUCAUUUUGGCUAAACUAUUAUUUCUUAAGUUGUGUAUGAGUUAUAUUUUCUUAUGUUUAAGUCUUCCGCUGAGUUAAGUAAGCUAGGACAAGGGUUCGCUUGAGGCCAGCAAUGGCCUUCGAGUGCCAGCCACGUCCAGGAUGUAGGCUCGGGUCGUGACAUUUUCAAUCUCUUUGCCAACCUUAAUCAAAUAAGAGAAGUUGUGUGCACAAGUUCCAAGCAGCUUUUCAUAAUAUAGCCCUUCUUGAACAUGGAUGAAGGUUGAGAUGAAUUCCUCUUCGGAUAAUGAAGGAUGCAUUUUUGAAGCUUCUAACCUCCAUCGUAUGGCAUAUUCUUGAAAAGAUUCAUGCGACAAUUUCUUCAGUUUGAGUAAAUUGGCUAUAUGCAAUUCAUCUCCAUUAUUGAACUCAUAUUGCUUUACACAGUUACGGGCCAUAUCUUUCCAUGUAUGCCAUUUGCUAAAAUCUUGCUUAGUGUACCAAGCAACUGCCAAUCCUGAUAAACUUUGAAUGAAUAAUCUCAUUCGUAUGGCUUCAACAUGCCCAAUACUAGCUAAUCUGCUGCAAUAGUCCUUUAAGUGAGCGACGGGAUUUCCUUUCCCGUUGUAAGUGUUGAGCUUAGGUAGCGUGUACCUUGGUGGAAGUUCAACAUUUGGAUGCACACAUAAAUUCUCAUACUUUAAACUCUGACAAUUCCUUGAGCGUAACUAUUCAUCAAAGGCUUCUCUCAGAUUGUGGAGUUCUUUUCCCAAAUCUUCAUGGAAAAUUGACUGAUUAUCCUUCUCACGUCUAGAAUAUAGAUGAGCUGCUAAUUGGUUAUGCUUGUUUUCUUUGCAGGGAAAUAAAAUUGUGGGAGGAUGGAUAUUUGGCGUCAUAGUGACUUGAAAGUUAUUGGGAUUGAUAGUGUAUAUUGAGGGCAUUUGUGGAGAGAUUAUAUAGGUAGAAGUUAGGCGAGGAGAUAUGGUUAAACAAAUAUUCUGAGUUGAGCUGGAAGCUUUAGUAGUGAUAGGAAGAAGGCUAAAUGUAGUUUCCAAAUUGAUCAAAUUGUUUCUUCGAGCCACAUUCUUCUCACAAUCAUCAUUUUGUUCUUGCACAAAUAUCAUGCCAUUGUUGAAUGCUUUCAAUUUCUCUGCCAUUAUAAUUUCGUCCUUAAUGCAGAUUCGCCGCCAAAAUAGAGUUCAAUGUUAGGCAACCUCUAAAGAAGAAACAAAACUAUAAAAACAAAAAUAAAUUAUUAGUGCAUGAGAAUAUAUGAAAUAAAUGCAUAAAUAAUAAAUAUUAGAUAAAAUAGACUAUGCAUGUGAUUUUGUAAAAUAAGAAUUUUAGACUGGAGGCAAAGAUUUAAGUCUAAGGCGAGUGGACGAGAGAGACGUAUUGGCUAAUAGGCUCUAACGCUAAAAUGGAAGGAAAGAGAAUUUGAUUUGGAGAAAGGUUUACAUAUGUCGAGCAUCAAAUUCUUUCUUCAACUUGAUCCCUAUCCUUUGCAAAUUUUGGCAUGCUUCCAAAAAUUAUCUCAAUUGCAUGUCAAAAAUUAUGCCCCAGCUUCAUUCCCCUUCUCAUAGAAAUACUAAAAUUUUAUAAUAAACCGAUCGGGCCUUAUAUAGGCUGCCUACGUAUCCACCAAGGAAAUCAGGUCGAACGUAGUUCCAAUUACAAGAAAGAGAUACACUAAAAUUUCUAAAUAAAUAUGACCGAGUCCUUAUAUGGGUUGCCUACGUAUCCACCAAGGAAAUCAGGUCAAGCGUAGUUUGCCUUACAUAAAAAGAAAUUUAAAACAUACAAAUAAUUGAUCAUUUAGGCUCUCAAAAAUACAUAAUUGUUUUCAAAAGAUGAUACACAAAAACUAAUUGUCUUGCUUUAUGCCUCUUAAAAGUCAUUUUUUGAGAAAGCCCUCAUACGCCUAAUGGUUGUUCUGAAUGAAACCAUUCUUGGUACUUCGCUCGGCUAUAUCAUAAGUGCAUGCAGUAGAUACCUGAAACGGUAAAUUUGGUGCAAUAAUCCUUGGUACAACAGUUGCUUGACUGUGAGAAGGAAUUUGACUGAUAGAUUGUGGAUAAAUCGCUCAAUUAUGACUUGACAUCGGCAUGACGGUCGAGAGUUGAUGCCAAACAAACUUAGGGUGAGCUACCCGUCGUUGAAUGAUCGUGCCACUAUCCAAUAGACUUUGGAUCUCUUCUUUUAAUCACCGGCACUCAUCAGUAGUGUGACCUAACAUGCCUGGAAAGCACCUUGUUUGGCUGGGUUAAAAGGAUGCAAAGGAAUUUCACGAGGCUUUGGUUGCAAAAUUCCUAAUGAUCUCAACUUUUCGAAUAUAAAUGAAAUUAGUUCACUCAAAGGGAUGAAAGUUUGAGCUUUUCUCGCUUCAGGCACUAGUGGAGAAACAUUUGGUGCUUCAGUGACAAUUGUCUUCCCUUUAUCCCUAGAUUGUAGCUCAUUCGAACAAUAAUGCCCCAAAGUUUAUUUUGCUACUUUGUUUUGAGAUUCAUGUCCUUUCAUUCCCUCAGGAGACUCUAUAGACUUCCUUUUCAACAAACCACACCCUUUAGAUGCGCUAUUAGGAGGCCUAUAUUGCUUAAUAAAAUCUUUGGUCAAAUCGACCCAAGAGAGCCAUUUCCUUGUGUCUUGGUUUGCAUACCACAUCAAGGCUGGCCCUGUAAGCGUCCUAAUAAAAAGUAUAAUAUUAAACUCAUUGCCUUUCCCUAUGCUUGCUAACCAAUCAAGAUAUGCCUUUAUAUGGUUCUGGGGAAGACCUGUCCUAUCAUACAUUAGAAUAUCAACAAGGUUAUAAUGUGUGUCGUUCUCAUUUUCCUUCUCAACCAAAUUUGUCCCAAGUUGUGGAGCAAGCUCAUUUGUGAAGAAAAUUUGGUUAGACUCGGCAUUAAAAUGUCUUUGAUCAUUUUCUCCAUCUUUGCUAGUUUCACUUGAAUCGUCAAAUGCCUCAUUUUGUGGAAGUGGAUGCAUGUCUAAAAAGUGUUGAGUAUUACAAUCAAAGUUGGGAUAUCCAGUUGCACGAAUAGGAGAGUAUCCCUCUAGAUCUUCAUCGGAGGAGUCCCUAAAGUUGUAAUCCAAUGAAUUUUCAUUGGAAGAGUUCUUAAGAUCGGCUAUCAUUUCCUUGAUGCCAUCAAUUUCUUGUUCCAUUUUUGCCACUUUUCCCUCAAGCUUAGCAAUUUUAUCCCGCUAUGACUCGGCUUCUUCACAGUUAAACUCGUCUUUAACUAAGUCAAUCACAAUUCGAUCGGCCAUGUUUUCCUUGAGUUUGUUUGUCCCUUUGAUAUUCAACUUAAGUCAACCUUUGAAAGGAAAAAUGAAAUAUUUGGUAAGCGUGGAGUAAGUAUGCGAAAGGUCAAGAGUAGGGCCGCUUGAUCACUCCAUCUACUUUUAAAGUAUACGACUUAGCCAUUCAUUGCGUCUUGAGCCACACCGUCCUCUAGCCCUGCCGAGCAUUUAAAAACCAACGAGAUCUGGUCCUAUAAGGAAUACUAUUUAAGAAAAUAAACAAAUAAUAAUAAACCAAUUUGAUGGAAAAAACUCGAGAUUAAGGAAAUUAUGGUUAAUCGAGCACACGAGAGAUGGAAUUGGAAGGUUGAAUGACCUUAAACUCUAUUUUAGUAUUUGGGGAUUAAAAAUUGUCAAGGAUGAAGAAAAUGUCAAACAAAUGAAAAACCUUUGACAUUUCUCUCGACUUGCGUGCCGAUACUUGGAAUUAGUGCGUAAAAAUAAAUAUUGACAACCCCUAAUAAAAAUAGCACGGCUAUUUUGAAUUGAAGAAGUGUUGCUCUUGAUGGAGAAAAUUGAACAAAUAUCAACAAGUGCUAUUUGGUAGAUCGCGCGAAUCUACCAAUUUAAGAAGCAACAAAUAUGUGAAAAAUGAAAGAAAUUGAAAGUAAAAGUAAAAGCUCCAUACGUAGAUCGAAUGCCAAAUGGAUUCUACGAAAUGCGGAACUAGUGAAAAAAAAGGCUUUUCUCGAUAGAAAGCUAAGAUUGUACCCGUAAAGGAGGGACUUGAAAAAGGUCGAGAAGGUAAAGAUUUAUAAGAGUGAAUUUUGGCAUGGCUCUAUAAAGUUUUAACGGGAAAAAAAUAUCACACCUAAUGAAUGAUAAACAAUUAUGCCAAUUUUUUAAAAAGUAAGAAGAAAAUUUUUAAAGCAAGUCGCGGAUACGAAUAUUGAGAGGAUCGGAGGAAGGAAAAUAGUUUUUAAAUUUUAAAGCAAGAAAGUGAUUUUUUUUGUAAGAUAUAAACCUAAGAAAAUUUUAAAACAAGGUCAAUAAAAAAAAUUACGCAAUCCUAUGAUGAUUAUGAGCCUAAUUGAUGCUUUAGAAUUGUAAAAAUGCACUAAGCACGAAAGAUAAAUAUAAAAAGAAAAGAUAUAUGAACAUGACAUAAGAAUUUGUAAAAAUGCAACAUGUAUCAAUUAAAGAAUAAGAUGAAGGCAAGAUAAUUUCUCUUCUGAAAAGAUAAGAAAAAAAAAACAAAGAUGAUGUUAGUAAUAAUAAAUUAAAAUCAUGGUGCAAAUGAAUUCAUAUAAGUCACAAAACAAUUAGGCAAGCAAAUAUUUAUAAAGCAUGUAACACAAAUAUAUCAAAUAAUGCGUCCUAACAUAUGGGUGGCCUCUUUAUGCCAGAGGUAGGCCUAACGCGUAUUUGAAAAAUAAAUGUGCCAAAAUAUGUCAUUCCAUUGCUCUUUAAUUAAUUAAACGAAUCUAUUCCCAAAAUUAGAUACAAAAAUAGCCUUAAGCUUUAUUACAUAUCAAGAAAAUUAAAAAUAAAGCUCUAUGUCGCUUCUACGCAUCUUCGUCUUAUGACAUGCUUGUGGUUUAAUCUCCACAGGCCAAAAAUUGACUUCAUAGUCAUCUGCAUCACAAAAGGGUUAGUAAUAUCCUCCCUCCUAAAGUUUAAUUAAUUUAGAACAAAUGGUCCAUAUUUUGGCACAACUAUUAUUCAAAUGAUGUACACAUAAAUGAUACGAGUCACUCGGGGUCGUGAACCCACUUCGACAGUUUGAUAAAGUUGACUAAUGAACUUAAUACACCAAGGAUAUUAAGCCUCUUAGGUUUAUAUGAUGCAUGUACCGCAAAAGGUAUUGAUUUAGCUCUAUCCUGGGUUGAUUAAGAGUGGGUUUACUAGACACAACGCUCCCGAGUGGACAACUCGAGUGAGAAGGCUACGCGUUCACACAGAAAAAGAUCCGGACACCCCGCGCAUAUGCCAACUCUCCUAAAUUUUGGAAUUUUGAAAGAAAUUUGAGGGUGCGCAAAACACACCUCGCGUGUACGUGUGAUAGUGUGAGUUUUCCAUAAUUUGAGGAAUUAUGAACGGAAUAACAGUUUAUAUGAAGCAGUAACAAGUAAACAAUUUAUAUAAAACAGUAACAAAUAAGCAGUUUAUAUCACAUAAACAUGAUAAGUAAAGCAUUUAGACAUUUAAAAUAAAUAAAAAACAACAAAAUUGAAACAAGUAAAAGUUAAAAACUUAAUUAUUAACCAAGGUUUGUCAUGGUUUAGAACCUAAAGUUCCCAGUAAAGUCGCCAAGCUGUUAUACCACAUUUUAACUCAAGGUCAAAAUGUGUACAACAUAUUGGUGAUUUCCAAAUUAUUCACAAACUUGAGAAGUCGCCACCUAAUUAUUAUGGUGAAUUAGGGCACCUAUAACGAUUAAAGUCUAUCGUCUAAAGUUAACUUCAUUUUAAGGUAUGCUAAACAUGAGAUUCUAGGUAAGAGUUGUAGUUAUCCUAAAGGGAAGGGGUAAGUCAUCUUUUAAGAUUCGUUAAAGACGGUUACCGGUCAAACUUAGGUUAAUUAAUUAAACUAAAAAUUAGUGCUAAAGAAUUUGAAAAAAUCAUAAGUUGGAAAACAUUUUAACAUUAAAAAAAAACUCUUUAAUAUUUUGAAAGAAUUAACUUGCAUUUCUUUUUUGAAAACAAUAGAUAAUCACUUGUUAAGAAUGACAGUUGUUUGUACAAAACUUGGUACCAAAAUGUAUACUAAAGAAAUAUGUAUGUACAUGAAGUUAAUCUGCAUGCCUUUAAAAAGCAUUGUUUACACCUUGAAAUCGAUAACAUAUUCUACACUUGAAAGACUCUUUCGAAUUUAAAAAAAACGGCAAAGCUUUAGUAAAACAAAAUCAUUUGUUUAAAGUAACUUUUUUUUAUCCAAAAUUUAUUGCUAAAGAUCUGAAAAUAAUAAUGAUAAAAAUAUUUGUUUUUCGCAGAAACAUUCUAAGGACUUAAAAACUCCUUUAAGACAUUUGUUGUCAAAAAAAAAUGGGAUAAAGGUCUGAAUAAUACCUCAACUUUGGUCGGAUUUGCUGUUGCGAUACUAAACUUUCAUGAGUAUCUAUUACCUCCCUAGACAAUUUAAUACCGUAUUUUAAACAUAUAUAUUUGCCCACAUGGACAUAAAAAAUAAUGUAAAAUUAUAAAUAGUAAUGUAUCCACGUGGGCACAUAUAUACCUUUAAAAUAACUAUUAAAUAGUUCAGGGGGUAAAAAAUACAGUAUUAAAUAGUCUAGGGAGGUAAUAGGUCCUUAUGAAAGUUUAGUAGCGCAAGAGCAAAUCCUACCAAAGUUGGGAUAUUUUUUAGACCCUUAUCCCAAAAAAAAAUCAAUGGAAAGCUUACCAAUUUUCAAACAAAGAAAAACUUAAAAGCCUAAUGGGGACAUUUGACAUCCUUAAAAGUUCUUUCUUUUUUAUGACCGACAUUAAAGACUUGCAAAAACUUUUUUAAAAAAACUCUCUGUUAACUAAAAAAUAACCCACGACAAGCAAUCAAGGAGCAACAAAUAUCACGUGACAAAUGCUCACAAAUGUCACUUAAGGAAAAGCGUAACAAAAGAUGACUAAAAAUUAUAAAAGAACAUUUUUCCAAAUUUCCUUGCUGGAUGAGUUUUGAGGAUGUGAGAGGCACAAAAAUAAGAGAGUAUGCCAUUUUUAAUGUCUAAUGGCAGCAAGAGACUAUACGGCGGUGAGAGUCUUUCACGAAGACUCCAUUUAGCUCCUAUUGUGAGGUAAUGAACGGAGGCUUGCGGUCUCCAAAUCACACUCAAACUCAACUACGCUUAGGUUUGAGAUUUUCGCAAAGAGAGUUGAAUACUUUGAGCUUUUAGAAAAUCAAACUAAUGCAAAGGAAAACUAAAGUUUCAAGAGAAGAAGUCGUCAUUCGAUGUGUAGGGAUGAAGAAAAUUUAUUAAGGAAAUCUCAGCAAACAAAAAUCGGCUUCCCCAAAAUGAAUGAAAGAGCAAGUAUUUAUUCAAAACUUAAAGCUUCUAGGCUUAGCAUUUGGGCAGGAUUUUUUCCAAAAUCAAGUCAAAACCCAUUUGAAUUUGAACAUUGCGAUUUGGAUGGGCUUGGUCCUUCACGUGAUUGACAAGAUUAUGUCACGAAAAUAGGGUAGCUAAACUCUGCUCUAUGAUUAAAGAAUAGUGGAGUUUGUUGAAAAGAGGAAAAAGACAGAAAGUAGAGGAAGAGGCGUAGGUGAUCUGAUGUUGCGCCUGCAGUUGUAGGGUUUAAAAAGAAGUUUGGGCUGGUGUUAAAUUUUCUUUGUGGGCUGAUCUGAAAGUUCCAUUGUGCCAUAUUUUGGAGCGGAUUUGGGCUCGUUUUGCUGGCCAAUUUUGGGUUGAAUUUGAAGGUCUUUUCUCUUCUUUCUUUGUAUUAUGUUGGGCUUCUAACUUAAUAAUUAAUACAAUAUAUAUUUUGAUAUGAUAACAACUAGAAAUUUACAUGAUAAAAAUAUCGCUAAUAUAUAUACAAAAUAUAUGACUUAUAAUUAAUUUAAUAAAUACGAAAUUAGAAAUAAGAUGACGACAAUUGAUUAUUUAAGAAAAGAGGUGUAAAAAGUGAUAAUAAUCAUUUCAAUAAUAAAACCUAUAAUUUUAGUAGAUAAAUAGUCGUAAUAGUAAAAAUAGUUGUGAAAAAAGAUAAUUUGAUACAUUAUUAAUUUAGAAGCUCGAAAAUAAUAAAUUAGAAGAAAGGAGGUCAAAAUUGGGUGUCUACAGCUGCCUUAUCGGAGGUUCAGAAAUUGGUCUACCUGGCCAUCCCUAAUCUCUCAAGGCAAAUAAUGAUCUAUGAAAGCUUCUGUAAAGCUAUCCCAAGUGGGUAGAGAUGUAUAUUUUCCCCUAGAUCUCUCCCAACUUUCGUACCACAAUACUACAACAUCACGCAAUCGAAAUGCUGCUAACUCAACUGACUCAGUCGCUGAGGCAUGCAGGACUCUAAAGAUCUGAUGAUGUUGAUCAACAAAGUGCUGAGGGUCCUCUAUGUGAUAUGUUCAUGUAAAUUGUGGAGGAUUCAAGGUAAGAAAUCCAUGAACUCUUGAACUUUCGAACCGUUUAGAAGGUCUGGCAACAUCUGGCGCAACUGGCUGGCGCUGUGCAGCUACUAACUGUGCUAACAUACAUAUUGCACUCUUGAAAUACUGGUCAGAUGGAAUAGGAGGAACUAGAUGUGGUACUGCUGGUAGAUUCGGAGGUCUUGUAGCCCUCGGAGGUUCCUGAAACGGUGGAGAAGCUAUAGGAGGCUGAGAAGAUGUCUCCCCCUGGGUCUCACAAUGGGAUACCUCCACCUGCGAUACCUUGCCAGUACCCUCGCCUGCAGCUGUAUCUAGCCACUGGCUAGUUGUGGUCUGUCUAGUGUCAGCCAUCUCUAUCUGCAUACAAAUAUCAAUUAUAAGCCAGAAACCUCAACCCUUAAGACACCGUUCUAUAGCACGAGUUGAGCAAAAGAAUUAUAGUAAUUCUAACAUGCCCGGUAGCUUCUUGCUUAUCGAAUGUGGUGCACAACACAUUUAUAAACAAGACUCUAGUAGACACAGCCUACAGACUCCCUAGGAUACAACAUUGUUCUGAUACAAAGUUUUUCACGCCCCAAAAUCAAGGGGCGCAACUAGCUCCUAAGGCCAGAACUCAGGCCCAAGCCAACCCUGCUAAACCAUUUGCUACUAGCGCAUGGCAACCACACGCAAUCAAGAAACAAACAAGUAUAUCUCGGAUUAAAACUAAGCCCUCAGCCAGGAAGGCCUCUGUCAACAUAUCUAUAGAAGAAACAUUUACACUCAAGAGUUCAUAUAAAGAAAAACCCAACUAGCACAUAAGUACUGAUUGGGCCGUCAGGGCCACCAUGAUCUCUAUACCAAAACUGAAAGCAGGUAUAUAUCAAGACAAUACAACAAAUAGCUCACAAGUUUUAGCAAACAAACAAACUAGGCCAGCAUGGCCAUAACAUAGCUAUACACCCCACACACUAGUCUGCAAGCCUCUAAGAGUAGUAAAGAUUAGUGGGACAAGGCCCCAGCCUACCCAUAAAAUAUAUACAACAAAAGCUAACAAACCUCCCAACUCUGGCAGCUUCGGAGGAAAGGGGCUAGCCAACCAGAUAGAAGUUAAUCCUGCUGUUGAGGAGGUCUACUGGGUCAUCUGUCGGGACCCGCAUACAUGAAUUCAGCACUCCUAGGCAAUGAGGCGUCAAUACAAAAUAAUGUACAGAGUAUGAAAGUUUAUACACUAAAUGAGCAAGUAUAUACCAAAAGCAAUCAGCUAAGGAAAUCAAAAUUUAGAUAAGCAUGCUAACCUACUACUAAAUCUAAAAAAAUACAAAAAUGAUCAAACAACAACCUAACCAAACCCCCAUAAGCUCGGUAGGUACAAACAACAUGCCACCUACCUACGCCCCCAUAAGCCCAGAAGGUGACAAAUCAAUUUACAUAACCUUAUCGGUAGCCCCUUGUCUUUGUAAGAAGUCACAUAGCCCUUUUUGGCAAUGAUAUAUCCCCGUAGGCAGUGCAUGGCCCUCUUAGACAACAUCAUAGCUCUGUGGGCUACACAUAGCCCUUUUUUGCAUCAACAUUGCCCUGUAGGCAACACAUAGCCCUCUUUGGCGUCAAAAUAGCCCCGUAGGCAAUACAUAACACUCUUUGGCAUCAAUAUAUCCCCGUGGGAAACACAUAGCCCUCUUAGGCAAUAACAUAGUCCUAUUAGACAACAUCAUAGCCCCCAUAGGCAGUUUAUAGCUCAACCGCUAACCACAAUAGCCCCAAGGGCGACAACAAACAUUUGAAUAAGCUAAAGGCGAGCAAUUUAGUUAUAAAAAAUAAUAUAUAUAUAUAUAUAGUUUCCAAGUCGUUCCAAACUUAGGGUCGUUCUUAACAGAUUAUGAGUCCAUAUAAUGAGGGUUUAUAACCACUCAAUCAGCCAACCACUCACAAUUACAUCUACAAGAUUGCCAACAUUAACUAUCCUACUUUAUCACUCCCAGGCACUAAGGAAACAUGUCGAACGAAGGGAAUAGCCUUAACAUACCUUUUCCUUUAUAAUUUAAACUGAAAAUACCUCUGUCUGCACCACUACAACACUAAAGAAAAAGGUAAAAUCAAUCAGUAAUUAAGGAUAAAAAUUAUUACGACAAUUCGGCAAUCGAUACGGAUUCCUAUCAUAAAUUACUAUCCAAUACCUAAGGUAUCCGUAAAGUGCUAAAAAGAUGGUUCCUACCUUUCUUUACACACCCAAAACACUUGAAUAAAUCAAAAUACUAAAAAAAAGCCUGCUGCCACAACCUCCACGGAGCUACAUCGCUCAAUUCACCGUGAAAAUUAUACCAAAACGACGAGCUCGCGACGUAGGGCAAUUUUUUAUAAGGGCCAAGAAGAGAUCAUGAACACAAAAGGAUGAUUUCAUGAGUAUUUCACUAAUUUUCGUGGGAUUCUUACGAGUUGGAAUGAAGAAAAAUGAAGUUAUUAUCUUAUAAGCUUCCACCGACUUAGGGGACCCACCUCACAUGAUUGCUUUUGCAGUCUCGCGAAAAUGUAAACAUCUCUCUAUUCUAAAGUUGUAUGAACAAAUAGUUUGAUGCGUUGGAAACUAGACUCGUAGACCUUCGAUUCGAUAGGUCGUGGACCCCAUAACUCUUUAUAGAUUUGGAGAAAACCUCUGAGACAUUUGACACAAAUUUCGGAGAAAUAUUUAAAAAGGAACUUGCGAUAACUUUUGCCAACUUUUAUUUUGCGACUUACCUAACUUCAAAACAUGAUAUAAAACCCUUGAACACUUAAAAUAGGACAUAUCACAAUAUUUUUAAUUUAUUUCUCACCCUCUUUGUGUUUCCACGGAGGUACGAGUUAACUUAGACGUUUCAAAAAGUCAGGGUGUUACACUAGGGUUGUUAGAAUUGUUUGUAAUCCGGGUAAUUAGUGAUUAUUUAUGGAUGUCCGUGUUAUUAUGAUUGUUUGUAGACCAAGAACAAACGGAACGAAUCCAGAAAGGGAAGGAUCAAGUUUCUUAGGGUGUCAAACUUUUUUCGAGGUAGGUGAUGGUUGUAAUUUUAUGAUUGUGUGAUGUAUGUUUGUUCUUGUUUCAUUAUGAUACUUGCAUGUAUGCGAAUGUUGCAUUAUGGAUCACACUUGUUGUAAAUGAGAACCCUUAUGCGCAUCAUGAAGAGAUAGAGUAGAAUGUUGAUGUUGAGAAUAUUGAGGAUGUGGGACAAGAGAAACAUGUGCAUGCUGAGACUACCGAUGUUCCUCCCAUAGACCUAGUGUUAGCUCGACAGAUCAUGUCAUUCUUGAAAGGGUUGGUUAGUCCUGGAGUACUUCCUGCAGUUCAAGCAACUCAAGCUCCCGUUAAUCCCCCUAUUGCUAGCACUGCGCCCAAGACCGGUGGAAUGGGAGGUAAUGAUGCUUUCUUCCGUCCUUUGUUGGGUUCUAUUAUGACUGGUAAUGAGCAUGAAAUGUUGACUAAGUUUUUGAAGUUAAAGCCUCCUUUGUUUCUUGGUUCUGAGAAUGAGGAUGCUUAUGAUUUUAUCUUAGAUUGCUAUGAGAGGCUUUAUAAGUUGGGAAUUGUCCAUCAGCAUGGGGCUGAGUUUGUGUCCUUUCAACUUCAAGGUGAGACUAAGCAGUGGUGGAGAGCUUAUGUGGAAUGCAGAUCUUCUACUUUACCUCCACUUACUUGGACCCAAUUUCAUGCUCUGUUUUUGGAGAAAUAUGUGCCUAGGACUUUGAGAGAACACAAGAAGGAUGAGUUCAUGGAUUUGGAGCAAGGUGGUAUGACUGUGGUUGCUUAUGAGGCCAAGUUUCAUGCUUUGUCUAGAUAUGCUACUCAAUUGGUGACUACUGAGGAAGAGAGAAUUCGGUUAUUUAUUAGGGGACUAAAUUAUGAGUUGCAAAUAUUAUCUAUUCAUAUGACUUCUGCAGAGAGGAGCUUCAAUGAGGUAACAGACUGUGUUAAGAAAUUGGAGGGGGUGAGGCAAGACGAUCACUCUAAGGCAUUGGCAAAAAGGGCCAAGAAUUCAAGCAACUUUCAAGGUCUUAUUCCAGAAGUUCAAGGAGGCCAACGCUGACAGCCAAGCCAAUUCAGUCUGCUAUGCCCGCUUCUACGGGUAAUUUCUUGGGAAAUCCACCUUAUAAUUCAAUUUAGGAUAGCUAGGGAGUUGCACCUUCGACGGGCAGGCCAUCUUUUGAUCGUACAUGUUACAAUUGUGGUGAACCUGGGCAUAUGAGUAGAGAUUGGCUCCACCCAAAUGUGUUAGAUUCCGCGCAGCAGCAGUCUAGAGCAGUGGUACCCACAGGGAAUGGUAAUAAUGGUCGAGGGCAUCCACAAGGUGAGCGAGGAAGUAAUCAGUGAGGCCAUAGAGGUAGAGAAAAUGGUAAUGCAGACAAGGGUAACGUGCAACCAGGCAGGGAAGUGGCUCGUCAAGAUGAUAGGGCUCAAUGUUAUGCACUUCCGGGCAAGAAUGAGGUAGAGGCAUCUGACAUAGUGAUCGCAGGUACUAUUCUUGUCUGUGACCGGAUGGCUAAUGUGUUAUUUGAUCCGAGUUCUACUUAUUCUUAUGUAUCCGUGCAAUUUGCCUCAAGGUUUGAUAUAAUUUGUGAUAUGCUUGAUGCCCCUGUCCAUGUUUCUACCCCAGUUGGAGAGUCAGUCAUAGUUACUCAUGUCUAUCGUGCUUAUCCUAUUAUGUUUAUGGGUUUUUAGACUUGGGUUGAUUUGGUGAUUCUGGAUAUGACUGAUUUUGAUAUAAUCUUAGGCAUGACUUGGUUGUCCCUCUAUUAUGAUGUGCUUAAUUGUAAUACUACGUCUGUAACUCUAGAAAUUUUAGGAAGGGAAAAAAUAGAGUGGGAAGGGGUGUACAAGCCUAAGCAAGAUAAGAUCAUAUCCUCCAUUCGGGCAAGGAAAUUGAUAGGGCAGGUUGUUUGGCUUUUUUGGCUCAUAUUAGGGAUGUUGAAAUUCAGGCUCCAUCCAUUGAGUCUAUUCUUGUGGUGUCAGAAUUUAGAGAAGUGUUUCUUAAUGACUUACCUAGUAUGCCUCCGGAUAGGGAUAUAAACUUUUGCAUUGAUUUAGAACCUGGUACUCAUCCCAUUUCCAUCCCUCCAUAUCGCAUGGCUCCAGCAAAAUUAAGAGAGCUUAAGGCUUAAAUCCAAGAGCUUCUUGAUAAGGGAUUUAUUCGUCCUAGUACUUCCCCAUGGGGUGCUCCAGUUUUGUUUGAUAAGAAAAAAUAUGGUAGUAUGAGAAUGUGUAUAGAUUACCAGUAAUUGAAUAGGGUCACUAUUCGAAACAAGUAUCCUUUGCCUCUAAUAGAUGAUCUUUUUGACUAAUUGCAAGGUGCAUCAUUUUUCUCCAUGAUUGAUCUAAGGUCUGACUACCAUCAAUUAAAAAUUAUGCCUAAGGAUGUGCCAAAGACAGCGUUUAGGACUCGCUAUGGGCACUAUGAGCUUUUAGUUAUGUCUUUUGGUUUGACCAAUGCGCCUNNNNNNNNNNNNNNNNNNNNNNNNNNNNNNNNNNNNNNNNNNNNNNNNNNNNNNNNNNNNNNNNNNNNNNNNNNNNNNNNNNNNNNNNNNNNNNNNNNNNNNNNNNNNNNNNNNNNNNNNNNNNNNNNNNNNNNNNNNNNNNNNNNNNNNNNNNNNNNNNNNNNNNNNNNNNNNNNNNNNNNNNNNNNNNNNNNNNNNNNNNNNNNNNNNNNNNNNNNNNNNNNNNNNNNNNNNNNNNNNNNNNNNNNNNNNGCAUGGCUCCGGUAGAAUUAAGAGAGCUUAAGGCUCAAAUCCAAGAGCUUCUUGAUAAGGGAUUUAUUCGUCAUACUGCUUCUCCAUGGGGUGCUCCAGUUUUGUUUGUUAAGAAGAAGGAUGGUAGUAUGAGGAUGUGUAUAUACAACCGACAAUUGAAUAGGGUCACUAUUCGAAACAAGUAUACCUUGCCUCGAAUAGAUGAUCUUUCUGACCAAUUUCAAGGUGCAUCAGUUUUCUCCAAGAGAUCUAAGGUCUGGCUACCAUCAGUUGAAAAUUAGGCCUGAGGAUGUGCCUAAGACGGCAUUUAGAACUCACUAUAGGCACUACGAGUUUCUGGUUAUGACCUUUAGCUUGACUAAUGUGCCUGUAGCUUUUAUGAGUUUAAUGAAUGGGGUGUUCAAGCCAUUUCUUGAUUCUUUCGUUAUAGUCUUUAUUGAUGAUAUUUUGGUCUAUUCGAAAAGUGAGGAAGAGCACGCCGACCAUCUUCGCAUUGUUUUGGGUGUUCUUGGGAAACAAAGGUUGUAUGCUAAAUUUUCUUAAGUGUGAAUUUUGGUUGACUUCGCUUGCAUUUUUGGGACAUGUAGUGUCAAAAGAAGGGGUAAUCGUAGAUCCUUAAAAGAUUGAGGCGGUUAGGAAUUGGGUUCAGUCUAGCUCUGUGAUGGAGGUUAGGAGUUUUAUGGGGCUCACUAGCUAUUAUCAUCGAUUUGUGAAGAACUUUGCUUCUAUUGCCACUCACUUGACCAAUUUGACCAAAAAGGAGAUACCAUUUGAAUGGACCGAAAAAUGUAAGGAGAGCUUCCAAAACCUCAAGACUCUCUUGACCACCGCACAUAUUCUAGCAUUACUGGUUGAAGGUAAAGAUUUUAUUGUUUAUUGUGAUGCUUCACAUUCUGGUUUGGGUGCUGUGUUGAUGCAGGAUAAUAAUGUUAUAGCUUAUGCCUCGCGACAAUUGAAGGUGCAUGAGAGAAAUUACCCAACACAUGAUUUGGAGUUGACAUCAGUAGUUUUUGCUCUUAAGAUUUGGCGGCAUUACCUUUAUGGUGNAUGAGAGGAAUUACCCAACACAUGAUUUAGAGUUGGCAGCGGUAAUGUUUGCACUUAGAUUUUGGGGCAUUAUAUUUAUGGUGUCAAGUGUGAGGUAUUUACUGAUCAUCGCAGUUUACAACAUGUGUUCACUCAAAAGGAUUUGAAAUUUAGACAGCGAAGGUGGAUGGAGUUACUUAAAUAUUAUGAUGUNNNNNNNNNNNNNNNNNNNNNNNNNNNNNNNNNNNNNNNNNNNNNNNNNNNNNNNNNNNNNNNNNNNNNNNNNNNNNNNNNNNNNNNNNNNNNNNNNNNNNNNNNNNNNNNNNNNNNNNNNNNNNNNNNNNNNNNNNNNNNNNNNNNNNNNNNNNNNNNNNNNNNNNNNNNNNNNNNNNNNNNNNNNNNNNNNNNNNNNNNNNNNNNNNNNNNNNNNNNNNNNNNNNNNNNNNNNNNNNNNNNGCCACAUUCAUUGACGAGAUCAAGGCCAAACAGUUUGAGGAUGAGAAUUUGGAGGAGCUUAGAAAGAAGAUUGUGAUUGGUAAGGCACAAGAGACCACUCUUGAUGCGGAAGGUGUACUUAGUUUCAAUGGAAGAAUUUGUGUGCCUCAAGUUGAUGAUUUGAUUCAAAAGUUGUUGAUAGAGUCCCAUGGUUCGCGAUAUUCUAUUCAUCCGAGUGUGACCAAGAUGUACCGAGAUUUGAAGCGAAACUAUUUGUGGUCGGGCAUGAAGAAGUAUAUAGCGGAGUUCGUGGCUACGUGUCAAAAUUGCUAACAAGUUAAAUAUGAACACCAAAGGCCUACAGGUUUGCUUCAAAAUAUGCCAAUUCUGGAAUGGAAAAAUGUCAAUUCCGGAAUAGAAGUGGGAGAGGAUAGCCAUGGAUUUUGUGGUUGGUCUUCCCAAUACCUUGGAGAAGUUUGAUUCUAUUUGGGUAGUGGUUGAUAGAUUGACUAAGUCAGCCCAUUUUAUUCUAGUAAGAAUAGAUUAUAAUGCUGAACAAUUGGCUAGGGUGUAUGUGAAAGAGAUAGUAAGGUUGCAUGGGGUCUCUCUAUCAUCUCAGACCGUGGUACCCAAUUCACAUCCAAGUUUUGGAGGAAAUUACAUGAUGAAUUGAGCACACAACUCACUUUUAGUACAACCUUCCAUCCACAGACAGACGGGCAGUCAGAGAGGACUAUUCAAGUAUUAGAAGACAUGUUGAGGGCAUGUGUGAUUGAUUUUGAAGGGCAUUGGGAUAAUUUCCUACCUUUGUGUGAAUUCUCCUAUAAUAAUAGUUAUCACUCUAUCAUAGAUAUGGCACUAUUUGAGGCACUCUGUGGGAGGGAUGUAGAUCACCCAUAGCAUGGUUCGAGGCUGGAGAUGUGAAACCAUUGGGGGUCGAUUUAGUGAAGAAUGCUCAAGAUAAGGUGAGGAGUAUUCAAACUAAGCUUCUAGCAGCCUAGAGUAGACAUAAAAAGUAUGCGGAUCAUAAGGUGAGAGACAUGGAGUUUCAAAUCUGUGAGAAUGUUCUUCUUAAGGUAUCACCCAUGAAAGGGGUGAUGAGAUUUGGCAAGAAGGGCAAAUUAAGUCCGCAAUAAUUGGUCCAUUUGAGGUCCUUGAAUGUGUAAGAUCGGUAGCGCAUAGGUUGGCUUUACCUCAUAGUCUAUCGGUUGUUCAUCCGGUAUUUCAUGUGUACAUGUUGAAGAGGUAUCAUGGUGACGGAAAUUAUAUCAUUAAGUGGGAUUCAAUUGUGUUAGAAAAAGACCUCCAAUAUGAGGAGGAACCGAUUGCAAUUCUUGAUCAUGAUAUGCGUAAGCUGAGGACCAAGGAGAUUAAGUUCGUGAAAGUUCAAUAGAAGCACCGUCCAGUUGAGGAAGCUACUUGAGAGACCGAGAGGGACAUGCGAGACAAGUAUCCUCAAUUGUUCGUCGAUUCAGGUACUACUCCAUUCUUUUCUUAGCCUAUUUUUCCUAAGUUGUCACUCGUGGACGAGUGAUAGGUAAAUUGGUAUCUAUUGUAACGACCGGAUUCCGUCGUUAUAGAAAAGCCAACGGGAAAAUUUGGGGCCGAAAAACCUUUUCGUAGUAUUUGGAUUUAUUCCAACCUAGUCCAGAUUUGGACGAAAUUGGAGUCAUUAAGGUGUAGGGAAAUUUGGCAUCAAUCGGGUGAUUUAUUUAUAAUUUUGAUUACAUGAUGGGAUAGAUAACUCGUUAAGAAAUCCGUACGACUUUACGGAAUUGAAUUUGGGCGAGUAGAACUCCCGGAAUCGAUCUUAGCGUGAAGGAGAUUUUCUGAGUGUCGUUGGUUAGAGGUGUGUUGUGAAAUAGGGGUCUUGGAAUUAUUAAAAUAGCUUACUAUUUCGUGCAACCCGCUUUGGCGCUGGGUUUUGUCGCUCUGGCGGGACCACUAUAGCAGGGUGAAGGCCGCUGUGGCGGGCCAGACGCGACUUAAAGUCGUAAAUAAACCCCUAAACGACUUAUUCAUGCACUUUUCAAUUUUUAGAGCUAAGGAACGAGCCCCAGGUGACUCUUGACAAUUUUUCACCAUUCUUGAGGCUAAAGGUAAGCUUUUCACUGCCCGAAUCCAUUUUUCGAUCCAUAGAACGUAAUAGAAUGGGUAAUUAUCGAUGGGGGAGGGUUUUGAAUUAGAAACCAUGGUGGAAAAAGCCCUAAUUUUGAUACUUGGGAUCAUGGGUAUGAUAUAGGAUUGUUAGAAUUAUUAGUAAUCCGGGUAAUUAGUGAUUGUUUAUUGAUGUCUGUGUUAUUAUGAUUGUUUGUAGAUCAAGAACAAGUGGAACGAAUCCGGAAAGGGAAGGAUCAAGUUUCUUAGGGUUUCAAGCUUGUUUCGAGGUAGGUGAUGGUUGUGAUUCUAUGAUUGUGUGAUGUAUGUUUGUUCUUGCUUCAUUAGUAUACUUGCAUGUAUGUGAAUGUUGAUACUUAUGAUUGUGAUUGUGAUUGUACUGUGUUGAAUGGAUCGGUUGCCACGUUCUGGCAUAAUUAUGGGAUCGGUUGUCACGUUCCAGCAUAAACAUUGGAUCGGGUACCACGUUCUGGUAUGCUAAUUGUUUGGGUUUAGGUUCCAUGAAAGGACCAAUGACUUGUCAUAAUUGUGUAUAUUAUUGAGCAUGUGAUAAUCGAUAUUGUAUAUGUUCGGUAUUUUGCAUGUUUAUAAUGUUGUAUUGACUUGCUUAUGUUACACUUAGUGGGAUAGCCGCGUGAUCCUAUCAUUACAUUGUAGUUGUGUUCUGAUACUGCACUUGCUCUUAUUUUUGUUGAGUACACGACAUUUUUCGGCUGCUAUUGACAAACCUCGCUUAGAAGACCAGUGAUCGUUCGAAUUCAAGGGUGAGUCAAUUCUUCCAGGCCGCCAUGAGUUCUCUUUUCGUCUAUGUCCACAUUUCAGACUUAGACUUUUCUAGUUAGUUGAUUAGUUCGUUAGUUUGGGGUUGCAUCCCUUCUUGUUUAGACUUGUUGAACUUUAGAUGUUUUGGUACAUUGACUUUCAGGUUCUAGGUGUAAUUUCCGCAUUGUUAGUUGUUAGAUCUUUUGGAAGUUUAUGGGAACUUCAGUCUUAGAUAUUAUUCCUAUUUUUGUAUCCUUAAAUGCUUUAGUUUUUGGUUUAGAUGCUUGGUUGGGGUUGUAGUAGUGGUUCUCCCACCGGAGGGUUAGUGUGGGUGCCAAUCACGACGGUCUGGGUCAUGACAAAGGUUAUACUAAUAGAGGUAAAAGUAGAAACUCAAGAGGUUUUAUUUUUAAUACCGUUUUAUUUCUACCUUUUUCAUUUUCUUUAGAAAUAUUAUAUAAAUAUUGAAAUAAUAGAAUUCCUAAAUAACUGUUGAUCAGUAGAAUUUCUUGAAGAAUUUGAUUUAUGAGCAAAGUGUGUGCGCUCAAAGAAUUUGUGAUCAACAAAAAAAUAAUAUUGUACUUGGAUAAAAAGGAAAGAACUUUGGAAAAUAGAAACAAAACAGGUAUAGGUCGUAACAAAUAAGGAAAUUAAAGCAAGUUCAAGUAGAAUUGGAUUGAUUAAUCAAACUAGGUUUGAUCUUAGAGAGCAAAGUGUAGAAAACAUUUAAUAGUUUCAGGAUUGAAAAUAUAAGUACAUUUAAUAGUUUAGAGAAUAUAUUUUUUUCAAUCAAUCUAAAACACCUAUUUCUACUUGGUCUCCUUCAAUACAUACAAAGUGCACUAGCACAAGAAGUCGAAGCUACGCCAUUUUCAUGAUCAAGAUAAAUUUUUGAUUUUGUGUUACAAUCAUACCAAUGGCUUUUCCAAUUUCCAUAUUAGAUUAUGAACAAAUAAUUUCAUACUUUUAAGAGUCAUUGAUUUAAUUCUCUGUGUAUAUACUAAAACUUUAUACACUUGAUCAUCUAUUCUAUAAGUAAACAGACACAUAAACGAAUAUAUGAUCUAUUAAUUUUUUUAUUAAAAUUGAAUAAAAAUUAUACUAUGAAAAAUAUUAUAUCUAAAUACAUGGUUAAUAAUAUAAUCUCAUAAUUAAUAAUAUAUAGCCCAACAGUAAUUUAAAAUUAAUUACUUGAAAAGUUAAUGAAAUUUUAAGGUGAAAUCCACGAAGAUAGGCCAUGAUUUCUUACUUUUUUGAGAGAGGAGUUUUUCACAAAACAUUAUAUGUGUAUUUUGAUUUCCGCACUUCACUUUUAGUUUGCGAUUGAACCCGAUUCUUUAAAAAAAAUUACAUAACAAGGUAAACACAUAUAUAUACACACAUUAGUUUUUCGACACGUGUAUUACACGCGAUUAUCAAUUUAGAAAAUAUAUGUUAUAGUAAAUAGUUUUGCUUAUUUAAGUGAAGAUUUGAAUAAUAAACUUUGCACAAAAUAAUAUUACAAAUUCUUUUGUGAAUGUUCAAUGUGGAUCGUCAUAUAUAUAUUUCUCUUAUUCACGGGAAUCUAUGAAGAUGGUCAAUCAAAAAAUUUAUUAGUUAAAUGCAAUAAUGCAUAUAUUUAUUUCAAUUUGAUGAGGUUCAAUCAUGUAAUUAGUCGUAUCUCAGUAAUAUUACCUUAUAAACGAUAUUUGUUGUGUAUUAUUCUUGAUCACACAAUUUUUUUUUAAAUGCAAGAAGAAGAGUAGGAAAUUAAAAAAAAUUAUGGUUGAAAAAUGAGAGGAAGCCCCUCUAUUUAUAGUCAACAAAGGUAGAAUGAACAAGUGUUUUUUGUGUCUUAUCUGAAAAGUCAUAACCUUUCCGAUAAGUCAUAACCCUUUGGAAAAGUCAAAACAUAUUGACAAGUCACAACUCUUUGGAAAAGUCACAACUCCAUAAAAAAUCACAACCCUUUGUAAAAAGUCACAACUUAUCGGAAAAGUCACAACUCAUCGAGAAAGUGACCUUUCUGAGAAGUGACAACCCUUUGGAAAAAUCACAACUUAUUGAAAAAGUCACUACUCAUCGAAAAAUCACAGCCCUUUGAAAAAAGUCACAACUCAUCGGAAAAGUCACAACUCAUCGAAAAAGUCACAAACUAAGUUAAGGAUAUUAUUGUAAUUUAACAUUCAAGUUAGGAGUUCAUGUUUUUAAAGUAAUAUAGAUAUAUAUAGAGAGAAAAAAAUUCUCUCUCCUCUGCCCCUCUUUUCCUUGCCUCUCUCCUCCCACUGCCCUCUCUCUCUCCCUCUCGCUCCUCUCUCUCUUCAUCCCACACAAUUGCAGCCCAAAAAAUAUUUCGCAUAAUAUGAAAAUUGUAUUUUUUUUAUUAUGUAUCAAAUAUAUUUGUAUUUCAUAUCAAUUGUAUUUGUGAUAAAACUUGAUAUAACGAAUACAAUAUGUAUUGAUCCUCUCUGUCAACGAAUACAAUAAUUUGACAAAGAGUAAACUUCAAGAAAAUGAAAAGAAACAAAAGCUAAUUCAUUCUGUUUUUAUUACUUUACAAGUAUAUUGCUAUAUUUAUUUUUCGGUUACUAUAUCCAUUGCGCAAAUUCGUACGUCUUUAUUUGUUGUCUGUUAAUAUUAAAAAUAAUUUUGAUGUUGCAUGUCUAUAAUUAUAAUAUUCUUCAAUUAAUUUCACUUGAUAUUUUUUUUAAAAUAAAAAUAUUCUCAAAUAUUGUUUUCACUGUUUAUUAUACAAUUCUACAUCUAUAAUAAAAUACUAGUUACUAGAUAUAAAAGUCCGAACAAGCCCGUUUGCUAAGAAUUGCUCAAGUGAGCAGUAGUGGGUCCCAUGAAGCUUUCUCUCAGUAGCCUCUUAGUUUUCAAUAAAAGAAACUCAGUUCCUCUCUUUGUAAAUUUAGAAACUUGACCCUAAGCUCCUCCCUAUUCCUCUUCUAAUAGUAAAAAAAUAUAUAUAGUAAAAUAUAUAGUAAUAUCCACCAAACUAUAACAUUUACUAAAGGCAUAAUACAUAAACAUGACUCUUAACUUGGUUUUAACGGACAUCUAUGCCCUCCAACUUUGAGUGUGCACAAGUAGACACUUAAACUUGUAUAAAAUUGAACAAGUAGACACACAUGUCCUACAUGGCAUAAUACACGUAGGACACAAAAUUGUCACGUAGGGUGACAUGUAGGAAACGUGUGUCUACUUAUUCAAUUUUAUACAAGUUUAAGUGUCUACUUAUGCACACCCAAAAUAAAUAUGACUUAUAACUUGGCUUUAACGGAUAACUAUGUCCUUCAACUUUGAGAGUGCACAAGUAGACACUUAAACUUGUAUAAAAUUGAACAAGUAGACACACAUGUCCUACAUGGCAUAAUACACGUAGGACACAAAAUUGUCACGUAGGGUGACAUGUAGGAAACGUGUGUCUACUUAUUCAAUUUUAUACAAGUUUAAGUGUCUACUUGUGCACUCUCAAAGUUGAAGGACAUAGUUAUCCGUUAAAGCCAAGUUAUAAGUCAUAUUUAUGUAUUAUGUAUUUAUUAAAUAGUUCUUCUUUCCUUAAUUAUUCCCAAGUCCCAACCAUUUAAAGAAGAAAGGGUAGUUAAUUAAGAAGAUGAAUUAUUUGACUAUUAUUAAGAAGAUAAAAAUAAUAAUUACGUUCAAAAUGUACUAUACUAUAUUAGAUUAACCACUCAUCUCUUUGAAAGGAUAAUGAAAGGUAAGUAAAUCAUAUUUAAUUUUAUCAUCAAUAUAUUUAAAUUGGGGUAAGUUUUAAGUCAAAACUUCGUUAUCUAUGUUUUGAAUAUCGAAGUACUAUUUAGUCAGACCUUCAAGGAUCGUGACAUCUUGAUAUUUUUGACAUUGAUUCUCGAACUUCUAGAAUAUUUAGAUUGAUUCACCAUGCGCUUAUAUAUUUUUUCGAGAAAAAUAUUGUUAAACAUGCAUGACAACUGACAUCUACCUACAUUUUUUUCAAUAUUUCAAUCUGACCAUACAUCUGUUAUCUUGAUCAAUUCAAUAAGAAGAAUUUUCCAAUCAAACGAUGGAAAAUUAAACUCUUCAUCACUAAUUAAAUGGAUGAAUAAACAACACAUAUAGUAUAAAUUUGUGUACUCUUUGACUUGACAAAGUUGGUUCAUGUUCCUCCCACGAACAGUAUAAUAAAUAGGGGAAGAUCAAGAAAAUACCAUGGGAUAUUCCAAGGUUAUUCUUUCUCUAAAUACAAAAUAUAUAUCUUAUUUUAAAUAACGUAAUAAAAUAUUAACAAAAUAUGUGUUUACCGCACAAACAAUAAUUAAGUCUUGGAUUAUAAAAUUCAUUCAAACUUUGACACAAUUUAUUUAUAAUUAAGCUGAAAACCAGAAUCCCAAUACCCAAAAUAAUAAUAAUAAUAAUAAAAAUGUCUGCUUAAUAUACAGAUGAUAGAAAAUAGUAACAAGGCAUAAGUAUCCCUAGACUAUAACCGAAAUUCCAGAGACACACUUUAAUUAAACUAAGGUCCUAUUACCCUCUGAACCCAUUUUUUUUUUAAUUUUGUACACUUUUUUUACUUACGUGGCAUCCAAAUACAGGGGCAGAGCCAACAUACAUUCAGGGGUUCAUCUGAAUCCCCUUCGACGGAAAAUAUUAAUAUAUAUACAUGGUUAAAUUUUUAUUUAAUGUAUAUAUAGUUGAUGUCGAACCCCCUUCGGUUAGUUCGUGUGUUUACUUUUUCAAAUUUUGAGCCCCGUUGUUAAAAAUCUUAGCUCUGCCACUGUCCAAACAUCUCUCACACACCUCAACUACGUGGAGCUAUAGAGUGUGCUACGUAAGUCUAAAGGUGUACAAUAUUACAAAAAAAAAUUGGGUGGGGGGUAAUAAAACCUUAGUUUAAUGUGUCUCUAAAAUUUCGAUUAUAGUCUAAAAUACUUGUGCCUUAUCCCUAAAAAAAUAGGUAAAACUAACAGAAAAAAAAAAAGAAAGAGAAACAAGUAGUAAAGAAGAAGCUAAUUGUGUUUAAAUCUACACAACAAAAGUAAACCAACUAAUUAAUAAUGGCUGGUCAUGAUUAGCACUAAGUGUUUCCUAUAAGCUGUCUUGCUUUUAUUAAGGACUUAAACAAAUAUUUACUUCAAAUAAGUGUUGUAUCCUCGUGUGAAUAAUUGUUUUAUAAGUAUAUUUUAAGACCAAACAUAUAUAACUAAUUUAUUUGUCUUCCCUAGUGUAGAUUUUCUCCCCAACAACCAAGCUGCAAGUCUGGUACUUUAUUCAUUCGGACUAAUUUAUAUGACAUUAUUUAAAUUAGUAUAUUCUUUGAUUAUUUGUGUGUUUAUUAAUCAUUUAACUAAGAAUAAAAGAUGAUUUUAAAGUUAAAUUAUUUUUCGUUAUAAAAAUGUAACAUUUUUUUGGAACAAACAAAAAAAAAUGUAUCACAUACAUUGAGACAAAGAAUUAUUACUUUUUUCUUCAUUCUUUUCCCUUUUUGACUCUCUCUGAUCCAAUUUAUGUGACAUUCUUUCUUUUUUAGUCUGUCACAUAAAGAAUAUUCAUUUUUUUUUACAAUUAGAAACUAUUUAAAUCUAAAAAAAUUCGUUUAAUAUUCUAAUUAUUCCUUAGUGAAAUGAUUUAUAGCCACAUAAAUGAUAAAUAGUACUCCCUCCAUUUCUAUUUAGUUGUUAAUCAUUUUAGGUUUCACGCCUCUUAUGAUGUAUUUUUUUUAUCAUAUUGAUAUGCAAAUAAUUGUAAUUUAUAGUACUUUUCGUAUAGUUUUUGAAUAUAUCUAAAUUUUUUGUUUAAAAUAUCAAGUUAAUGUAAUCCAAUUUAACUUUGAAAAUUAGUCAAAUUGACUUUUGAAAAACGCAACAUGACAAUUAAAAGUCAACGGGGGAGUAAGUUUACCAUUGUGUGAUUAUUUAUUUUUUUCUUGAAGUCAAAUUUUUAAUAAAUGAACAUAAAUUAAUGGCUUAAGUCAUUUAUAGCCACUUAAAGUUGUCCUCAUAUUUCAUUUGGACACUUCAAUUAAGGUUUGUACCAUUGAACAUUUUUACCAUUUCGAAUUGAUACAUAUUUGACAUAUUUUUGACAAUCAUCCAAAAUAUUAAGUGUGUGAGUUAUACUUGUGAUGACAUGGCACAAGGACGAAUCAAAUUAUGACAUGUGUCAUUUGGAUCCAAAAAAUUAUUUUUAAAAUAUAUUUUAAAUGAUAAAAGUAAAAUAAAAUUUUGUACCCCUAAAAAAUUCACCCACCCACCCAAACCUUCCCACGUUACCCAUCAAAAUUUACGCCCCCCGGCGUCGCCUUUUUUACUUCUUUUUUUCUUCUUCUUCUUUAUUAUAAAUCAACAAUGGUAGAUUAUUUAGAUUCAAAAUUUUAAAAAACUUUAAUAGUUACAUUGUUGCCCAAUCCACCCAAAUUCUUCCCCUUCUACCCAUCAAAACAACCACUCUUUUCUUCUUCUAUCAACAAUGGCGAAAUACCCAUUUUCUUUCAGUUGAAUAGCAUCAAAACUUUCUAUUUGUUACCUUUACCUUUUUCUCAUUACUAAUCAUUUAUCACAAUUACAAUAGAUAUAUAACAACAAACUUUUGCCUGAAAAAAUCAAUUCAUAUUUUUUCCAUCUGAAUAAAUGGAUGUUUGCCGAAAUAUUGAAGAUGUAGAUCUACAUAAAAAAGAAGAAGGAAAAAACAGAAGAAGAAGAACGGGAAAGGGUGAGAGAAAGAGAGAGGUGGAGGGGGUGGGGUGUGGGGUGCGCCUGUGUAAAAAGAAUUAUGAAGAUGGUGAAUGAGAAUAGUACAUGGGUGUAAUUUUGGGUUAGGGAAGAAGACUACAUUUUCAAAAAAAACAAAAAUUCCCUUUUCAUUAAUUUUGGUAUAUAAGUUAGAAAGAAAAGAAAAAUUAUUAAUUUCAAUAGAUUUACAUACCUAAAGAGAGUGUAGCACAUGUUUUUUGACAUGUCAACAUUUUGUGUCGGAUAGAAAUGACUUUUGAACAAAUAAAGUGUUCAAUAGAUACAAAGAUAAGUUGAGGUGUUCAAAUGAAAUAUGUGGACAACUUUAAGGGGCUGCAUAUGACUUAAGCCUAAAUUAAUUUAUUUUGAUUAUUUAAUUGACCAAUCAACAUGAAUUAGUCAUUUAGUUUUACUAUGUUGGUUAAAUUCAUACUUUCAAGGCUUAUAACCCUCAAGGGUAAAAUAGAAAGAAUAGUGUCAUUUAUGCAUUGAUUUUUUGAAAUGACAAAUACUCCCUCCGUCCACUUUUAAUUGUCAUGUUUCACUUUUCGAAAGUCAAUUUGACUAAUUUUCAAAGUUAAAUUAGAUUACAUUAAUUCGAUAUUUUAAACAAAAAAAAUAGAUAUUCAAAAACUAUACGAAAAGUAGGGGUGUCAAAAAGAUAUGAAAAACUGAUCGAACCGACCAAACCAUACCGAAGUGAUUUAUAGGAUAUUUUAAAUAUAACUGUGGACUUUUAUUAAUCUUAUAACCGUCCUGAAUAAUUGGGAUGGUCUUUUUAAUUUAUAUAAAAAUCCAAAAAAUACCGAACCGAACCAAAUAGUCUUACAUAUAUGUUAUACUAGAUGGGAAGGCCCGUGGCAAGCACGGGCCCAAUAGUCAAAAUAUUAUGUUUGUUAAAAUAUUAAUAUUAAUGAAUCAAGGGUGAUGGCUUUUGCAGAAGAUGGAUAAUAUUAUAUACUAUUAGAUAUAUUGAGAAUGUGUACAACAGACAUCAGUAUGAUGCUGACUUGCAAAAGAGCAAAUGAAAAUUUCAGAAAGAACGAUACAUGAUCAGUUAAAGCGGGGGGGGGGGGGGGGGGGGGGGGGGGGGGNNNNNNNNNNNNNNNNNNNNNNNNNNNNNNNNNNNNNNNNNNNNNNNNNNNNNNNNNNNNNNNNNNNNNNNNNNNNNNNNNNNNNNNNNNNNNNNNNNNNGUCCUUCACAACUCCCUCUUCUAAAUAAGGGUAAUAUUUUAUAUACUACCACAUAUGUUAAAUUUAAUAUACAAAUAUAUUUGGGCAAAUUACAGAAAUCACAUACUUUUAAGGCAAAAUUACAAUCUAUCCCUUAAAAGUUUAUAAUUACAUAAAUCUUCAAACGGAUACAAUAAUAUAAGUGCUGAUACAUUAAUUUGAUGCACGAGAUACAAUAAUAUAAGCGCUGAUACAUUAAUCUGAUGCGCGAGAUACAAUAAUAUAAGCGCUGAUACAUAAUCUGAUGCGCGAUAUACAAUAAUAUAAGCGAUGAUACACUAAUCUGAUGACGCGAAAAUGAGGAAUUUUGGAGAUUUGUAAAACUUAUAGGAGAUAAUGAUAAUAAGUAAACUAAAAUGUGGGAUUUCUCUAAUUUUUCCAAUAUAUUUUAUAAAUUCCUUUUUCAAAUACAUAAAAAGUUAGGCCUCUAGACUUUGGGUCUGUAGUUGAUUAGAUUAGUUUUAACUUUUUAAAGGAUUCAAUUACUAGACUCAUACGUUCAUAAAUCAUACCCAAUUACCCAUAUUAAAUAUAAUAAUAUUGAUAUAUCAAAUAAUUAUCUUAUGGCUAAAUACCAAAACGGUAAAGCCUAACGCGCUAUAUACUAGUUCUAUUGAAAGUUUAUCACUAACAAAAUAACGAAAAUUAGUCGAACCGUAUCGAUAUCGAAAAAAAUCGACAUGAUUGGAAUGGUUUAAAAAAUCUAAUUUUGGUCAUGCAUUGUAAAAUAACCAAAAUAUUGGGAUGAUAUUUUUUAAAAAAAAUAAUCGACCGAACCGUCUCAUGAUUGACACCUCUAACGAAAAUUACUAUAAAUUACAAUUUUUUGCAUAUCAAUAUGUUGAAAAAAAUAUAUCGUAAAAUAUUAGUCAAAUUUUUUAUAGUUUGACUCUAAAAAAGAAAACCAUGACAAUUAAAAGUGGACGGAGAGAGUAUUAAGGAACAUCUAUUUUUAAUAAGAACGGCGUAUAAAUAGAAAUGAAGGGAGUACUUUAGAUUAAAAAAUUUGAAGAUCUUUUUAUAUAUAAAAAAAAUAAAAAUUCAAUCUCAAAUUUAUGAGGCUAAUAUGGGAAUGAUAUUUUCCAUCUGGGUCGAAUAACAGAUCCCACUUUAAAAUAUGCAUAGGGUACUUCUGUUUCUGCGUGUGAUAUAGAACACAUAUUUCGAUAGUAAGUUUAUGUAUACCUAUAUUGCACUUUAGUAGCUAGUGUACAUAAAACCUUGACAAAGGUUCAAGUACUUGAGAAUGAUAAAAAGAGUUGACAAGUUAUAUUAUAUUAGAAUUGAUAUCAAAUAAUCGUUGACGAUAUCUUUAAUAUAAUCUAGUGUUCAAAAUAAUAAAUCGUGACGAAGAUCUUGAAUUUAAAUCUGACAAAUGGUAUGAAAAAAUCAAUGAUUGACAAAUAAAAUACGCAAUUCAAGUAUAUUUUACUUUACUUAAUUAAAAAAGUGACAUUCUAAACUUAUAUAGUCCAUAUACCAAGAUAUAAUGUUAGUGGGCUACAAAUGAGUUAUAUAUUGUGCAACAUGUAAAAUCGUAAGAUAUAAAAUACAGUUCGUGCUUUGGGGGGGGGGGGGGAUAAAAGACUUUCGUACAAGUCCUAACAUUAUUGUAUGGAGAUGUGUUCUCCUAUGGUGAAUGUAAUGCGGAUUUUUCAGUCUGACAAUAUAUGAAAAAAUUGAAUACGUAUAAUGAAUGAUUAUCAUGUCUAGCUAGACAAUAAAUAUUACAUGACAGUACAAUUUUUGAAGGAUUUUAAAGCGAUUCCAUUGAAUAGUACCCCAAUGGCUAUGAAAUCUCUAACUAUAAAGAUCGAUUUCGAUCUCAUUAAAAUGGUUAGAAAAUACCAUGUCAUAGUGCAAUUGGUGCACUUAUAUAUCCUACUAUUUUGAUUCAUGGUAUAAUAAUUAUAUUAAUGUGGAUACAAAGUAUAACAUCACACUUAUUGAUGGAGAUAUUAGAGUACAUCAGAUAUUGAUACAAAUUAUUUAUUUUGAUCAAUCGUGUCAAAGUUUAUUGAUUAUGAAAUUGCAGAUAAUUAUUUGAUUUAUAUGAAGUUUAAUCUCAAGAAAGUUAUCUAUUUUCAUGUGGAAAUACUGUCAUAUCAAAUCCACAAGACCGUCAAUUUUAUUGUAAGUGUACCUCAGUGCUUAGUUGUUGUUACUAACAAAAACGAGCAAUUUGUCCACGCCGACAAAGUCACGAAUUGCGUAAUUGUGAAAAAUGUAUUUGGUUGAGAUCAAUAAGUCAACAUAUCUAGAAAAUAUGUGACCUUCCUUCGAAAAGAGAUAUUCCAACAAAAAAUAUGAAGACAUUAUUUCAUGUAUAGCUCAAUUAAGAGGACACAUCAAAGGAGAUGAAACAAAAUAUAUCUUACCAAAAUUCUUAUUUUACUCAUGUAUUUAAAAGAAGGAUGAAAUAGAUGUUCAACACGUUCAUUCAAGUGAUAAUUUAGCAGAUAUAUUCACCAAUAUAUUACUAACUUUAACCUUUGAGAAGUUGAGAUACAAAAUUGGAAUGCGUCAUCUUUGAGUUGUUAAAUGAUGUCUUCAUCGGGGGAAUAAAUACGCGUUGCGCUCUUUUUUCCUUAACCAUAUUUUAUCCCACUGAGUUUUUCAGAUAAAGAGUUUUAAUGAAGCAUCAAACAAAGCGUAUUAAUACAUUUUUUUCUUUCACUGAAAAUUUUCUUUUACAUGGACAUCUAAAGGGGAGUGGUCUAAAAUCAAUGUCCACAUAAAUAUACUUUGUAUGUAACAUAAAUGUACACAAUAUAUUUUGUGUUGUAACAGAUAUGUACACACAAUAUACAUUGUGUGUAAGAUUGAUAUACAUGCAACACACUAUGUGUUGGAAACUAGCCAUCCAUACAAUACACUUGGGAGCCGUUUGGUUACUGGUUAGAGUUAUGCAUGUAUUAGUUAUGUAAGAUUUAGUUAUGCAUGUAUUAGUUAUGCAAGGUUUAGUUAUGAGGGUAUUAAUUAUGCAGAGUUUAGUUAUGCAUGUAUUAAUUAUGUAAGGUGUAGUUAUGCAGAUAUUAAUUAUGCAAGAUUUACUUAUGUAGGUAUUAGUUAUGUAGGGUUUAGUUAGGUAAAUAUUACAAUACAUUAGUAAGCUAAUUUUUAUUUCUUAAUUUCAAAAAUAUUUAGUGAACUAAUAAUUAUUAUACCCAUUAAAAUAAACAACUAUCUAAAUAACACAUUAUUAUUAAAAAAAUAUCAAUAGAUAAAAACACUAAAGUAAAUAACAAAUAACUAAAAAUAUUAUAAUACAUAUAUAUGGCAGUGCGUUGCGAAGAAACUAAGCAAAUAAAUUAAUUACAAUUAACCAUCACUGUCUUACCGCCAAAGAAAACAGUUAAUAAAAAAUUAAGCAAAAAAUCUAAAUUAAUUAAGCAACUAACAAGACAAAAAAUCCAAAAAAAAAAAAUUGAUAGUGUUUUUUUAUUUACAUAUAAUAACCAUUUGAUUUGUAAUAAAUUAAUCUACAUUUAAAAGUGAAGUCAGGGGUAAUAAUUCCUGCCAAAUUACUUUGAUGUGCAAGAACUUUCGUUCCAGAACUUGGCAUCGAGUUUUCUACUAUUACUUAAAAUGUUUUUCACUGUGUAAGUAAUAAUCUUGAAUUUUGAUCGUCUUUACCGUGUGAAGUGGCGGUAAAUGGAUGGGUUGGUUCAAAUUUGGGUUAGUUGAAAAUGAGUCAACAUAAAAUGGGUAAUAACAACCCGCCCAUAUUUGAUAUAGGUAAAAAUGGAUUAGAUAACAAAUGGAUUGGGUAAAAUACUAGUUUACUCAUAUUUUCAUGAGUAAAUAGUACUCUACUUAAGAAUUCAACAUGGAAAAAAUAUUUUACUCUUUUUUUAGAUGAAAUAUGUUGAAAAUGUUUCAUUUAGUUUUAUUGUAUCAUAAAAGUAAAAUACAAAAAAAUCCUAUAACUUUUCAAUAUAAAAUAAAUUUAUGUUUUCCUCGAAAAUGUUUUCCUGAAAAACAAAUAGAUUUUUAACUUAUUUUCUCAUGUUUGGUUGGUGAGUAGAAAAUAUUUUCCGAAAAAAAUUUGUAGUUAUUUGAUUUAUGAAUGAUUUUUUUUUUGAGAAAUAUCUAUUAUUUUUACUAGAGUAGAAAAUAAUUUUUGAAAUUGAAAAUAUUUUUUAAAAACAAAUUUAAAUUUUUUUUCGGGGUUGGGGAGGGAGGGAGGGNNNNNNNNNNNNNNNNNNNNNNNNNNNNNNNNNNNNNNNNNNNNNNNNNNNNNNNNNNNNNNNNNNNNNNNNNNNNNNNNNNNNNNNNNNNNNNNNNNNNNNNNNNNNNNNNNNNNNNNNNNNNNNNNNNNNNNNNNNNNNNNNNNNNNNNNNNNNNNNNNNNNNNNNNNNNNNNNNNNNNNNNNNNNNNNNNNNNNNNNNNNNNNNNNNNNNNNNNNNNNNNNNNNNNNNNNNNNNNNNNNNNNNNAUGAUUUGCUUAUUUUACACUAUUAUUCAUUAUCCAAUAUAAAUUAAACAAAUAUAUUUAAAAUAUAUUUAGAAUUAACAAAAUAAAUGUACAUUUAAAAUAGAUAUUUUUGAAAGGCCAAAGACUUCACAUUUUCAAUUAUAUAGAAAAAUAAUUAGUUUUAUAGAUGAACAUAAAAAGGAAGAGAAGUUACAAUAUAUUUGAUAAUAUCAUGAAUUUUGAGUGAAUAAAAGUUAGAAGCUUAACUCAUUUGGCUAAUUCAUAUUUUACCCAUAUUAUCUAUAUUUUAUCCAUAUUUUUAUGGAUUGAAUAUGAAUAUCAACCCAUGUAAAAAGUCACUCACCCAACCCACUAAAUAUGGACAGAUUAGACCAGUUACCAAAAUAUGGGAUCAUUUUGCCGGCAAUAACCAUGUGCAAUAGUGCAAGUUAUCUCCAGACUCAAGAGUAGACCAUCUCUUUUAUAUGAUGUUUUAAUAAAUAAAUAGUAUAACUCUUUUAAAAGCACACAUAAUAAAAAAAAAUCGAAAGUUAAUUGAAAAGGAUAAAUAUGUAAUUUUAUUAUUUUAAUUCAUGUAUAACUAAUACUCACACAACUUAUUCGACAUUCUACCAUGCAUAUAAUUAUACAUAGAUUUUCUCAUAAGUUAUGUGAGUAUUAAUUAUGUAAAAUUACUAAAACACAAUCAAACACCGUAUAAAAUUAAUACAUAAAUAAGUUUUAUACAACAUUUGAAACCUACCAACCAAACAUGGUAUAAAAUUAAUACAUGAAUAAUUUUUAUCCAUUCACAAACCAAACAAUGUAUAAAAUUAAUACAUGAAUAAACAAGUUAUUCAUGUAUUAGGCUGAGCUUUAACCAGUUACCAAACGGCCCCUUGGUACCCAAGUAUACACAUGAAAAAUAAAUAUUCAUAUAAUAUAGUUGUUUGGUUGGGAACUAGUUAUCUCAGGAUUAACUAUUCUGGGGUUAGUUAUCCUGGGAUAACUUAUCCCACCAUGUAUAUGGAUAACUUAUCUCACUAUGCUAUAAAUGGUGGGAUAAGUUAUCCCAAAUAUGUCAAUCAAACAAGAUAUUUAAAUUUUAUCCCAUGCCUAUUUUUUUAUCCCAAGACUAUUUAUAUUUAUCCCUCACACCAAACGAGUGGUGGUGUGUAUGGUAUAAGGGUUUGAAAAAUACCCUAACUUUGAUCGACAUUGCUAUUACGAUACCAAACUUUAAUGAGGACCUAUUACUCCCCAGACUAUUUAAUACCAUAUUUUAAACAUAUUUAUUAGCCCACGUGGACAUAAAAAAUAAUGUAAAAUUAUAAAUAGUAAUGUGUCCACGUGAGCACAUAUAUACCUUUAAAAUACACUAUUAAAUAGUUCUGGGGGGUAAUAGGUCCUUCAUAAAAUUUGGUAUCGUAACAGCAAUUUCGAUCAAAGUUGGAAUAUUUUUUAGACCCUUAGCCCUAUACUAUAUAUAUAUAUAUAUUUUAUGACAAGGGAAACCCGCAACCUCUAUCAUUUGGGUGCGCACAGGAUAAAACUCAUGCUCUUAUGCAAUAGCUUGCAAACCACAUAGGAAAGGUAAUCCGCACUAGGCAAGCCCGGUGCGACGAGCUCAAUCCAAAAGGCAAACCCUUGCUUUCGACUUCCUACAUGAAAGUCCCAAGCAAAUCACUGGGUCACCCCAAAGGGUAUAUAUAUAUAUAUAUAUAUAACAUAAGACAAGAGUAAGGGAAAAGAAAAUAUUUUCUCAUCUAUCUUUCUUUUUAAUUUUACUACAUUAUCUUUGUUUAAUAACACUUUUCAAUUCUUUUUUGGAUGAAGAAUGCUCACCCAUUUUCCCUCGCUUUUUUUUCCUGUUAUCUUCUUGCUUCUCUUUUUCCUCCUCUACCUAGUCCUUGAUAUGCAAUUGUAGCUUAAAGGAUAUGAAACAAAAUGAAAUAGCAAAAGGGAUGAAUUUAGUGGAAGAAGAAUAAACUAUAAAAAAAAAAAAUUAAAAAGAAAUAAGUAAAGAAAAAUAAAUAAAAAUAUGAAAUUAAAUGAAUUUAACACAUGGCAGACAACGAUCGGUGAGCAAUUUUUCCUUCUUAUAGUUGAGGUUGAAUGAGAAAGAUUGUAUUUACCCUCGUACUUUUUUUUUAAUUAAAGAAUGCUACACUGUACAUGCUUGAAAAACUCGAAAGUCAGGUUAUGCAAUGACCAAAAUUUGGUAUGAUUUGUCCAGUGUCCACAAUAGAUAAACUAUAAGACACUCAGCUUGUAAGUUACAAUUCAAUAGUAGGUAAAACUUACCAGAUACCAUUUACCAUUGGCAACUUUCAAGCUACGAAUACGAUAAUUGACGAUACAUCUAAAACUGUGAACUGACAAAUGAUCCGAUACAAGAUAAAGAAAAAUGACAUGACAACUUUAAAUUCAUUUAUACCAUACACUAUCACUAUCUGAUUCUAUACUGGUACACACAAUUGACAUUGUAAAUACUUUUCACAAACCUGUGCACAAUAGUCGUAAACUCGUAUACCCAGUUUUAUUCCAUGGGUGCACAGACAAGUAACCAGCCACUUUGUUCCUCAGAACUAGACAGGAACAUCAGUUGUUUCUGAAAGUUCAGGACCAUUAUCACUCUUUCAUUCACCUGAACCCGGAGGGAGUAGCUUGAGCACCCGGUCCACCUGGUCUCGACAUAGCUCUAGAUUGGAGGAGCAUCUCUUCAUAGUUCUGAUUACAAAAAAUCAAUGUGAACAGCAUGAAACAAGAAAGCCAGCAUGGUAAUUGGUAAAUAUCUCAAAGUAAAUUUACCCGUUUGUCAAAUGCAUCGUCACUUGAACUAAUAAUCUUAUCUGCAAGGCCAUAGUCAAUGGCCUCUAGUGCCCUGAAAUAUUUAGGGCGUAGGAUAUCUUUCUUAAUUUCUUCCUUUGGUUUUCCAGUUCCUUGUGAUAAUAGUUCAAGGUAAUACUCUGAGUUUGAUUCUAGUUCUUUGGC